rnacentral:lncRNA from 1 species
AAAUGAUAAAACUAAAGGUACAAAGUAAUUUUUUUAGUAUAUAUCAUCACACAAUCAUAGUACAACCAGCACACACAAGCCAUCAUCCUCCGUACAAGCCAGAAAAGUAAAUAAGAACAAUCACAAGAUUUACAUGGGCAUCAUGCCCUAAUCUUGAUUGAUCUUGACAUUAUAUAGCAUGGGAUGACUUAAUGGUGGUGGGUUACAACACACCACUUAUUUAAUCCAACCGGCAAUAUAAGUAAUGACGAUACUAUGUCUGGCAUGGUUGAUGUACCCGAACAUCUCAUGCCAACAAUUACUCUUGGACGUUUGCUUCACCAUUUCCUUUUUCUGCUUGAGUCCCAAGUGGUGGUUUUGGUUGUGCAUUCGGGUCAGGCAGUGGUUGUGGAUUCGGGUCUGGUAAUGGUUGUGGGUUUGGAUCAGGUUGCGGUCCUGGUAAUGGCUGAGGGUUUGGGUUUGGCUGUGGGUCCGGCAAUGGCUUCGGGUUUGGGUCUGGUAAUGGUUGCGGGUUUGGAUGAGGUUGUGGUCCUGGUAAUGGCUGAGGGUUUGGGUUUGGCUGUGGGUUCGGCAAUGGUAUCGGGUUUGGGUCUGGUAAUGGUUCUGGGUUUGGAUCAGGCUGUGGUCCUGGUAAUGGCUGAGGGUUUGGGUUUGGUUGUGGGUCCGGCAAUGGUUUUGGGUUUGGGUCUGGUAAUGGUUGUGGAUUUCGAUCAGGCUGCGGUCUUGGUAAUGGUUGAGGGUUUGGUUUUGCUCGUGGGUCUGGUAGUGGCCGCGGCUUUGUGUUUGGCUGUGGGUUCAUCAACUGUUGCAGGUUUUGUCCUGGCAAUAGUUGUGGAUUUGGGUCAGGNNNNNNNNNNGUUGUGGGUUUGGAUCAGGUUGCGGCCCUGGUAGUGGCUUAGGGUUUGGGUUUGGCUGUGGGUCCGGCAAUGGUUUUGGGUUUGGGUCUGGUAAUGGUUGUGGAUUUCGAUCAGGCUGCGGUCUUGGUAAUGGUUGAGGGUUUGGUUUUGCUCGUGGGUCUGGUAGUGGCCGCGGCUUUGUGUUUGGCUGUGGGUUCAUCAACUGUUGCAGGUUUUGUCCUGGCAAUAGUUGUGGAUUUGGGUCAGGGUGUGGUCCUGGUAAUGGUUGAGCGUUUGGAUCAGGUUGUGGAUCUAGCAGUGGUUGUGGGUUUGUAUGAGGUUUAGGCUCGGGUAGCGGUUGCGGCUUUGGGUCUGGUUGUGGUCCCGGCAAUGGUUGAGGGUUUGGAUCUGGCUGUUUUCCUGGUAGUGGUUCUGGAUUUGGGUUCGCCCGUGGGCCGUACUGAGGGUCUCUAGUGAUCAGGUUGUGCCUCCCGGCAGCAAGAGCAAACACUGGAAGAAGCAUAAGCAGCAACGGUGCUACGAGAAGAGAAGACGCGGAUGGGCGCUUCCUCAUCGUCAUGGCUAAGCUUGUGUUGGUACGAACUUGCAAGUGCGUGCGUCUCGAUCUUCCUAUUUAUAAGCGAAUUCAGCCAUCAAGGCUGGACAAGCAUGUACGUUGUUUACUCCAACUCUGAUUGGGCUUGUUAGCUUUGCCUUUUUGAAGAUGCGGGACUGCACGCCUCCGCUUAGUGCUCUAACCAGCAGCUAGCCACAAUAAAAAGUCAUUUAGAAAAGUUUUGAGUUAUCAUCAUAAAGAAAAAGUUUGUGUAGUUUUCGUCUGGAUAGAUGUGACAUUUUUCAGUUGAUCGUAGGAGAGCAACAUGCAGAAGCAUACAGUUGCCCAAGUUGUGAACAACCUGAUCACUUUCAGUAAUUCUGUUGAAUUCAUAGCAGGGUAGCAGAUGGCUGUGAGCAUGGAAUUUGUAAAUCAUGUAAUUUUUUUUAAAAUAAGAAAAAUCAUGUAAACACGUAUACAUGUUAUUUGCGUGUCCAAGAAGUUUAAUUAAGCCAUACACAGAUUUGUAGGCUACAUAAAAAAAAUCCAGCCCAAAUGCAAUAGAAAUAAGCCUAUUUUAAAUUAUGUAUUUGUCGUUUUCCCCUUUGUGUAGACUAUAUAUGAUUUUUUUUCAAAUAUAUUUUGUUGAAAUUUUGUAUGAACACACUAUACCUUUUUUAUUGAAAAUUUUGAGGUGCAAGAAUAAAGUUCUUGAUAAAAAAUAAAGAAGCCUGUACGAUGUAUUGUUGUACACAGGAAUAUCGUGGAUUCUAAACUUGAGGUUUGCAUGGAUGGAUUUUUUUUACGGAAUCUAGUUUAAAUGAGUCCUAUUGUUUCCCGUAUGAAUUCCUAUUCUAUGACUCAAACAACACAUACAGAAAAAUUUUCUAAGGAUUAGAUUCCUCCAAAAUUCUAUUAAAAGUUUAAAACCCCUUUGAAUCAAAGAAGCCUAUUCCCCCCAAAAUAAAGAAAAGAAUCAAAUGAGCUCGGGUGAACAGUAAAAUCAAAACUAAAUCAAUUUUUUUUUAAAAAAAUCCAAUUUUUUUUGGGAGAAAAAGUUCUAAGUGCUUGCAAAAAUUCGCCAUGAAAUCACAUUUCUAGAAGGCGUGGCAAAAAAAAAAAACAAAAUCAGUACUCUGAAAAAGCUACUUUCAAAAGCAUUUUGGAGCACUGAAUUUGUUUUUUUUGCCACGCUUUACAGGAAUGUGAUUUCAUGAUGAAUUUUUGCAAGCACUUAAAACUUUUGUUAAUGUUUCUCCCAAAAAAAAUUGGGAAUUUUUUGAAUUUUUUUUGAAUUUUUUUCGAUUUUACUGUUCACCAAGCUCAAAUGAGCUCGGGAGCAGAAAGGCACUUUCGAUCAAAGAAGCCUAUUUCGCAGCAAAGCUAGUGGCUGUCCUAUCGGACAGUGAUGCACCUUUAAGUACGCGGUUUCUAAUAAUCACGAUCAGUGCACGCCGUGCACAGUGCACUCAUUUCGGUUGUAGAUGUAACUUUCACAUUUCAUACACCAAUCACGAUCAGUUGCUUGUUGGCACGGGCGGAGCUCCGUAGGGGCAGACCUGGGCCAUGGCCCGCCCAGGAAUUUGACAAAAAAAGUUUUUACUACUAGUCGUCUUAGCCCAGCCCACUAGCCCACGCACGCACUGAAUAUCCCCCCAUCGGCCAUCGUCUCCUCGUCUCGCGCACGCUGCACGCACAGGCACACUCACGCCUUCCCCAAUUCCCCAUCCUCUCAGUCCCAGACUCAUGUAGGUUGUAGCCACGCCGCCGACGACUACCGACGUGGACAGGGAACACGUCCACACGGUCCACCGGAGCGCGCCGCCCGCCAUCUCUCGGAGCAACCGCCAUGGCAACGCCCGCCGGGAUCUCGCCUCGCCCCUGCCCUGCUCCCUCCUGCCGCCCAUCAUCCGCACACUUACANNNNNNNNNNNNNNNNNNNNNNNNNNNNNNNNNNNNNNNNNNNNNNNNNNNNNNNNNNNNNNNNNNNNNNNNNNNNNNNNNNNNNNNNNNNNNNNNNNNNNNNNNNNNNNNNNNNNNNNNNNNNNNNNNNNNNGCAAUAACCUGAUUUUGUUCAUUUCCAUACACCCAGUGAUCAGUCCUGCUAGUGAUAAAUAAUAGUCUGAUGAUCUGAUCUUACGCAAAUUUUAACAUAGGUAGUCGGGAAAGGAAAAUAAGACUCAGAGAAGAAGAAGAUCACUGCACAAUAAGAUGGAAGAUGAGAAUCUGGCUAAUAACUUGUUAGUUCACAUAGAUGGUGGAAUUCUAGAAAACUACAGCCACGAAGAUGUCAUUGCAGAUUUUAUAAACAAGAAGAUCGGAGAGUUGAUUGUAUGUGAGUAGGUCCAUGUCUAAUGUCUCUGACACUUUUGUAUUAUCUAACUCAAUAGUGAAACAUGGUUGAACUGUACUUUGGUACAUAUAUAUAUUAUAUAUAUACAUAUCUGCUAGCUCAAUCUUGUGACCUGGGUGCUUGUAAUAUGUCCUUAUGGGUAAGAAUUUAGAAAAAAUUGUGUUCUUCUUCAGUCUGGCCCGCCCAACUUUUUCGUUCAAGCUCCGCCACUGCUUGUUGGUGCACAUCCAAUGCUCUAGAAUAAAACAAAAAGUACUCCUAUAUACAAAACGUACUUUACCUAACCUACCGAUUGAAUCGUAUACAUAGAUGAAAAAGAAAAGACAUCCGUAGAGUCCCAAGUUACCUACCGAUUGAAUCGUAUGUAUAGAUGAAAAAGAAAAGACAUCCAUAGAGUACCAAGUUACCUACCGAUUGAAUCAUACAUAUAGACGAAAAAGAAAAGACAUGCAUAGAGUACCAAGUUAAAGACGAUAUGACCUCACAACUAGAUUGGGUUGGGUGAGUGGAGUGCCACUUUAAUCCUUGUCUGGAGCACGCGCUAUGAUAUUUCUUCAGAGGCGCUGAAGUGGGGAACAAGACUGAUAGAACAAACAACAAGUGAGAUAUUUUGAGCUUCACUAGGUUGGAGGCCUGGUGUGCUCAGAAUUUAUCAGGGUGUAUUCAGGUUGCAGCACUGCUGCCAAGGCAUUUCUCCAGCUUCGCUCUGAAGAUCUUUUGCUUUGCUUUGUUCCUCUGUUUGUUUGUAAUGAAGUUCCCGUGUUUUGUGAUGGUUGCAAGUUCCCUGUAGUCUUUAUAUAUUUGGCUCAAGGGUGCCUGAAAAUUUCAUAGUUAUGUUUAAAAAAAUGCCGUAGUUGUUAGUUUUUGGACCAUCUAUCUAAAUCUAUCAAAGACCCUGUUGCCCGAGCUAGCCAAUCAAAGUUGGGCCAUUUGCAUCAAGCUAGGUAGGAUGCGUCGCCGGAAAACCCAAAUCGCUAAUUAAGGAGUACUCUUUGCAAAGGUCACUCCUACCAUGUCGCAACUAGUGAGUUUUCCUUUUUUUGUCGAUUCGUUUAUUCAACACGUUUUAUCGGUUAAAACAUGCAUUCACAUCUUGAAUCGUUUUCUCCAUUGUAUUCCUCGCACUGAGAUCUUGAAAAUUAGAUCCGAUCUGAUAGGUUUUGAUGAACGUUUUACUUUACGAAAAAUACCGAACAAAAAACAAACCGGGAGCACAUUUUUUCCUUUCUGAAAAGGGCACAAUCGUGCCUCUCGUGUCGUUACAAAUCUUAUCUCUGUUCGUCGUUACAAAUCCUAUGAAUUGCUAUUCUAUCUUCACAACAUCCUAUACUCCCCUUGUGUCGUUACAAAUCUUAUCUCUGUUCGUCGUUUUUGCAUUGACAAUUCAGUAACAAUUGAGUUUUACCCCCUUGACUUUGUUGUGAAGGAUCUAGCCACUCGGACUCCUUAUGAGCCGCAGUAGCUACGGCCAGCUUUACUCCUUCUCCGGCGGCACCACCAACCACCAGGCGGUGCUCUCUAUGGACGUUGGAAACUUGUGGCAUCAGCGAUUAGGGCACCCCAGUGCUGCCUCCCUUUCCCGUUUGGCGAGCAGUUUUUAACCAAAUUGUAAUAAGCCAGUCCACCCCAUGGUACUUGUCAUGCAUGUCAAUUAGGCCACCAUGCUCUCCUUCCUUUUUCCAGAUUCUCUGUCAUUUACUACUUUUCCUUUUCAACUAGUGCACUAUGAUAUAUGAACCUCAACAAUUGCGAGUUUUUCCGGCUUCAAAUAUUAUUUGUUUGUCAUAGACGACUUCACUCACUUCCCUUGGAGCUUCCCGCUACACCAUAAGCCCCAUGCCGCUGCCACCCUUGAACGCUUUUACCAGUACGUGCUCAUACAAUUCCGUGUUUACAUACAGUGUGUCCAAUGUGAUAAUGGGGGCGACUUCCUCAACGUUCACCUAUGCACUUUCUGUUGGGGAACGUUGCAGAAAACAAAAAUUUUCCUACGGUUUCACCAAGAUCCAUCUAGGACUUCAUCUAGCAACGAGUAAUCGGAUUGCAUCUACGUACCUUGUAGAUCGCGAGUGGAAGCGUUCAAAGAACGGGGAUGAGGGAGUCGUACUCGACGUGAUCCAAAUCACCGGAGAUCCUAGCGCCGAACGGACGACACCUCCGCGUUCAACACACGUACGGUCAGCGUAACGUCUCCUUCCUCUUGAUCCAGCAAGGGGCAAGGAGAGGUUGAGGAAGAUGGCUCCAGCAGCAGCACGACGGCGUGGUGGUGAUGGAGCUGCAGUACUCCGGCAGGGCUUCGCCAAGCUCUAUGGAGGAGGAGGAUGUGUUGGAGAGGGAGAGGGAGGCACCAAAGGCAAAGGUAAGAGGUCCUCCAUCCUCCCCACUAUAUAUAGGGGGGCCUAGGGGGGGACGCCGGCCCUAGGAGAUGCAAUCUCCUAGGGGGGCGGCGGCCAAGGGGUGGGGGACUUGCCCCCCAAGCAAGGGGGCGUCCCCCCCCUUUAGGGUUUCCCCCACCCUAGGCGCAUGGGCCCUAGGGGAAGUGGCGCCCCAGCCCACUUUGGGCUGGAUCCCUUCCCACUUCAGCCCAUGGGGCCCUCCGGGAUAGGUGGCCCCACCCGGUGGACCCCCGGGACCCUUCCGGUGGUCCCGGUACAAUACCGGUGACCCCGAAACUUGUCCCGAUAGCCGAAAUAGCACUUCCUAUAUAUAAUUAUUUACCUCCGGACCAUUCCGGAACUCCUCGUGAUGUCCGGGAUCUCAUCCGGGACCCCGAACAACAUCCGGGUUACUGCAUAUACAUAUCCCUAUAACCCUAGCGUCACCGAACCUUAAGUGUGUAGACCCUACGGGUUCGGGAGACAUGUAGACAUGACCGAGAUCGCUCUCCGGUCAAUAAACAAUAGCGGGAUCUGGAUACCCAUGUUGGCUCCCACAUGCUCCUCGAUGAUCUCAUCGGAUGAACCACGAUGUCGAGGAUUCAAGCAACCCCGUAUACAAUUCCCUUCGUCAGUCGGUAUGUUACUUGCCCGAGAUUCGGUCGUCGGUAUCCCAAUACCUCGUUCAAUCUCGUUACCGGCAAGUCACUUUACUCUUACCGUAAUGCAUGAUCCCGUGACCAGACACUUGGUCACUUUGAGCUCAUUAUGAUGAUGCAUUACCGAGUGGGCCCAGUGAUACCUCUUCGUCAUACGGAGUGACAAAUUCCAGUCUUGAUCCGUGUCAACCCAACAGACACUUUCGGAGAUACCCGUAGUAUACCUUUAUAGUCACCCAGUUACUUGUGACGUUUGGUACACCCAAAGCACUCCUACGGUAUCCGGGAGUUACACGAUCUCAUGGUCUAAGGAAAAGAUACUUGACAUUGGAAAACUCUAGCAAAUGAACUAUACGAUCUUGUGCUAUGUUUAGGAUUGGGUCUUGUCCAUCACAUCAUUCUCCUAAUGAUAUGAUCUCGUUAUCAAUGACAUUCAAUGUCCAUAGUCAGGAAACCAUGACUAUCUUUGAUCAACGAGCUAGUCAACUAGAGGCUUACUAGGGACAUGUUGGUGUCUAAGUAUUCACACAUGUAUUACAAUUUCCGGAUAACACAAUUAUAGCAUGAAUAAAAGACAAUUAUCAUGAACAAGGAAAUAUAAUAAUAAUGCUUUUAUUAUUGCCUCUAGGGCAUAUUUCCAACAGUCUCCCACUUGCACUAGAGUCAAUAAUCUAGUUACAUUGUGAUGAAUCGAACACCCAUGGAAUUCUGGUGUUGAUCAUGUUUUGCUCUAGGGAGAGGUUUAGUCAACGGAUCUGCUACAUUCAGGUCCAUAUGUACUUUACAAAUAUCUAUGUCUCCAUCUUGAACAUUUUCACGAAUGGAGUUGAAGCGACGCUUGAUGUGCCUCGUCUUCUUGUGAAAUCUGGGCUCCUUGGCAAGUGCAAUAGCUCCAUGUUGUCACAGAAGAGCUUCAUAGGCCCCGAUGCAUUGGGUAUGACUCCUAGGUCGGUGAUGAACUCCUUCACCCAAAUUGCUUCAUGCGCUGCCUCCGAGGCUGCCAUGUACUCCGCUUCACAUGUAGAUCCCGCCACGACGCUCUUCUUGCAACUGCACCAGCUUACUGCCCUACCAUUCAAAAUAUACACGUAUCCGGUUUGUGACUUAGAGUCAUCCAGAUCUGUGUCGAAGCUAGCAUCGACGUAACCAUUUACGACGAGCUCUUCGUCACCUCCAUAGACGAGAAACAUUUCCUUAGUCCUUUUCAGGUACUUCAGGAUAUUCUUGACCGCUGUCCAGUGUUCCUUGCCGGGAUUACUUUGGUACCUACCUACCAAACUUACGGCUAGGUUUACAUCAGGUCUGGUACACAGCAUGGCAUACAUAAUAGAACCUAUGGCUGAGGCAUAGGGGAUGAUACUCAUCUCUUCUAUAUCUUCUGCCGUGGUCGGACAUUGAGCUGAGCUCAAUUUCAUACCUUGCAACACAGGCAAGAACCCCUUCUUAGACUGAUCCAUAUUGAAUUUCUUCAAUAUCUUAUCAAGGUAUGUGCUUUGUGAAAGACCUAUGAGGCGUCUUGAUCUAUCUCUGUAGAUCUUGAUGCCUAAUAUAUAAGCAGCUUCUCCAAGGUCCUUCAUUGAAAAACUCUUAUUCAAGUAGGCCUUAAUGCUGUCCAAAAGUUCUAUAUCAUUUCCCAUCAAAAGUAUGUCAUCUACAUAUAAUAUGAGAAAUGCUACAGAGCUCCCACUCACUUUCUUGUAAACACAGGCUUCUCCAUAAGUCUGCGUAAACCCAAACGCUUUGAUCAUCUCAUCAAAGCGAAUGUUCCAACUCCGAGAUGCUUGCACCAGCCCAUAAAUCGAGCGUUGGAGCUUGCACACCUUGUCAGCAUACUUAGGAUCGACAAAACCUUACGGCUGCAUCAUAUACCAUUCUUCCUUAAGGAAACCAUUAGGAAUGCCGUUUUGACGUCCAUUUGCCAUAUUUCAUAAUCAUAGAAUGCGGCAAUUGCUAACAUGAUUCGGACGGACUUCAGCUUCGCUACCGGUGAGAAAGUCUCAUCGUAGUCAACCCCUUGAACUUGUCGAUAACCCUUAGCGACAAGCCGAGCUUUAUAGAUGGUCACACUACCAUCCGCGUCUGUCUUCUUCUUAAAGAUCCAUUUAUUUUCUAUGGCUUGCCGCUCUACGGCCAAGUCAGUCAAAGUCCAUACUUCGUUUUCAUACAUGGAUCCUAUCUCGGAUUUCAUGGCUUCCAGCCAUUUGUCAGAAUCCGGGCCCGCCAUCGCUUCUUCAUAGUUUGAAGGUUCACCGUUGUCUAACAACAUGAUUUCCAAGACAGGGUUGCCGUACCAAUCUGGUGCGGAACGUGUCCUUGUGGACCUUCGAAUUUCAGUAGGAGCUUGAUCAGAAGUAUCUUGAUCAUCAUCAUUAACUUCCUCUCUAGUCGGUGCAGGCACCUCAGGAACAUUUUCUUGAGUUGCGCCAUUUUCCGGUUCAAGAGGUAAUACUUCAUCAAGUUCUACUUUCCUCCCAUUUACUUCUUUCGAGAGAAACUCCUUCUCUAGAAAGGAUCCAUUCUUGGCAACAAAGAUCUUGCCUUCGGAUCUGAGGUAGAAGGUAUACCCAAUAGUUUCUUUAGGGUAUCCUAUGAAGACGCAUUUUUCCGACUUGGGUUCGAGCUUUUCAGGUUGAAGUUUCUUGACAUAAGCAUCGCAUACCCAAACUUUUAGAAACGAUAGCUUAGCUUUCUUCCCAAACCAUAAUUCAUACGGUGUCGUCUCAACGGAUUUCGACGGAGCCCUAUUUAAAGUGAAUGCGGGAGUCUCUAAAGCAUAGCCCCAAAAAGAUAGCGGUAAAUCGGUAAGAGACAUCAUAGAUCACACCAUAUCUAAUAGAGUGCGAUUACGACGUUCGGACACACCAUUACGCUGAGGUGUUCCAAGCGGCGUGAGUUGUGAAACUAUUCCAUAUUUUCUUAAGUGUGUGCCAAACUCGUGACUCAAGUAUUCUCCUUCACGAUCUGAUCGCAGGAACUUGAUUUUCCUGUCACGUUGAUUCUCAACCUCACUCUGAAAUUCCUUGAACUUUUCAAAGGUCUCAGACUUGUGUUUCAUUAAGUAGACAUACCCAUAUAUACUCAAGUCAUCAGUGAGGGUGAGAACAUAACGCCACCGUGAGCCUCAACAGUCAUUGGACCGCACACAUCAGUAUGUAUGAUUUCCAAUAAGUUGGUUUCUCGCUCCAUUGUUCCUGAGAACGGAGUCUUGGUCAUUUUACCCAUGAGGCAUGAUUCGCACAUGUCAAAUGAUUCGUAAUCAAGAGACUCUAAAAGUCCAUCAGCAUGGAGCUUCUUCAUGCGUUUGACACCUAUGUGACCAAGGCGGCAGUGCCACAAGUAUGUGGGACUAUCAUUAUCAAUCUUACAUCUUUUGGUACUCACACUAUGAACAUGUGUAGCAUUACGCUCGAGAUUCAUUAAGAAUAAACCAUUCACCAUCGGAGCAUGACCAUAAAACAUAUCUCUCAUAUAAAUAGAACAACCAUUAUUCUCGGAUUUAAAUGAGUAGCCAUCUCGAAUUAAACGAGAUCCUGAUACAAUGUUCAUGCUCAAAGCUAGCACUAAAUAACAAUUAUUAAGGUUUAAAACUAAUCCCGAAGGUAAAUGUAGAGGUAGCGUGCCGACGGCGAUCACAUUGACCUUGGAACCAUUCCCGACGCGCAUCGUCACCUCGUCCUUCGCCAGUCUCCGCUUAUUCCGCAGCUCCUGUUUUGAGUUACAAAUGUGAGCAACCGCACCGGUAUCAAAUACCCAGGAGCUACUACGAGUACUGGUAAGGUACACAUCAAUUACAUGUAUAUCACAUAUACCUUUCGUGAUGCCGGCCUUCUUGUCCGCUAAGUAUUUGGGGCAGUUUCGCUUCCAGUGACCACUUCCCUUGCAAUAAAAGCACUUAGUCUCGGGCUUGGGUCCAUUCUUUGGCUUCUUCCCGGCAGCUUGCUUGCCGGGCGCGGCAACUCCCUUGUCGUCCUUCUUGAAGGCUUUCUUACCCUUGCCCUUCUUGAACUUAGUGGUUUUAUUCACCAUCAACACUUGAUGUUCCUUUUUGACUUCUACCUCAGCUGAUUUCAGCAUUGCAAAUACGUCAGGAAUGGUCUUUUCCAUCCCCUGCAUAUUGAAGUUUAUCACAAAGCUCUUGUAGCUCGGUGGAAGCGACUGAAGGAUUCUGUCAAUGACCGUGUCAUCCGGGAGAUUAACUCCCAGCUGAGUCAAGCGGUUAUGCAACCCAGACAUAAUGAGUAUGUGCUCACUGACAGAACUGUUUUCCUCCAUCUUACAGCUGAAGAACUUGUCGGAGACUUGAUAUCUCUCGACCCGGGCAUGAGCUUGGAAAACCAUUUUCAGCUCUUCGAACAUCUCAUAUGCUCCGUGUCUCUCAAAACGCUUUUGGAGCCCCGGCUCUAAGCUGUAAAGCAUGCCGGACUGAACGAGGGAGUAGUCAUCGGUACGUGCCUGCCAAGCGUUCAUAACGUCUUGUUCUGCAGGGAGAACAGGUGUGUCACCUGGCGGUGCUUGUAGGACAUAAUCUUUCUUGGCAGCUAUGAGGAUGAUCCUCAGGUUUCGGACCCAGUCCGUGUAGUUGCUGCCAUCGUCUUUCAGCUUGGUUUUCUCUAGGAACGCGUUGAAGUUGAGGACUACGUUGGCCAUUUGAUCUACAAGACAUAUUGUAAAUUUUUUAGACUAAGUUCAUGAUAAUUAAGUUCAUCUAAUCAAAUUAUUCAAUGAACUCCCACUUAGAUAGACAUCCCUCCAGUAAUCUAAGUAUAACAUGAUCCGAGUUAACUAGGACGUGUCCGAUCAUCACGUAAGACGGACUAGUCAACAUCGGUGAACAUCUUCAUGUUGAUCGUAUCUUCUAUAUGACUCAUGCUCGACCUUUCGGUCUUCUGUGUUCCGAGGCCAUGUCUGUACAUGCUAGGCUCGUCAAGUCAACCUAAGUGUUUGCAUGUGUAAAUCUGUCUUACACCCGUUGUAUGUGAACGUUGGAAUGAAUCUAACACCCGAUCAUCACGUGGUGCUUCGAAACAACGAACUGUCGCAAUGGUGCACAGUUAGGAGAAACACUUUCUUGAAAUUAUUAUGAGGGAUCAUCUUAUUUACUAUCGUUGUUCUAAGUAAACAAGAUGCAGAAACAUGAUAAACAUCACAUGCAAUCAAAUAGUGACAUGAUAUGGCCAAUAUCACAUAGCUCCUUUGAUCUCCAUCUUGGGGCUCCAUGAUCAUCUUGUCACCAGCAUGACACCAUGAUCUCCAUCAUCAUGAUCUCCAUCACAGUGUCUCCAUGAAGUUGCUCGCCAACUAUUACUUCUACUACUAUGGCUAACACGUUUAGCAAUAAAGUAAAGUAAUUUACAUGGCGUUUCUCAAUGAAACGCAGGUCAUACAAAAAAUAAAGACAACUCCUAUGGCUCCUGCCGGUUGUCAUACUCAUCGACAUGCAAGUCGUGAUUCCUAUUACAAUAGCAUGAGCAUCUCAUACAUCACAUGUAUAUCAUUCAUCAUUCAUCACAACUUUGGCCAUAUCACAUCACAGAACACUUGCUGCAAAAACAAGUUAGACGUCCUCUAAUUGUUGUUGCAAGUUUUACGUGGCUGCAAUAGGGUUCUAGCAAGAACGUUUUCUUACCUACGUGAAAGCCACAACAUGAUUUGUCAACUUCUAUUUACCCUUCAUAAGGACCCUUUUCAUCGAAUCCGCUCCAACUAAAGUGGGAGAGACAGACACCCGCCAGCCACCUUAUGCAACUUGUGCAUGUUAGUCGGUGGAACCGGUCUCACGUAAGCGUACGUGUAAGGUUGGUCCGGGCCGCUUCAUCCCACAAUACCGUUGAAGCAAGAUAAGACUAGUAGCGGCAAGAAAGUUGACAACAUCUACGCCCACAACAAAUUGUGUUCUACUCGUGCAAAGAGAACUACGCAUAGACCUAGCUCAUGAUGCCACUGUUGGGGAACGUUGCAGAAAACAAAAUUUUUCCUACGGUUUCACCAAGAUCCAUCUAGGAGUUCAUCUAGCAACGAGUGAUCGGAUUGCAUCUACGUACAUUGUAGAUCGCGAGCGGAAGCGUUCAAAGAACGGGGAUGAGGGAGUCGUACUCGACGUGAUCCAAAUCACCGGAGAUCCUAGCGCCGAACGGACGGCACCUCCGCGUUCAACAGACGUACGGUCAGCGUAACGUCUCCUUCCUCUUGAUCCAGCAAGGGGCAAGGAGAGGUUGAGGAAGAUGGCUCCAGCAGCAGCACGAUGGCGUGGUGGUGAUGGAGCUGCAGUACUCCGGCAGGGCUUCGCCAAGCUCUAUGGAGGAGGAUGUGUUGGAGAGGGAGAGGGAGGCACCAAAGGCAAAGGUAAGAGGUCCUCCAUCCUCCCCACUAUAUAUAGGGGGGCCUGGGGGGGGGGGCGCCGGCCCUAGGAGAUGCAAUCUCCUAGGGGGGCGGCGGCCAAGGGGUGGGGGACUUGCCCCCAAGCAAGGGGGCGCCCCCCCCUUUAGGGUUUCCCCCACCCUAGGCGCAUGGGCCCUAAGGGAAGUGGCGCCCCAGCCCACUUUGGGCUGGAUCCCUUCCCACUUCAGCCCAUGGGGCNNNNNNNNNNNNNNNNNNNNNNNNNNNNNNNNNNNNNNNNNNNNNNNNNNNNNNNNNNNNNNNNNNNNNNNNNNNNNNNNNNNNNNNNNNNNNNNNNNNNNNNNNNNNNNNNNNNNNNNNNNNNNNNNNNNNNNNNNNNNNNNNNNNNNNNNNNNNNNNNNNNNNNNNNNNNNNNNNNNNNNNNNNNNNNNNNNNNNNNNNNNNNNNNNNNNNNNNNNNNNNNNNNNNNNNNNNNNNNNNNNNNNNNNNNNNNNNNNNNNNNNNNNNNNNNNNNNNNNNNNNNNNNNNNNNNNNNNNNNNNNNNNNNNNNNNNNNNNNNNNNNNNNNNNNNNNNNNNNNNNNNNNNNNNNNNNNNNNNNNNNNNNNNNNNNNNNNNNNNNNNNNNNNNNNNNNNNNNNNNNNNNNNNNNNNNNNNNNNNNNNNNNNNNNNNNNNNNNNNNNNNNNNNNNNNNGGAAGAUGGCUCCAGCAGCAGCACGAUGGCGUGGUGGUGAUGGAGCUGCAGUACUCCGGCAGGGCUUCGCCAAGCUCUAUGGAGGAGGAUGUGUUGGAGAGGGAGAGGGAGGCACCAAAGGCAAAGGUAAGAGGUCCUCCAUCCUCCCCACUAUAUAUAGGGGGGCCUAGGGGGGGGGGCGCCGGCCCUAGGAGAUGCAAUCUCCUAGGGGGGCGGCGGCCAAGGGGUGGGGGACUUGCCCCCAAGCAAGGGGGCGCCCCCCCCUUUAGGGUUUCCCCCACCCUAGGCGCAUGGGCCCUAAGGGAAGUGGCGCCCCAGCCCACUUUGGGCUGGAUCCCUUCCCACUUCAGCCCAUGGGGCCCUCCGGGAUAGGUGGCCCCACCCGGUGGACCCCCGGGACCCUUCCGGUGGUCCCGGUACAAUACCGGUGACCCCGAAACUUGUCCCGAUAGCCGAAAUAGCACUUCCUAUAUAUAAUUCUUUACCUCCGGACCAUUCUGGAACUCCUCGUGAUGUCCGGGAUCUCAUCCGGGACCCCGAACAACAUUCGGGUUACUGCAUAUACAUAUCCCUAUAACCCUAGCGUCACCGAACCUUAAGUGUGUAGACCCUACAGGUUCGGGAGACAUGUAGACAUGACCGAGAUCGCUCUCCGGUCAAUAACCAACAGCGGGAUCUGGAUACCCAUGUUGGCUCCCACAUGCUCCUCGAUGAUCUCAUCGGAUGAACCACGAUGUCGAGGAUUCAAGCAACCCCGUAUACAAUUCCCUUCGUCAGUCGGUAUGUUACUUGCCCGAGAUUCGAUCGUCGGUAUCCCAAUACCUCGUUCAAUCUCGUUACCGGCAAAUCACUUUACUCUUACCGUAAUGCAUGAUCCCGUGACCAGACACUUGGUCACUUUGAGCUCAUUAUGAUGAUGCAUUACCGAGUGGGCCCAGUGAUACCUCUCCGUAAUACGGAGUGACAAAUCCCAGUCUUGAUCCGUGUCAACCCAACAGACACUUUCAGAGAUACCCGUAGUAUACCUUUAUAGUCACCCAGUUACGUUGUGACGUUUGGUACACCCAAAGCACUCCUACGGUAUCCGGGAGUUACACGAUCUCAUGGUCUAAAGGAAAAGAUACUUGACAUUGGAAAACUCUAGCAAACGAACUAUACGAUCUUGUGCUAUGUUUAGGAUUGGGUCUUGUCCAUCACAUCAUUCUCCUAAUGAUGUGAUCUCGUUAUCAAUGACAUCCAAUGUCCAUAGUCAGGAAACCAUGACUAUCUGUUGAUCAACGAGCUAGUCAACUAGAGGCUUACCGGGGACAUGUUGGUGUCUAAGUAUUCACACAUGUAUUAUGAUUUCCGGAUAACACAAUUAUAGCAUGAAUAAAAGACAAUUAUCAUGAACAAGGAAAUAUAAUAAUAAUGCUUUUAUUAUUGCCUCUAGGGCAUAUUUCCAACACUUUCCUCUACGAGGCAUCACCCUUUGUCACUCUUGCCCGCACACCUCCCCUCAAAACGAGAAGGCCGAGCACGGCAUUCGCUCCAUGAACGACAUUAUGCGCACACUCCUCCAAGCUCACAUGCCACCUUCGUUUUGGGUCGACGCCCUCAACACCACCACAUACUUACUGAAUUUCGCCCAUCCCGAGCCAUCGACCACAUCCCACCCUACUACGCCCUCUUUGGUACCUCUCCAGAUUACAGCUCCCUACGCACGUUCGUCUGCCUCUGCUACCAAAACCUCUAUGCCACUAUGCCCUACAAAUUAGCUCCCCGCUCCGUUCGCUGCAUUCUCCUCGGUAUGCCACUUGAGCAUAAAGGCUACAGGUGCCUGGACCUCUCCAAUCGAUGACUCAUUACCUCUAGACAUGUCAUUUUUUGACGAAAACACCUUCCCAUUCAUUGAUGCCCCGAGCGGCCACACGCCUGCACGAGCAGGGUCUGCUCCGGCCGCAGAAAAUCAAGCACCCACCUCCAUCCCCCUCGGAUCACCCACUCCACCAGUCACGCACCACCUCCCAUCCCCAAGCAUGCAGCCCGACCCCACCUCCCAAACCCAUGCAGUGAUUCACCCAUCACCUGCAUGCGGCGCGCCUCCCCUCGUGUCGACUCCACGCCUAGAUGCAGUAGCCCGCCACUUACGCCUCUGCAUGCAGCGCCCCUCACUCUAUGCCGCCCACGCAUGUAGUACGAUCCCACCCUGAGUCGUGCCGAUUUUACCUGCCAAAAACUUGCAUGCCAGGCGCACCUGCGCAAAGUCCAGUUUUCUGCAGCCAAAGAAGCUUCUGACCGUCGCUACCUCUCCCGCCCCCAUCUCUCCUAUUCCCGCAAACUACAAAGAAGCUCUCAAAGACCCCAACUGGUACAAUGUUAUGCUUGAAGAAUUUAACGCUUUGUUGCAAAGCAAAACGUGGUCUUUGGUUGCUUGCUCUGCAGGUGUCAACUUGGUGUCUGGGAAGUGGAUAUUCCGCCACAAGCUUCAUCUCGACGGCUCCCUCGCUCGGUACAAGGCGUGUUGGGUACUUCGUGGCUUCACAAAGCAGCCUGGCAUUGACUACGGGGAGACCUUCAGCCCCGUGUGGUGAAACCGGCCACCAUCCGCGUCAUCCUCAGUGUCGCCAUCAGUAACCGUUGGGCCAUUAACCAGCUGGACAUGAAGAACCCCUUCCUCCACGGCACUCUCGAUGAGCUCGUCUACAGUCAGCCGCCGGCUAGCUUCGUCGACACCGCACACCCCUCGACCAUGUGCAAACUCCAAAAGUCCUUGUAUGACUUAAGCAGGCUCCUCGUGCGUGGUUCCAGCGGUUCACCACAUUCCUUCUCUCGCUCGGCUUCACGGUGUCAAGAUCCGACACAUCCCUAUUUAUUCUCCGCCGUGGCACCUCAGUGGCAUACCUCUUGCUAUAUGUUGACGAUAUCAUUCUCACCGCUAGCUCCUCCGGGUUACUCACCAUCGUUACCGCCGCUCUCACCUCUGAGUUCUCCAUGGCGAACCUCAGCUCGCUCCACCACUUCCUUGGCGUCAAUGUUCAGUGCAGCCCCACUGGUUUGUUUCUUUCCGAGCAACAGUAUGCGCUCGAGAUCCUUGAUCGCGCCUCCAUGCUCAACUGCAAACCCAUCACUACCCCCGUCGACACCAAAGCAAAGCUCGCCACCUCGCCACCUCAGCUAACGACUCUGCUCCUGACCCAUCCCUCUUCCAUAGUCUCGCCGGUGCCCUGCAGUACCUCACGCUCAUGCGCCCGGACAUAGCCUACACCGUCCAGCAGGUGUGCCUCGUCAUGCACUCGCCGCGCAUGCUACACGCCGCCCUCCUCAAAUGUAUCAUGCGUUAUCUGCGUGGUACCACCCACCUUGGCCUUCAUAUUCGUCUGUCUGCUUCAUCCCAGCUCAUGUCUUACACAGACGCCGACUGGGCCGGUUGUCCCGACACCGUACCUGACGCUCGAUGUCUGGCUACUACAUGUACAUCGGUGACAACCUCGUCUCCUGGUCUUCGAAGCGACAAACCACCUUGUCGCGAUCGAGUGCGGAGGCAGAGUACCGAGCUGUCGCCAACGCGGUCACGGAGUCGUGUUGGCUACGAAGCUUCUUCAGGAUAUCGGAUGGCCUCCAUGGUGCUACCACUGUUUACUGAGACAACGUAUCGGUGACUGAAGGAAAUAUGCCCUAGAGGCAAUAAUAAAGUUAUUAUUUAUUUCCUUAUAUCAUGAUAAAUGUUUAUUAUUCAUUCUAGAAUUGUAUUAACGGAAACAUAAUACAUGUGUGAAUACAUAGACAAACAGAGUGUCACUAGUAUGCCUCUACUUGACUAGCUCGUUGAUCAAAGAUGGUUAUGUUUCCUAACCAUAGACAUGAGUUGUCAUUUGAUUAACGGGAUCACAUCAUUAGGAGAAUGAUGUGAUUGACUUGACCCAUUCCGUUAGCAUAGCACUUGAUCGUUUAGUUUGUUGUUAUUGCUUUCUUCAUGACUUAUACAUGUUCCUAUGAUUAUGAGAUUAUGCAACUCCCGUUUACCAGAGGAACACUUUGUGUGCUACCAAACGUCACAACGUAACUGGGUGAUUAUAAAGGUGCUCUACAGGUGUCUCCGAAGGUACUUGUUGGGUUGGCGUAUUUCGAGAUUAGGAUUUGUCACUCCGAUUGUCGGAGAGGUAUCUCUAGGCCCUAUCGGUAAUGCACAUCACUUAAGCCUUGCAAGCAUUGCAACUAAUGAGUUAGUUGCGGGAUGAUGUUUUACGGAACGAGUAAAGAGACUUGCCGGUAACGAGAUUGAACUAGGUAUUGAGAUACCGACGAUCGAAUCUCGGACAAGUAACAUACCGAUGACAAAGGAAAUAACGUAUGUUGUUAUGCGGUCUGACCGAUAAAGAUCUUCGUAGAAUAUGUGGGAGCCAAUAUGAGCAUCCAGGUUCCGCUAUUGGUUAUUGACCGGAGACAUGUCUCGGUCAUGUCUACAUAGUUCUCGAACCUGUAGGGUCCGCACGCUUAAAGUUUCGGUGACGAUUGUAUUAUGAGUUUAUGUGAUUUGAUGUACCGAAGGUAGUUUGGAGUCCCGGAUGAGAUCGGGGACAUGACGAGGAGUCUCAAAAUGGUCGAGACGUAAAGAUCGAUAUAUUGGACGACUAUAUUCGGACAUCGGAAAGGUUCCGAGUGAUUCGGGUAUUUUCGGGAGUACCGGGAGUUACGGGAAUACGAGGAAGAAGUAAUGGGCCUCAUGGACCAAGUGGUGGAAGAGAGGAGGCAGGGCGCGCGGCCCUCCUAGCCCAAACCGAAUUGGACUAGGGGGCCGGCCCCCCUUUCCUCCUUUUCCUCCUUCUCCUUCCUUCUCCUUCUCCUCCUUCCUUUCCUCCUCCUAGUAGGAGUAGGAAAGGGGAGUCCUACUCCUACUAGGAGGAGGACUCCUCCUCCUGGCGCGCCCAUAGAGGGCCGGUCGGCCUCCCCCCUUGCUCCUUUAUAUACAGGGGCAGGGGGGCACCUCUAGACACACAAGUUGAUCUUCGUGAUCGUUCCUUAGCCGUGUGUGGUGCCCCCUUCCACCAUAUUCCACCUCGGUCAUAUCGUAGCGGUGCUUAGGCGAAGCCCUGCGUCAGUAGAACAUCAUCACCGUCAUCACGCCGUCGUGCUGACGAAACUCUCCCUCAACACUCGGCUGGAUCGGAGCUCGAGGGACGUCACCGAGUUGAACGUGUGAGAACUCGGAGGUGCCGUACGUUCGGUACUUGGAUCGGUCGGAUCGGGAAGACGUACGACUACUUCCUCUACGUUGUGUCAACACUUCCGUUGCUGGUCUACGAGGGUACGUAGACGACACUCUCCCCUCUUAUUGCUAUGCAUCACCAUGUUCUUGCGUGUGCGUAGGAAAUUUUUUGAAAUUACUACGUUAUCCAACAAUGACGUACCUCUCCACCAACCCGGUACAACACCAACGCACCAAGCACGUGGAGAUUGAUCUUCAUUUCGUGCGCGACCGCGUUGUCUUCGGAGAUGUUCGUGUUCUGCAUGUUCCGGCAACCUCCCAGUUUGCCGACGUUUUCACCAAGGGGAUACCAACCGGCGUCUUGACAGAGUUCCGGUCCAGCCUCAAUGUCGUCGAAGACCCCGUUGCGGCUGUGGGGGGCUGCUGGAAUUGUAAAACGCCUCCUGCAUGUACAUUACCGGGUCCCUCGGCUGGACAGAUCGGCUCGCGCAAGUAGCAUGGGACACCUGCGUCUGUUACACACGAUCCCCUUCUCCGUUGCUUGUAGCUGCUGUACCUAGGCGUAUAUAUAUAACUCUGUACAAUCUGGAAUAGACACGGUGAAGAUCACCUUUCAACUGUUCGCACUGUGCGGCCAAACCUUGUUUGGCUGGGACUGACAAAUGAAAAUGAUGCACCCGAGCACAUCCAGAAGGAUCUGAACGCUCGCAGUCCAAACCAGCUUAUCGGCAUUGGUACAGAGUUGAGGCAAAACCGAGCAGUGAAGCAAGCUCCAGCAUUUUCAACAUGAAGGAAACGAAAAAGACGAAACAGGCUCCAACAUUCUCGUCAAAAAAGAUAAGAAAAGGAAAAAAGAAACAGGCUCCAGCAUUCUUGACACAAAAGAAAUGAAGAAGGAAAACGAAACAGGCUCAGGCAUUCUUGACACAAAAGAAAAGAAAAAGGAAAAGGAGAAAGGCUCCAAUAUUCUUGACAAAAUAGAGAAGCAAAAGAAAAAGGAAUCAGGCACAAGCAUCCUCGACACAGAAGAAAAGAAAAGGGAAAAGGAAAUUGGAUCCAGCAUUCUCGAUAAAAAGGAAGAGAAACAGGAAACAGGUUCAACCAUUCUCGACAAAAAGGAAAAGAAAAAGAAAACAGGCUCCGACAUUUUGGACAAAAGAGAAAAGAACAAGGAAACGAAAACAGGCUCCAGCAUUGAUCUCGACAAGAAAGAAAAGAAAAAAAUUUGAAAAGCAAGCUCCGUCAGAACGGUAACAGUAGCACCAAUGCUAAAGAAGAGCAAAUUGAACAGUAGCACCAAGGUGAAGGAAGCUCAAGACCGAUGAGAUGUCCUGGUUUCUAUAUAUCCAAUUAAUAUACCAUAUUUUAAUUAUUGUAACAAUAUGAUUGUAUUUUUUGUGAUGUAAUGAGUCGUUUGAUUCGAACCUCUGUUUGUUCAGUUUCUGCUUGCUGCUGUUGUAAUCACAAACCGUCAUGUCAAAUAAAUGGAGUGAAUAGCAAAAAACUACCAUAUUACGGGCUAUCGUUCCGGAAAACUAUCGCUUGUUUUAAUUUUUCAAAAAACUACCACAAAAGUGGCUGGCUGUUCCAAAAAACCCAAGUGGCCGAACGGUUAAGUUUUAACUGGGGUUAUGACAUGUGGGGCCCGCCCGUCAGGGUUUUGUCGGCCACAGUGCUCACGGCGCGCGGGUGACGGCCGUUAGGGCGCACGGCCCGUCCCGACGAGGUCAAAAUGGAUCCGGCCCUCACUCUGUCUCCCUCUCGCUCACUCACUCUCUCCCCCCUCACUCUCACUCUCCCCCCUCGCUCUGUUUCCCCUGGCCGAGCUCUCCAUCGUCGCUGACCACCUCAGUUCCUCGUCGCCGGCCAGGAUGCCUUCUUGGAAUGAUGGGGAUGAGAGCUCCGACGAUAGCAUGGGGGGCAACCUGAUGGACAUGGAGUACUUUGUAAGCCUCAUCGUCCUCCUCUCUGUCAUUAUCUAGGGUUAGGGUUGAAUCGAUUUGGGAAUGAGGGUUGAUGAGCUGUAUAUUUGUAUGCAUGGAUUCAUUUGGUUUGGUUAUCUAUUAGUUUUGAUCUAGGGUAUGGAUGGCACUGUGAUGUCUGAUCUGACCUUGAGCAAGGCAAAGCUUGACUCAAGUUGAACUAGUUGAUGCAUUGGUUCUGAUCUACCUUUUACUGCAUGUAGGACACACCUGACACCAUCCCUGAGCCACUCUGGUGUGGUGCUCCCAUGGAGGAAGUUGCCAAGUGUACUCUGCAUGAUAUGAAGCCUAGGAAGUGUGUUGCUUUUGAAGGUGCUAAGACUGGGAGGAGGUUCUAUGGAUGCCCUGUUCAGGUGAGUAAUUGAGUAUCCUGGGUGGAUUCAGUUAUGCCUAGUGGAUUCAGUUAUUCCUAGUGGUUACUGAAUUUGUACAUUAACUCUAUUUGAACUGAAUUUAGUACUGAAUUUAUGGUUACAUGUCCUCCUUGUGUACCAACCCUCUUUUUGAAUUGAAGUUAGAACUGAAUUUCUGCAUUUUCUGAAGUAUGUGUUCUCUGAUCAAACUACAGGGAGGUGUGAAUUGUGGUGUAGUUCAGUGGGUUGAUCCUGCCUGGCCUGAUGUACUUAAGAACUGCCUCAUCAAGUUGUGGGAAAUGUUCCAUGAGCAAAACCUUGGAAGGUUUCAAGACAAGCAUGCAUAUGAGGAUGAGGUUGCCAAGUUGAAGAAGGACUAUGAUCUGCUCUGCACUGAGUAUCAUAAAAUGGUUGAUGAUGUUAGCAAGAUGUUUGACUGGCAUGAUGGUGUUGGCAAGAUUGACUACCAAAAAGCAAUGGAUGCUGGGAAAUUUGAGAAGCAGAAGGAAGAGCUAGAGCUGGAGAUGAAGAUGGAGAAGCUAAGGCUAGCAAAAGAACAGAGGUGUAUCCUUCAGGCCCAGGCAGACAUAAUUCACAACACCAGGAAGGCAAUGAAAGAGAUAAAGGUGGACAGGGAUCUUUUUGCACAAGAGAAGACAAAGCUUGAGAAAGUAGUUGCUGAUCUGCUAAAUGCUGGCCAUGGGAGCAAGGAAAAGCUUGAGAAAAUCAAGGCCAUACUGGAGGCUUGAAGAUUUGGACAAUGGUGGUUAAGUAAGUAAGGUGGCCUACACAUAUAACAGGCCUUGCAAGAUGAUGGUAGGAGUAUAUUUUGUGCAGUCCUAUAUGAACUAUUUAAGUUAUGGUAACUAGAGUGGUGGAGAACCUUUGCUAAGUCUGGCUUAUGUUAUUGUACUGUUAAGAACCUAUCUAUCUUAAGUAAUGCAGUGAAGAACUGUUUUAUUUCUUUAGGUUGUUUUCCUGAAAGUAGCAAUGCUGAACUAGUAUAUUUUUGGGCCUAAAACCAUUAUGUACACAUUGUGGGCCUAGACUGGGCUGUUUUAUUACUCCACCUACCUACCACCAACCAUUAGUAGUCUAUAAAGCCCACCCCUUGAGUGAAACCGCAGUCAAUCCCCCCAUCCCCACCCUUCUCAACCCCCCAGCCGCCAAAGAAACCCUAGAAUCCAAGGGAGAGAUGGAUCCUGGAGAGGUCAUAGAUGGAGAAGAAGAGGUGCCCAGACAAGCCAGGCGCAGAGAUGCAAGGAGGAGGGCGAGAAGGCAACUUGCUGAGAUGAUCCUUGCAACACGCAACCGCAAGGACAUAAAGCAGUUCCUGGAGGCAUUCCCCCCUGGUUCCAACCCUAGUGAUGAUGAUAUCAUCUACUGGGCAAGGAGGAGGGCAAAUUUCCAUCCCUUUUAGGUCACUAGGCAAAGGUGGACUAGGAUUUUGUACCCAUGAUGCUGCUGUUAUGUUUCUUUGUUCCUAGAUCUGUCUUUCUAUCUAUGUGAUGUUUGAAGUUGGUGUAAGAACAAUGUUGAAUGAGCUAUGUAUGUGACGAAUCAAGUUGUCCAUGAUGCAAUGCAAUGUAUGAAGCUGGUGAAAGAAAAAUGUUGAAUGAUCUAUCUAUGUGAUGAAUCAAUCUGUCUAUGAUGCAAUUUAUGAGUGAAUCUUUUAUCUAUAUUUGUAUGUAUGAAUGAAUUGAUCUGGUGAUCUUGAUGUUUUAAGUUAGAUAUGUUAUGGUUUGUUCAGAUGGCCAUAUCUUGUUGUUUUAGGUUUGAUCUCUUAGGGUUUGGUGCCUAGAUGGGAAAAUCUUGAUGUUUUAGCUUUGAUAUGUUAGGUUUUGGUCCUAGAUAGCCACUUUGGGGUUGGUCAACAAGUAGCCACCCAAAGUGGCCAAAUUUGGGUGGCUUUAGGGUUGGUCGACAAGUUCCACCCCAAAGUGGCCAAAUGUGGCCACUUUGGGGUUGGUCGACAAGUAGCCCCCCAAAGUGACCAAAUUGACCUAAUCAUAUCAAUCAAUUAUCAACAAAAUAAAUCACUUGAUCUACAUAACAAUGCUCAGCAUAAGAAAUAAUUUCAUAUGAAACAAUUCAUAACCUAGGACAUAUCAAAUCAAAAUAAAGCUUGACAACAGAUAACUUAAUUGUUCCAAGCAGUUCAAACACAGACCAUAUAACUUAAUUGUUCCAAGCAGUUCAUACAUAGACCACAUAACUUAAUUGUUCAAAUGAAAAAAAAGUUCACUGCAAAUAACACAGAUAGCAAGCAUGCCUAGCAAGUAGAGUUCAAGGCAUAAAGCAUAGUUGAGUGCAACACAUUCAAUGGUUGCCACUGGCUGUGAAAUACAAAGCAAGUUUGCUUGGGGCCUUCCUCUUCCUCUUAGAACCAACAUCAGCUUGACCUGAUGUUGAUGCUGCCCUUGGAGCAUUGAAACCUCUUGCACUUGACCUGGUGUUCUUUACUGGAGAUGAUGCACUUGACCUGGUGUUGUUGGCUGGUGCUGAAGCAGGUGGUGGGUUCUUUCUCUUUCUUGAUCCACCUGUUGAAACUGCAGUAGAUGUGGUUGCCCUUGUUGUAGCAGAUGUGGUUGACCUUGUUGAAGUUGUUGCUAGUUUCCUGCCCCUAAGUGGUCCUAAAGCUGGAGCUGGACCUGAAGCUGGAGCUGGACUUGAAGCUGGAGCUGGACCUGAUGAUGUGGCCUGGUGGUUGUUUUUCCUUGUCAUAAACUUGGCCUUAAGUCCGUCUCCAUAGAUUGUCCACCUGUGGCCUUGCAGACCACAGUUACUGCAUGUUAUUGUGCCCAUCCUUGAUGUAUCCUUUGGAGCUGGCACCUCAAAUUCACCCUUUCUCCUAGCUGUCUGCUUCUUGCCUUUCUUCUCCCUGAAAACUGGUGGUUCUAUGUCUGGUGUGUUGGUGUUGGGCCAGAAUUCAGGGCCAGGGACAGGGUAGAUGAUGUGCUGGUAUGCAGCCUUAUACAUUGGCUUCUUAAAGAAUGGAUGCACAUAAUCUUCUGGGUGAACUUUUAUCUUCUGCAUUGCAGAUAUUGCAUGGUGGCAAGGUGAUCCAGUCAUGUCCCACCUCCUGCAAGAGCAGCUCCCUACAUCAAGCUUCACACAAUAUGUGUUCUCUCCACUAGUUACUUGCCAGAUGUUGGGACCAGCCAUGUUUGCUUCACAGUAUUUAGCCCACUUCUUGCUCUCCUCAAGCUUCUCCAUGUAAUCUGGGGUUAUUUCCCACCUACAGCUCUCUGUUUUCUCUCUGAUGCCCUGGUACUUAACCAUUAGUUUGGUCCUCAACCCUUCAAACAUGGUCUUAAUUAGUUUUGACCUAACAUCUAGAAUCAUUUUUUUGAAAACCUCACUAAGGUUGUUCACUACCAAGUCAGUCUUGCACACAUGAUCCAUUGCAUAUCUAGCCCAACACUCCUUAGGGAUGCCAUUCAACCACAUGUAGGCUGGUUCACAUGCUGCUUUCAAACCUGCCAUUCCUUCUUUGUGACCAUGUUUAGUGAAGGAAUAGCUAGCUUUGUCAACCCAUUUCUUAAGUUCUUCUGCUCUAAAGCCAGCUGACUGGAAGUUGGCAUAUAUGUGUCUUAGGCAAUAUCUUUGUGGGGAUUGAGGAAAUACUUCAUUAAUUGCUUUAAGAAGGCCCUGUUGUUUGAUUACAUAAGGUAGUAAUGAGAUAACUAUAGCAGCAUUGCUAUGUGCAUAAGAAUAAUACAGAGCCAGAGAAAAUACCUUCUGCCUGUCAGACAUGAUGGUGUAGUUUCCAAACUGGUUGCUGGUGCCAAUGCAGACUCUAAGUUGGUUUAAAAACCAGGUCCAGCUAGGCCCAUCCUCUUUGUCAACCACCCCAAAAGCAAUUGGGAACACAUUGUUGUUCCCAUCUCUCCCAGUUGCUACCAAUAUCUGUUGGCCUGUGGAUAACUUGAUGAAGCAACCAUCAAGUCUUGCAUAAACAGAGAUAGUUAGGGCAAAAUUGAAUAACUUGAUUACAUUUGUAACAUGAUUAAAUCACUGAUUUGUACCUAUGAAAGGCCUACAACCAGCAAGAAAUCCAUCUUUUGAUGCCUGGAGGCAAUAGAACAUGUACUUGAACCUUGGUGUGGGGGCUGGGUUCAAAGGAUCCUCAAAAGUUGUCACUAUGCACCUGCUUCCAGGGUUUGUGUCAAGCACACAUUGUAGGUAGUCCCUCAACCUCAGAUACUGCUUUCUAUGAUCACCUUGCACAACAUCAACAGCCAUCAGUCUUGCCCUAUAUGCCAAACUCCUAGGUACAUGCACCCCAAACUUCUUCUUAGUAUGUUUGAGAACUGUCUCUACAUCAGCCUUUACAUUUGAUCUAACUGUGUCCUCCACAGCUUCUGCAACCCAUUCAGCAGUAACCUUUGUACUCUCUCCACAAGCUCCACAACUAUGAUCCAUGUGGCACUUCUUGAUUGUGAAUGUAUCUUCAUGGGCUACUUUGGAUGCAGUCAUGAAAAAAUCACAUCCAUUCUUCCUCUCUGGGCACCAAACAAUAACCCUUGAUGGUUCAUUCCUAUGGUACUGAAAGUUUCUCAAAGUCCUAACAUGAAAAUUUCUCAAUGCCUUUCUAAACUCAUACACAUUGGUGAAGCAAAGGUCCUUGCACAGCUGCUCAUGUGCAUCAGGUACCUUUGGGUCAUACCAUUUCCUCUCUUUCUUCUUCUUCAAUCUUCUCUUCCUUCCAGAAGGUAGUCUUGGAGUCUCCCCAUCUGAGUCAGAAAUGCCCAUAUCACCAGGGAAGCAAUACUCAUCAGCUUCAAGUACAAAAUCUUGAAACUUUGGGAUCUCUGGCUGACUGUGAGCUCUGGAAGUUGGACCUGGAUUUGCUACUGCUCUUCUCACAGGCUUGAGUUUCUCAGGCCUGCAUUUUUCCACAACUAUUUCCUCUCCACUGUCUGCCUCUUUCUCCUCCUGCCAAAACUCUGAAACAUCACUGUCACCUUCAAACUGUGGUCUGUCUUCUAUAGCAUCUCUUUCUUCUUCAUUUCCAAUAUUUUCUUCACCUCUCUUCCAAGCCUUGUAAGACAUCUUUAUCCCUCUAUAGUCACCCCUAUCAAUCUCAAAGUCUGAGGAUGAUUUGUCAAUAUCAUCAUCCUCUUGACCAGCAGCCUGUCCAUCAUCAUCUCCACCAUUAGCUUCUGAAAUGUUGAAGUUACAGCUUUGCUGUGUGUUCAAAUUAACUUCAAGAGGGUGGACCACUCCAUCUUGUGACAGACUUAACACAAAACCAGGACCCCCCAGUGGGUUGCCUAUUGGAAUUUGUUCUUCACAAACAUUGUGAGCCCUGUUACAUUCAACAUCUCUAUCUUCAUUUGCCUUGGAAACAAUGAUAUUGAGCACUGUGAAAUCUAAGUGGUCUAUCAUUUCUUCAACUGCAUCUUGACUGUCCAAAAGAAAUAAACCUUCCUGUCCAAUCCCUUGUUCUUUUACCCAGUACAUGUAGUCAUCUGACCCAUAGCCUUCAGUCUCAGUAAGUGCUAUCAAGUUCAGAAAUGUGAUGUCUGAAACAGAAAACCUCCUUUCCAUAUUAUCUCUGCCCUGGAAAUGCAGCCUAACAUCCCAAACUUCAUCAUCUAGCCUGCAUUACAUAAUAUGUUAUUUGAAAAGCCCAACUAAGUAAGUGUUUUUGCUACAAAUAUUCAGUGCACACUACUAUAAAGUACAGUAAGGAAUCUGAAUCCAAAAAAUGCUUCUCUGAAUCCACCAUGCAUUUCUACUAAAUCUAACUAAUCCUUCAGUGCUAAGUGAUACUGUUGCAUCCAAAACAUGCCACAGAGUGUUUGCUCAACUAUUAUUCAGUGCAUGUUCAUGUUCUAAGAUGAAUCACAGCAGCAUCAACCUAGGGUUUGGUCAAAAAACUAACUAAAUUAUGCUAUGUUAUUUGAAAUGAACAAGCAGAAAUGCAGAAACUGUUGAAGGAGCUCAUAAGAGGAAAAAAACUUACUCCACCCCUCCAAAUGCAGAGGCCCAGUGCUGGGAGUUGGCCGGAUCUGCCUGCACAGCCCUAUCAAGAGACCUCGCUGCUCUGUACUCAAGCGAGAACUGGCAAUCAUCAGGCGACGGUGGUGUAGCCUGUGUCGUAGGAGCCUGCAUCAGAGCUGCAGCCUGUGGUGUCCGCUGCGGCGGCGGCGGCGCCGCCGGCUAGGUUGCGAAGCUACCACUCCCCAGCCAGUUAUCAACCUCUAAGAACUCGCCGCCUCCAUCCCCCCUUCCACCUCCACCCGUUGAAUGGCCGCCAUCGCCUAGUUUCGCCGCCGCCGCCGCCAUCGGAGAGGGAGGCGCGCACAAGAGAGAGGGAGACAGAGAGGGGGAAGACAGAGUGAGGGCGGGCCGGAUCCAUUUGACUUGGUCGGGACGGCCCGUGUGCCCUAACGGCCGUCACCCGCGCGCCGUGAGCACUGUGGCCGACAAAACCCUGACGGGCGGGCCCCACAUGUCAUAACCCCAGUUAAAACUUAACCGUUCGGCCACUUGGGUUUUUUGGAACAGCCAGCCACUUUUGUGGUAGUUUUUUGAAAAAUUAAAAAAAGCGGUAGUUUUCCGGAACGAUAGCCUGUAAUGUGGUAGUUUUUUGCUAUUUACUCCAAAUAAAUGCUUAAAAAGAGUGCAUCUAAUGGAGUAGUACAAAAUGGUAAAGAAAAUAAAUCAGCCACUAAUGGAGUAACAAAGGUGAUAGCACGGAGUUUGGUAGGCACCGACAAUGAGUAAGCAGGCUGAGGCCACCGGUGCACGAAGAGGAUCAGAAGCGCUGGUUGGGGCUGUGGUUUGGGGCGGCUGCGAUGAAACUUCUUAUUCAACGCUUAUAGCACCGUUUACAGUGUUAUCGGUACCUUUUUUUUGAGGGAAAGAGCCAACUUUAUUAAUCAAAAUCCACAGUGCGUGGGACACAACGAUGGUCAUGGGGCUGGCCAAGCCACACAUGACGCCCUGGUGGUAGCGAUAAAGAAAACCUAGCUAUCUCGUGAGCUUCAGCAUUCUGAGCUCGACUCUCAAAGGUGAAAUUACAUAAAAGUGGUGAUGAGCUCAUCUUUAUCUCUCUGAUUAUAGCUCCAUAAGUGCCAUGACUACCCAUAGCAAUGUCGCCAAUGACUUGUUUGCAGUCCGAAGCCACCACAAAACGUUGCACAUUAAGAUCUUGUGCUAGGGAAAUAGCCUCCCGACAUGCUAUGGCCUCCAGUGUCGCGGGGUCGCAAACUCCGACAAUGACAAGUGAUGAGCUCCCCAUAUAGACACCCUGGCUGUCACUGCAUAUGGCCGCGGCCGUGCCACCCCUCUGAAAUCUUACUGCCACGUCAACAUGAACCUUAGCAUAGCCAGCAGGUGGAGCCUUCAGCCUCUGAGUAGAAGCGUGGCCAGUAGCUGCAGAACGUACGUUGAUCUUUGCAGGGAGUGAGGCAGUAGCCAAAUCAGCCAUGAAGCGAGUUAUAAACUCCUUCGUCGCCCUGGGUGAUUGGAAUAUUGAUUCAUGGAUAGCUUUUCUCCUCGAGGUCCAGAUCGCCCAUAAGGUGACCGCCAGCAGAGUGAACUUCUCAUGUGUUAGCAUAUCCAUUAAUCCAAAGAGCCAGCUCUUCGCCCUCGUCUCCGUUGAUGCGACCAGACUGCAGCCCAAGUCCUCAUCUACCAACGCCCAUAUGCAUCUGGAGACUGUGCACUCCAGGAGGGAAUGACUCCAUGAAUCAGGAGAACCGCAGAGGCCGCACGAGCUAGUCGUUGACAUAUUACGAUGGGCCCUCACAUCCUCCGUCGGUAGUGACUGUUUUGAUAAACGCCAUAGAAACAUGCGUACUUUUGCUGGUACCACAGUUUUCCAGAGGGACUUCCAAGAGGCUUCAUCGACAUGGUUGCUGGAUGAUGCGCCGGAGCCCUCUAGCCACGCCUCUCGCCGUUGCUUCAUAGAUACCAACAUAUUAUAGGCUGACCUGACUGUGAAUUGUCCGGUUCUCUCGUGCAUCCAGCUCCAAAAGUCCUGCAUAGGAGCCGUACACAACGGGAUACCCAUGAUGAUUUUAGCAUCGAAAGGCAAGAAAGUUGCUUCCACCACAGAUCUCUUCCAUGAAGCAUUAGUUGCAUCGAUCAGUUCAGAUACUGUGUUGGGAGGAUUACUUACGCAACAACCAUACGGUCUCAUCAUCUCUGACCGGGGAAGCCAGUUUUCGGUCCAAAUGCUGGUGCUCGCCCCAUCUCCUAUCCGCUUGAUCAGUCCCAAUUUAAGAAUAUCCCGGCCUUCCACUAUGGCUCUCCAUAUCUGACUUGGAUGGUUCCCAAGUGUUGCCUCAAGUAUAGAUGUAUGUGGAAAAUAUACGCUCUUCAGAAUCCGUGCACUCAGAGACUCGGGGUCUUGUAACAUUCUCCAUGCCUGCCUGGCUAACAUGGCAAGAUUGAAAAGCUCAAAAUCUUUGAAUCCAAGGCCUCCCAUGCUUUUUGGUUGUGUCAUUGCUUCCCAAGAGACCCAGUGAGGUUUGCGUUGGCCGUUUGAGCUCCCCCACCAAAAUUUCCUUAUUAGCAUAUUGAGGUGCUCACAUAACCCCCUAGGUAGUUUGAAACAAGACAUGGAAAAUACCGGCACUGACUGGGCAACAGAUUUGACUAGUACCUCUUUUCCUGCCGCCGACAAAGUUCUCUCUAUCCAUCCCUGAAUUUUGCUCCAUAAUCUGUCCUUCAAAUAUUUGAAGGCACCGUUUUUUGAACUCCCUAUAUCAGAUGGCAUGCCCAGAUACUUCUCAUUCAAGGUUUCCUUGGGGACAUUGAACAUACCUUUUAUAGCAUUGCGAGUUUCCUCAGAAACGCCUUUACUAAAGAAAAUUGAGGAUUUGUUGUAGUUGAUUCUUUGACCUGAAGCUUGGCUAUAAAUUUCCAACAACUGGUUAACCUCUGUAGCACCCGCACUGUUGGCCUUGAAGAACAGCAGGCUGUCAUCAGCGAAUAGAAGAUGGUUAACUAGUGGUGCCUGCAGCGCCACCUGAAUCCCACCCAAGUUUGAUGACUCACUUUGUGAUUUGAAAAGGCACGACAUGCCCUCUGCUGCUAACAAGAACAAGUACGGUGAUAUUGGGUCACCUUGUCGGAUUCCACGUGAUGGGUUGAACUCCUCAAGUUUCUUUCCAUUGAACAUGACUGCGAAUUUUACUGAGGUAACCAUGCCCAUUACAAUAUCCACCCACCUUCUGUUAAAACCCAAUAUAAUCAUGAUGGCUUAGAGAUAAGCCCAUUCAACUCGAUCAUACGCCUUCAUCAUAUCCAAUUUCAGAGCACAUGAGUGAUUUUUCUUUUCCUUGUUCCUCUUCAUGAAAUGCAAUCACUCAUAUGCCGUUAUUAUGUUGUCUGUGAUCAAUCUCCCCGGAACAAAGGCUGAUUGUUCAGCAGAAAUUAUAUCUGGCAGUAUCUGUUUGAGUCUGUUGGAGAUUACCUUGGACGCUAUUUUAUAGAGCACGUUACAUAAACUUAUGGGCCGAAACUGGGCAAGGAGUGUGGGGUUUUUGACCUUGGGGAUGAGAACCAGCACCGUAUUGUUAAUGCAUGCUGCUGACUCUGUCCCGUCCACAAUUUUGAGUACCACUUUCGUUACAUCUGCACCGCAUACAUCCCAGUGGCGCUGAAAGAAGUGAGCGGGGAAUCCAUCCGGGCCAGGGGCUUUGAUUGGAAACAUUUGGAACAACACACUUUUCACUUCAUCGUGUGUGUAAGGAGCAUUCAGACGAUCGUUCAUUGCCUGCGUUACUUUAGUAGAUACUGACUCCAGUACCCUAUCCAUGCCCUGUACUCCCUCGGUUGUGUAUAAGUUUUUGUAAAAUUCGGUGGUAAGCUCCUCCAUCUCCUCCCUGUCCUCGGUCAGCUAUCCAUCCGAUCGCUGCAACAAUUUUAUCUGGUUCUUCCGGCGGCGGCGGCUCGCUCGCAGGUGAAAAGAAUAAGUGUUUUUGUCACCAUGGACCAGCCAAUCCAGUCGAGCGCGUUGGCGCCACAUCAAUUCCUCUCUAUCAAACAGUUCGACCAGUCUGUCAGCUAUCUUGGUUUCAGUGUUUGUCGGUCCCGUCCGUCCUGGCGCUGAACGCAUGACCUCAAGCUGGCGUUGGAGUUGGCGAAUCUCCAUACGCACCGAUCCGAAGUUGUUGCGGUCCCACGCUGACAAAUCUCCCGCCAGGUUCCCUAGUUUUGCAUGUAUGCCCUCAACCGAUUCUCCAUCCUGCAGACUCCAGCUAUCACGCACAGUGUCAAACAGUGUUUCGUCCCUUUCCCACAUCGUCUCAUAUUUAAAAGCCUUGUGGCCCAUUUUGCAUGCAUGCAACUCACGUAGCUGAAGAAGAAUAGGAAUGUGAUCUGAACUAGCAGCACUUUUGUGCGAUAGCUGUGAUGAUGCGAGGGCGAGAGUCCAUUCUGUAUUUACCAGGCACCUGUCCAGCCUAACCUGGGUGUAGGUGCCUCCUGUGACCCUUUUUUCAAAUGUCCAACUAGUGCCAGAGUAUCCAAUAUCUGAUAACCCACAUGUAUCAACUGCUUCCCUGAAUGCUUCUAUUUGGGCUUGGCUUCGUUGUCCCACACCAUCAUGUUCAUGGCUGUGAAGAACCUCAUUAAAAUCUUCCAUGACUGCCCACGGUCUGUUCUGCGUCUCAGCAAUACCGCGCAGGGUGUCCCAUGUUUUGUAUCUCUCUGGUACCUGGGCUUCGCCAUAGACAAAGGUAAUUCUUACCUGCAAAUCAACUAAGUCAUCAACAAGAAUAUCAAUGUGAUACUUUGAGUAAUCGAUAACUUCCACUUUUAUUUCAUCGUUCCAAAAAAUUCCAAGUCCACCACUUCUACCGGAACUACUAACUGCAAAGCUUUUAUUGUAGCCUAUGCUAUCAGCCAUACUCUCAACCCUCUUUCCCUCUAUUUGAGUUUCAAGAAUACAAACAAUAGAGGGGGCAAACUGCCUCGCUAGAUCGUGAAGCUCUCUAACUGUCGCGGCUUUGCCAAUCCCGCGAAAGUUCCAGCAAAGAAGACUCAUUGCGCUAGGCGCGGCCCCGCUUCGGAGCCCGCCACAUGCGCAUCAGGGUUUUUGGUAGAAACUGUGCUCUUCUCCAGAGCUGACUCAUUAGACGAGGUUGACUUCAAUCUUUUCAGAUCCUGCUUGGGAGGAGGGCUAAGGGGCACCGCAGGUGAUGGCAGAAACAGUUGCUUCGUCUGUUGUACCGAAUAGGUUGGGAACGUGGUUUUUGGAUCAUGUGCCCCUCUCUUCCUGUUGCGAUCAACCUCAGUCAUUGCUACAUCUCCGUCUCGCUGAUCACGUUCCUGGUGAUGUUGAUCAUCAAACGAGUCUGCACUAUUGGGCGAUCGUCCUCUUCCUCUUCCCCCACGGCCUCUGCCGCGACCUCUCCCUGCAUUGCUGCUCUCGCCUUGAUAUCUUUGAAGACCAGAGUCUUUGGGGCAUGAACCCCGUCCCCGCACUCUUUGUGUUGGUGACCUAGAUGUCCACAAACUGCACACCAGUCCGGCAGUCUUUCAUAUUUGACUCUAAAGAUGACUCGUUCCACCGAAUCCUUUUUCCUUAUUACCAGUGAAACAACGUUCUUCAAAGGUUUAGUGACAUCGAUCCUGACUCAAACUCUAGCAAAGUUACCUUCAAAAUCCGGGGAUCUAGGCUCUGCAUAUAUGAAUUCUCCCAUAGUAGCAGACAUAGCUUUGACCUUAGAAAAGAAGCCAUCGGGCAGGUCGUGAAUCUGGAUCCAAAUUUCCAAUUUGUUGAGCUCUAUAGACGACGGCUUUGUGAAGCCAUCAUACUCUGCCAGAACUACUGCUUUCCCCUUGAAAUUCCAGGGGCCAUCUCCCAUAACCCUCUCCCAGUCACCCAGGCACGAGAAUUGCAUUGAGUACAGAUUAUCUUCCAGUGGUCUGAUCUUUACCUCUUGAGCUAGGUCCCAGGCCACUCUCAUAUUCCUAUAAAACCAAUAUUGGCUGUAUGUUUUCUCCGUGUGAACCCUAGCCAACGCCAUCCAGCGUGUUUCUUCCUUCGGCAGCUCGGUGUCUUCCACCACAACAUCAAUCAGAUCAUCUUCUUUCAGUCCAAGUUCCUCCAUCAUCGCAGCCAGAUUGGACGCAGUUGUACUUGAUCCAGAUGCAGUCGAACUCAUCAUGCGCUCGCUCGAGGUUAGGGUUCCGCGAGCGGUAGGUCCCAAGGAGUCACCACCCGCCCAGAACGCCGCGGCGGCCGAAGGCCACAGCGAUCGCCGGAAGGGGGUUAACAUCCGGGGAGGAAAAGUCCCUACGGUGUCGGCGUCGCCGUCGCUCGAGGGAAGAGAAAAACCCUAACGAGAGGGGAAACUUAGGAGGGAGAUUAGUGUUAUCGGUACCUGCCGCCCACACUACUUUAGAUAGCUAAUUGUAACUGGGCUGGCCCAUAUGUGUGAGCCCUCCUCCAUUACCGGUUGUGAAGGAAUUUCCUAUUCAACGCUUAUACCAUUUGUUAUAGUGUUUUCCUUUUGUUACAGUGUUAUCCGGGGACCUCCUACUUGGUCACCUGCGCGCAAAGUAGGAGGGAACGUGCACCCUUGGCUCCCAUGUAAGAGUUUUUCCCGCCCUAUUUUUAUUAUUUCAUUUUUAUGCCUUUUGUUUUUUCAUUUCUGUUUGUGUUUUUCUUCUUUAAAUAAUGUGUGGUUAAAAAAAUUCCCAAUUUCAAAACAAUACCAAAAUUGUUUGACAAAUCAGGAAAUAUUUGUGAAUUAAAAAUUGUUGAUGACUCUUCACUUCAGUGUCUCGACCCACCGGAACAAAAGCCGUGUGUACAAAUUGUGUUCGAAGCUUAUCGUAAACUGGCUUAGCAAGUGUAGUCUUGCCAAGUCUGCCUGGUCCAACAAUUGAGACCAUCUUCAUCUUGUGCUGCUGUUGCUUGAGACCAUGUGUGAGCCUCUUGGUUAGCUUGUUCCAUGCAUCUUCAAUGCCAACGAGCUCUUUCUGAUCAUUGUACAAAGCCAAUACACGAGGGUCAACCUUCUGUUUGCUAGCUGGAUUAGGAACAUCAUUGACCCUGUAUCUGGCACGCCGGCCAGCCAUCUCUUGAGAGCGGUUCUUGAUGUACCUGAUUGCAUCUCCGAUCUGAUGGCGAGUCUUGCCUUUUGUGAACAAGUUGGCCAUCUUCCCUACCUAUCAUUUGAUCAUGUUUGAGUUGGGGACGGCAUCAGAUUCAUAUCCCUCGACGGACACUAGGAAGUUAUCGAUGACAUCCUCCAUGUCAUACGACAGCUCCCUUUUAGGGAUUCAUGUCCCUUGGAAUCUCCGCCACCUUUACGAGGGCAGCGUUCAAGCUCUUCAUGUCCCUCUGGAGGGACUCGACGUACCGAAUAAAUGGGAGUUAGAGGACAGGAAUCUGUUGUAGGAAAGACAAAGGAAAUUGUUCUCCAUCGCCGUCCGGUUCCACUGGGAAAAAAUUACAUCCACUGCAACACCAAGACCGCAUGCUUACCGAGUAGUAGUAGAAGCAGCAGAGCUGAGUAAGGCACCCACUACCGAAUGCAGGGAUAAAUCCAGCACCAAGUAAGCAGCUCACAAGUGAGAGACGGCAUGCGCUUUGCGAACGGAAGGACAGGAGCAGAAAACAUUUUGGGAGAAAGAUCGACGUGGCUCAGAAAAUUGAAGGCGGUCUACUCCUCCUGAUUGAAGCCGGCGACUACACAAGCGCCAUGGUUUGAUGGAGCAAGAGAAAUGGUGUUGAACCCCCAACUCGUUCCAUUUCUAGCAGAAAAGUAGGGCAAUAAUUGAGUGGUGGUAUGUUAUUAGUGCUGGUAAUGGAGUAGGAAGCACCCUAGAAGUGCACCAACUAGUACAUCAAAAUACUCCUGCCAGUGGCGGUGGUAGAUCAUUCAUGUGUACUACUCGAUCGUAACAAGAACAAUUACAUGAACCAGCUUGUGCCACUAGUAAUAAUAUUUAGCUUAUUUUUACAUUAAGUUUUGCAAUGAAUAAUAUUUAGGUUAUUAAAAAGACUAUAGUUUAAUGGAUGGCCCAGAUUUGGAAAUAUUACUGCAGAUUUUUGGUAGUAAUAGACUUGCUUCACUUGUCGAUUUAUAUGAUCUGUCGCUUUCAGCGACGUUUGGGGCUGUGAUUUGGGUUUGUUGUCAUUGAAAUUGCACAACUAUAGAAACUGGAUUCUUUUUUAUUAUUAUAGUGAGCACAAGGAAUCAUGUUACUAGUUGAAUUCAUAGAAAAAGACUCCAUUCAGACUCUGUCCUGCUCCAUGAAAAUAUCCUAUCAGAUAGACGCAGAGCGGUACAUAUACAGACUCAGGUUUCUUGAAAUCUAAUGCAACCAAGUCUUGUACAAUGGUCACAUGUUAUGUGACCUGAACCAAUUAUGGGUUUGCACUUGAUAAUUCCCGCACGAACCACAUGUAAACAUGGUUCGAAGGCUUGAAUAACAAUGUAAAAUUGAUGUCAAGUUUUCCCGACUUGAUUCCUGUCUAGGUUGGAGUCAUCAGUCUACUUGAAGCACUCGUUUUUCUCAUCUACGUUGGAGGACUGAUUGGAGCAUGAAUUAGUUGAGGAGAUAGAAACCCAUUUUUGGCGAGGGAGAGGACAGAAACCCAUGACACAACAAGGUUUUCAUGAUCAUCAUUGGCUAACUUCAAAGUUCCAACAGAGUGCCAACUACCAAGUGAGUAGCAGUACAAGGCACUGUUCAGCUGAAUCAAUCUUUACAACAUUAACCUAUCAUUCACUGGCGUUUCAUACCCAGAAUUGACUCUUAUAACAGUACAGAAGCAAACCCCUACUUCGAGUCAGUGUUGCUCUGUACUUUUUUUAACGGAGGUUAUAACUACGGCCUCUUUAUUUAUUAUUCAGCGGCCAUCUUUAUUUAUUAUUCCACCAAAGUCUAACAAAAACAUACAUCAAGCUACUCGAAGACAUCACUCACACCUACAAAACUCGAAAAUGUAGAGUGCUCUCACACUCCUCAUAUCUAAACCGGUAUCGUCGCUGAUCCAUCCACAUAACGUGUCGGAACGAACAGCCAGUGCAGCAGACCUAAAGCGCACACCACAUGCACAUGUUUUAGACGCCGCCAUCAUCUGCAGACCGCUGACCCAUCUUCAGGAGAGAGAUCCACAUCAUCCUUGCCAGUCCGUCCAUCCAGUCCCUCCCUCCUCUCGGCCUCCCUAUUAUCCCUCCUCACCCUCUGCUGCUGAUCUGUGGCGGCCUCUCCAAUAGCUCUGUGGCCUUCUUUCGCUGCCGCACCGGCCCGAGCGUUGUCGCUUGCAAGCCGUCCGGAGGCCACAAUGGCGCUCUCCCGUCGGGACUUUGCCACAUUCCAGCAUAUCAGUUGCUCUGUCAUGGGGAUCUGUCCUGCUCCUAGCCGUGUCUCCCGCGAUGGUGGUAGACCUGACUUGUACUACAAUGUUCUUUGGUCGCACGGCUGGCCACGGCGGUUUGCUCCGUUCCUUUGUAUCUAUGUUGCAGCUUCAAUUGUGUUAUGCAUGUCAUGGAUGUAUUAUAAUUCUGGGAUGCAUGUAAUUGUAUUGCUAUGAAUCUUAAAAUUGCUAGGUGUUCCAUGAACCAAUGAAUAUGCUAGAAAAUAUUACUCUGUCAUAUAUAUGUUAGAAAAUGUUCUCGUCGGGCCGGGUUUCUCUGCCCUAGAGAACAUAUUCUACAUGUUAUAUGCGACAAUGUAGUGAUGAAUAUUUCACCGGAAAUAGUGUAAAUGCAACCAACUCCCCCAUUAGGAGACAGAGUGGAAUAUUGUUUGACGAUAGACUUGGUUUAUGCAUAUUCGACGCACGUUUGAAUUUUUUCUCCCGAGCCACAAGAAAGCUCCUCGCGCGACCGCGUCCGUCCCUCAUGGGCGGCCGGCCGCGCUGUCCAUCCCUCCUUCCCAGCGCUCUCCCCCACCCUCUCUCUCCCCACCGUUGCCGGGGUGCAUCCCCGGGCUCGGCUCGGGCGGCGCCGGCGGUGCGGCCCACGGCUUUCCCCCCUGCGGCAGAUCCUGUGCGGGGCGGCGCUGCUUAAGGAGGUGCUCUCAGGUGGCGAUGGUUCGGCGCUGCGGUGGGCUGGUUCGCCGCUGACUUCGGUGGUCAGAGGCGGAGGAGCUCCGCGGCGGCGCGGGCUGGUGGCGCCCGUUCGGCCCAGAUCUGGGCCGAGGCGGGCCGGCAGCUCCGAUUUGUGGUGUAUCUUCCUGGAAGCGGCGGUGGGGUGUCUGGAUCCUGGGUGGUGGCGGCAUCGUUGCCGGAUUGUGCAGCGUGGCGGUGGAGUCUUUGCGGGAUCGAUCUGAGCCCGGCUAGGCCCGGGUGGCCUGGUUUGCCUCCCGCCUCGGCGUCCGGCUGGCUACCGCGAUGGCGUUGGAGGAACUGGCCUCUGGCGCGGCGUCGGUGGAGGUUGUCCCCUCCCGCUUGGCUGCGGUGCUGCCACCCCCGGCUCCAUGCGUUCUCAUUUUCCGUCCUCUAGGCCUCGCGGUGGUGGCCUUAGUGAGACGGCGUGGGUGGCCUCAAGACCGCGGUGGCGAAGGAGGGUGGGUGGCGUGUUGGGUGGAAGACUCCGGAGCGAUUGGGUAGUGUGCACAAGUGUUAGAAUCCUAAAAGGUAAAUAGUUUCUUAAGAUCUGAAGCAAGUGUUGGAAGAUUCUGCUGCCUCUAGAUACACAACAAAUGUCCACAUGUUGCUUCUUGGAGAAGCCGAGAGAGCCUUGAGCGGAGUGUUUAACCUUAUGUAUGAUAUUCUUAACUACCAUUUGUAUUAAAUGAACCAAUAAACAUUUUAUGUUAAUUGUCUUGACAAAUUUUGCUGUGUGCAGACUUACAUAUUAGUGGCACUACACAAAAAAAGAUGGCUAAGGGGUUUAUGAAGUAGGAUAGAGAUUGGUGAGAAAAUAUGUGCCCUCUCUCUCGUUUGUAAAGAGGUUCAAAUGUUAUGUGUGUAGCUUUUGCUAGUAUUCUCGAAUCGUUGGCCGUGAAUUGUCAAUUGUGUAAAUGUACAUGUGAAUUGUCUUAUGAAAAACAAUGUGCAACUGAGUGAUUAUGCCUGUGUAUUGUGUUCAUGUCUUUCUGUAAAUUUCGUUUGCAUUGCUGGUAACAUACUGAAAUGAAGUGCAUGCAUGCAAUGGUGAAAUGAAUCGGUACGAUCGACUGGCUGGCGGUCCAAACUAGUACACUAUCACUGACCGGUUAGAUUGCGGGUCUAUGAUGAGCAAGUCAUCACAAACCCUGAUCCACUGACAGACCAGCAACUAGUUAGUGAUGAUGAAAUUUGGCCGGUAAGUGUUAUUCGGAUUUGUAGUANNNNNNNNNNNNNNNNNNNNNNNNNNNNNNNNNNNNNNNNNNNNNNNNNNNNNNNNNNNNNNNNNNNNNNNNNNNNNNNNNNNNNNNNNNNNNNNNNNNNNNNNNNNNNNNNNNNNNNNNNNNNNNNNNNNNNNNNNNNNNNNNNNNNNNNNNNNNNNNNNNNNNNNNNNNNNNNNNNNNNNNNNNNNNNNNNNNNNNNNNNNNNNNNNNNNNNNNNNNNNNNNNNNNNNNNNNNNNNNNNNNNNNNNNNNNNNNNNNNNNNNNNNNNNNNNNNNNNNNNNNNNNNNNNNNNNNNNNNNNNNNNNNNNNNNNNNNNNNNNNCUCGGGUUUCUGCCCCUUUAUGAUAUAUGAGAAAACUGAACGAUUCAGGUGAAACUAGUCAUGAUAAUAAUUAGCAAUUCUAGUAUUUUAACACACAUAUCCCAAUCACUAUAGUUUUUUCAAACGACUAUUUUAACAACGCAUCUACGAUUCAUAGUAAAAUGUGACAUUGUAUACUGUAAAAUUUCUACAAUCUACAAGGUCAAAUUUAUUGUAAAUGUGACCACAACACCAGAUACACUAGAAAUAAAGUAAAACCCUAAAAGUCCCAUGCUAGCUAGACUACUCUUGGUUGGCUAGAAAUUAGGAGGGAGUACCCAGAUGCCAGUUUGAGCACGAGCUGCUACAUAAGAUCCCGCUGAUUUGAUCCUCUGUGUGACAUUGUCGCUACUUUCAUCUUGCAUAGGAUAUACACGGUUACCAUUGCCAUCAAAACUUGCCAAGUAUGUCAUAUCAUCAGCGUAGAUGUGGUUUCUCUGCACCCUGUCGCGCCCAACCACCGGCACGUCAACCGCCCUGGACAUUUUCCCCAAAAAUAAGGCGGAGUCACCCAAGGUCCUUACUUCCUCCCACUUACGAGCAUACUUUGUCAUCGAGUCAUCAUCCAACACAUAAACCUUGAAGAAAGGCUCAGGGCCGGUGUGGUAUGAUGGGAAUUUCCCCAGUACCAUCGCUAGCUUCCCUUGCAGCUCAACAAUGUGAGUCGACCAUGUGAAAGGUUCACUAACAAUCUUGAUAUGCAACUCGGCGUCAAUGGCGAGCAGAGGCCUGCCAUAUUUGUUCGCGCCUAUGUUGAAUUUGAUCAGGUCAUUGGAGAAUAUUAUAUUAAUGUCAAUUUAAUAUUAUACUAUGUGUCGUCAAUUUAAAAGGCUCCUGCCGUCAUGCCUUUGAGUAUUAUAUUAAUGUCAAAUUGUUUAAAUGCUAGUAAUUAGUUAACUUAGAAGCAAACUGUUUAUUGAUAAAAUGCUAUAGUAUAAUUAAGGGAGUUUUUUUUUUGAAAAAUAAUAAUGUUAGAUAUAUGCUGAUGCAACAAGGGCAUGAUUUUAUUUGUUAGCAAUACUAAUAAAAAAGUUCAUAGAAAAUAAUUUUAUACUCCCGAGGGUUAUACACAUAGUUUAAUUUGUUAAUUGUUAAAAAGUUAGCUAUACAACUAGCUAUAUAUUUGUAAAUACUAAUUAGUAGUGUAAAAAAGCAGGAACGAGCACCCGCCUAUGAUACCUUGAUUUACCAACACAAAACGUGCAUCUUGUGUGUAUGAUUGUGAAAUGCACGUUGUGUGUGGAGUUUGACAUCUAAUUUUUAACCCGCUGUUGGUCUUUCAUAUAGAGGAAUGUCUCGCUGUGCUUCCACGAGUCCCUGUAGUUCGCUACGGCUCAGAAACACAGUGUUCGGACGUCAGAUACACUAAAGUUGCACUAUGACAACCAUUGUACAAUCCAGCCCGCCUCAGUUAUAUUAAUAAAAAUAUCGAUCCGAGAACUUUAUCAUGUAUCUGGUUGCGACAGACGCAUAUACGUUCGAGAAAAAGGAGAUAAAUGGUCCUGCGAAGGUAAGGUGGCAGCUAUCGGUGUUCUAGUACACAAGACAACCGAACGCUACACACAGUACUACAAGUCAGUAAUAAAUAGAGUCUGGCGACUACUAGGCUGGCAUGACAGUGCUGUCGAGCGACUCGCCGAUGUGUAUGGCAAUGUGGAAAAUGCAUCCCAUUACUUCUCAUCUCCGCUCCUCUUUGCUCGGUUUGUCCAAGAAGCGGAACACACCACUCAUGUCGGCCUACAUGGCAUAACAUGCUCGUGGAGAAACUAUGNNNNNNNNNNNNNNNNNNNNNNNNNNNNNNNNNNNNNNNNNNNNNNNNNNNNNNNNNNNNNNNNNNNNNNNNNNNNNNNNNNNNNNNNNNNNNNNNNNNNNNNNNNNNNNNNNNNNNNNNNNNNNNNNNNNNNNNNNNNNNNNNNNNNNNNNNNNNNNNNNNNNNNNNNNNNNNNNNNNNNNNNNNNNNNNNNNNNNNNNNNNNNNNNNNNNNNNNNNNNNNNNNNNNNNNNNNNNNNNNNNNNNNNNNNNNNNNNNAAGACGAUGAAAAUUGAGUAAACACAAAAGUAAAGUAGCCGGUCUCAUUAUCAUUAGAAGACGAUGGCAACUACUGCAUGCACCCAUACAUUCUUGGAUCGCUAUAUUUGGCUUAUUCGGUCACAAACCGACGACUUUGCAGCUGCUACAUAAACAACGCUACUCUGGAUCUUAGGGAAAAAUGUUUGGAGACGGAUAUUGAUAAAGGAAACCGAGGAGAGUUGGUGAUGUGAGUCUACUCCAUCGUGCAUGCUACCUACAUGGACAAGCACAUCCGACCUGGCACAGCCUCGAGUUUCAUUAUCCCCUCUUGAUCCCUCUGAUGUUUCCUCUUUCUCUUCAUCAUCAUCUUCACAUCCCUCAAUGUGCACGUUUUUGUGCCUCGAUUUGAUUGGUUCAACUACUUGCUGGCUAUCCUCAGAGUGGUCAAUUUUUUUGGUGUUCGCGAGGAGUCACCAGUACAAGCAUGGUACUGAUAUGUCAUACAUGACCGUGGCAUUUGUACUUGUAGUUUCCUUUCAUUUUUCAUUUUCCUUUUUAAACGCAUACUGUACUUUCUUUACUACACGAUAAUUAAUAUACACUGCACAUUUUUGUAGUAUACGUCAAACAAAUUUUUUAAUUGUAUGAAAACAUAUUUUAUAUUCACACUAUUUUAAAAAAAUAUAGUGAAUAUUUCUAAAUACAUCUAUAAUUUUUUAAUACACAAUGGACAAUUUUUUCAUGUACACAUAACACUUUUUAGUAUAUGAGGAACAUUUGAAAUAUACGGCGAACAUUUUCUAUAUACCCACUAAUAUUUUUAUAAAUGCUGAACAUUUUAAAAGUACACGUUCAUUUUUGUGUUUUCACAAACCAUAGAAAACCAAGAAACUGAAGUAAAAUGAAUAAACGAAAAAAAACAGUACCGGACAGCUCCGUCGCUGCAAAAAUAGGUCUGCACGUCUUAGUGGGCCUACCCAUUCAGAGUCACCUAUGCGUAUCCUCAACUUUUUCGACAACGGGUGCCUUUUAUUUACUUAUAAUGUUGCAUCGAGGGAUACAAUCAUAACAAGCACACACCCAAACUAUGUAUAACUAGCAUACACACUGCGAACACACAUAAAAAAUCACACUGGCAAAUAACAAAGUCAAAUAAGACAAGAACUAUGGCUAGACACAUACAGAAAACGAAGGAAAGAAGAAGAAAUCCCGAGGCGACCAAAAGAGCAUACGUGAGUGAUCAUAUGUGCCAACCAUCUGAACUACUGCGUCAACUAGGAGGUCUCGCUUCUAAGGCCAUCAAUAAUAUUAACGAUGGUUCCAUAUAAAAAAAGAAUAUUAACGGUGGUAGCAGGUGCGAGAUCUUAAAUUAUCAUUUUUUAAGGCCGCUCCAUCGUUUUUGUUCUGCACAAGUGGCUCCCCUAGCCGUAACCCCACCCACUGGUUAUGUAGUUCUUUAAGAGAAAAUCGAUGACACAUGCAAGCAACAAUUUUGUAUCUUCUGUCAUUUGUUUAUACUAUGCCAUCACGAGGAGAUUGCACUUAAAAAGACAAAUUGCAUAUAGGAUAGUUAAAAAAGGGUUGUUUUCUGUCGUGGAAAGGUUGAUUCUAGUAUGAGUAUUCUCUUGGUAUCCGUUCCUUCAUGGAGAAGAGAAGGUGAUUUUCUCUCGCCGCCCCGUCAAUUGAAAUUAUACAUGUUCAAUGAUGACAUGAAGGUUAAUUUCACACCACUCAUUCAUUGUGCUUGCCUUGAGUUCCCUUCAAGGAUAUACCGUGGCAUUCCCGCCUCAAAGAGCUUUUUCAAACCCCUUUCUCAAGAUGCACAACUCAGUCAUUGUUAUCUUGUGUAGACGGGUUCAUCCAACAGGGUAUAAGAUAACACGAUGGACUGAACUGAAGAGAAAAGAAAAAAAAAAUCAUCUACUAAGCCUUAAGCAUUAAACAAGCUUGGAGUGUUGGUCAGCGUGCGACAUCAUUCAAGAAUUUUGUGGACCUACGCUGACCCAAUGAACUUGUGCCCUAUCCCUUGAAGAAAUAUCUCAUCAAUUAUGAAUAAAAAUGUUUGAAGCAUAGAAGUACUCAUGUUUUGACAACAAUACGACCCAUUGUCAUAAACUCAUAAUAUCCCCAAUUUUUACUCAUGAAAAUCAUGUUUGCAUCCCUUUUUGACUCGUUACAUUGCAAUUGUGUCCCAAUUAGAUAACAAUAACACUAAUGAUUGAGCUUGCCAUUGGUAUUCAGUUAUGUGUACACACACAUCACCUUAUGGGUAUUUCACACGAGAAGAAAAUUAGAGGCGAUUUAUUUGCAACUAACAGGCGCUUGCCGCCUCCCAUUGGCUCGCUGCUUGCCAACAAGCAUUCGAUUCCAUUCAACUGAAUUUAAGAAAAAUGGUCAGCAUGUUGGCGCUGUACUGUGUUGGGUUCGUUGAUUGCAUCCAUAUAUAUAAGCAGUCCAUUCCAUUCAACUCAAUUCAUCAACUGCAUCCAUAAUAAAUAUCAAAAAUUCCCCAUGGCACACAACGUGAUUUGCUUGCUUCUUGAUCGGAUUAUCAAACACCGGAGGGGUGUCUUCCUGUGUGAGGGUGGCCGAAACAAACUCGGCAAUUGCAGACGCUCUGAACUCGCCAUCUGCAAUACACACAGUACAUUGUUAGCCAAUUUAACAGUCAAACCAACUCGGUACAUAGAAAUGGAAAGGAGAAGCUAAAACAAGUUUACCAUAUACUGUUAACUUCGCCUCUUUUUUCUUGAGCAGGACUAGUGAUGGGCGCUUUGCUUGCGGGUCAACAUGGAAAAGCUUGGCUAUAUCAGGACUGGUAGUCUGGUAGAUGUUGACAGCCCGGUACAAGCUGUUGAAAUCUUCCAGCCUUGAGGCAGCAGCAAGCUCUUCGGUGUGAGCACCCUAUAGCAUUUGUUGAUAAGAGUAAUCAAUUUUGGGCCACAUGUGCGGUGCAAUUGCAGCAAUUCGGUUGGAUGGUAGACUUUGCUGGGAUUGGAACGUACCGAAAGGGAGUCGAGGAAAGCUAGCACGGCUACUUUGCCGCCGGUGAUGAUCUUCUCGGCCUCGUCGAUGGUGGUGACGUUCUGCACCUCAGGGCCCAGCCUCUGGGAUAUCCAAGUGACCAUGGCGUCCCUGCAGCAGUGGAAAAUUCGCCACCAUGAGGGAUGAAAUAUAAGACCGUUUAGAUCACCAAAGUAAUCUAAACCACGAACAAAAAAUAAGAACAAAAAAUUUGAAUGGAACAUUUCCUGAAAUUCACAAACAUUUCUUAAAAACAUGAAUCUUUCUAAACCACGAACAUUUUUUAAGUUGUCAACAAGAACAUGUUUUGAAGAUUCAGAAGAGUUGUAGUAAUUUUUUUCUUUAAUGCAAACAUUAUUUUCAAUUUUUGAACAUAUUGUGAAAACAACAAUAUUUUUAGAAUUUGGAAUAUUUUCAAAAUGCAUUUUUCUAAAUAUUGUUUUUUAAAUACAGUUAUUUUUUAACAAAUGGCAAUAUUUUUUAAAUUUUGAAAUACAUUUGGCAGAACUAAAAAAAUUCCAAACAUUUUUAGAAUAGGAACACAUUUAUGUAAUUCGUAUAUUUUUAUGAAUUCUUGAAUAAAAAUGAAAUUGCGAUAUUUUCCGAAAAUUUUGAAUUUCAGAAAAUACGUAGAAAAUAGACUUAGAAUGUGAAAAGUAAAAAAUAAAUACGAAACAAAAAGAGAACUAAGCAGAAAAAUAAAAAUGGAAACCGAACACAAGCAUAAAUCGGCCGCUGAGUUUUGGGCGCCUUGUGCGUACCUGAAACUAUUUACCGCCUUGUGCGGGAAAUAGGAUUUUUUGUUGCUACAUGGGCAGGAAAAAAUGGGCUGAAUUUACGGGGCCAUAGUGCGCGCGGCCCAUGUACGAAAUUUUGCACAAAUUGUUUUUCCUUUGCUAAUAGACGAACAUAGAAAGUUUAGUACCACCUCGGAAAGAAAAACAAUAAUUUUUUGGCGGUGAACGGAUAAAAAAAUCGGAGAAACGCACCUUGCUUUAUUAGUAGGUAUAUAUAGAUAUUGAUAUAGAUAUAGAUUGCUCAAGGUGAAAAGCUAAGGCUAUCCUCUUAAGAAAAAAAACGAAGUUAUCUUCCUCGAAAGAAAAACAAAACUAUGUUAUAUAUCCUCCUCUCAAUCAACAAAAUCACCUCUCCUCGAGCAAGCCAACUCUGACUGCACCAUGGGUAAACGUCAAGAUCCCUCCGAACGAUACACGAGAACCGUCUCGGCCACUGCCAAACAAUUGGCCACAAGCUUCGACAACAUAGCAGCUUGGAUUUUGCCGAUGAACUUUGCUGGGGAAAAUUGUAAGCCUCGCACCGAUCUAGUCCAGCGCAAUCUCUGGAGAGCAGCGUCCACUGAAACCAUCUUCAUGGAGUCAUCGUUUCCGCAGGCGCCCCUCCACACACAGCUUCAUCUUCUUUGUUACAACAAGAAACAAGCAUAGGCACACCCAUUGGCACACCCGACUGUCAAAUUCAGAAGGGCCAACCACGACCUAGCUCCGCUCGCCACCAUUGUCGUCGCCACGAGUGCCAACACCAACUACUCGCAUCAUCAGCUGUGCACCAUCCAACCGUGAGAAUGUGCAUAUCCAACCCAGGAAAAGUGUGGAGGGGAACAAAUCUUCAAGACGGCGCCCUAAGUGGGGAGCGAUGCAGAAAUAACAAUGUUGUCCGACCCUGCAACAGGGACCUUAGGCUUUUACUGAAGACAUCCCAAGGGUGACCAAGAUGGAAGAGCUGCACGGCGACCCUCCAAGAAGGAAUAACGACACUAGCAACCGCCACAUCAUCAUUGAUGGCAUAAUCCAGGCAAGCCUUUGCCCCGGAGGAACAAACGUGCACAUACACCCCCACUAGACAAAAUACUGCCUUACCUAUAGACAAAUCAGUUCUUUUUUGGGCGAGAUAAGCCCAAAGUAAUCUGUGCAAAUAUUCUCUGUAAAUUCAAAAUCUAUGUGUAUUAUAUGUAGUUAAUCAACAUUUUACCGCCCAAAUUAGAAUCCUAGCCACUUUAUACCUCGAACUUUCAUUAAAUGUGUCUAGACUUACGUAUUGAGUGCACCAUGCAUGCUGCCAAGCCAACCCGCGUUGAAUCGCGCCAUAAAUUUCCUUAAGUUUAAAUUUCCGCUAGGAUUUACCUUGUAAAUAAGUUUCCACCGUUCUUACUAGCACAAAUUUAAAGCUUUGGGGUAAAUCCUUUCUGCAUAAUCCCUGUAAAAAAUGAUAAAAGUAAAGGUACAAAGUAGAAAUUUUAAUAUAUAUCAUCACACAAUCAUAGUACAACCAGCACACACAUACAAUUAUCAUCCAUACAAGCCAGAAAAGUAAGUCAGAACAAUCACAAGAUUUACAUGGGCAUCAUACCCUAAUCUUGAUUGAUCUUGACAUUAUAUAGCACAGAAUGACUUGAUGGUGGUGGGUUACAACACACCACUUAUUUAAUCCAGCAGGCAAUAUAAGUCACGAGUAUACUAUAUCUGGCGCGGUUGAUGUACUCGAACAUCUCAUCCCAGCGGCUCCUCUUGGAUGUGUGCUUCCACAUUUUCCUUUUCCGCUUGUGUCCCAAGUGGUGGUUUUGGUUGUGCAUUCGGGUCCGGCAGUCCAGGCAGUGGUUGUGGGUUUGGGUCUGGUAAUGGUUGUGGGUUUGGAUCAGGCUGCGGUCCUGGUAAUGGCUGAGGGUUUGGGUUUGGUUGUGGGUCCGGCAAUGGUUUUGGGUUUGGGUCUGGUAAUGGUUGUGGGUUUGGAUCAGGCUGAGGUCCUGGUAAUGGUUGAGGGUUUGGGUUUGGCUGUGGGUUNNNNNNNNNNNNNNNNNNNNNNNNNNNNNNNNNNNNNNNNNNNNNNNNNNNNNNNNNNNNNNNNNNNNNNNNNNNNNNNNNNNNNNNNNNNNNNNNNNNNNNNNNNNNNNNNNNNNNNNNNNNNNNNNNNNNNNNNNNNNNNNNNNNNNNNNNNNNNNNNNNNNNNNNNNNNNNNNNNNNNNNNNNNNNNNNNNNNNNNNNNNNNNNNNNNNNNNNNNNNNNNNNNNNNNNNNNNNNNNNNNNNNNNNNNNNNNNNNNNNNNNNNNNNNNNNNNNNNNNNNNNNNNNNNNNNNNNNNNNNNNNNNNNNNNNNNNNNNNNNNNNNNNNNNNNNNNNNNNNNNNNNNNNNNNNNNNNNNNNNNGGCAAUGGUUUCGGGUUUGGGUCUGGAAAUGGUUGUGGGUUUGGAUCAGGCUGCGGUCCUGGUAAUGGCUGAGGGUUUGGGUUUGGUUGUGGGUCCGGCAAUGGUUUUGUGUUUGGGUCUGGUAAUGGUUGUGGAUUUGGAUCAGGCUGCGGUCCUGGUAAUGGACGAGGGUUUGGGUUUGGCCGUGGGUCUGGUAGUAGCUGCGGGUUUGGGUUUGGCCAUGGGUUCAUCAACCGUUGCAGGUUUUGGCCUGGCAAUGGUUGUGGAUUUGGGUCAGGGUGUGGUCCUGGUAAUGGUUGAGCAUUUGGAUCAGGUUGUGGCUCAGGCAGUGGUUGUGGGUUUGGAUUAGGUUUAGGAUCGGGUAGUGGUUGCGGGUUUGGGUCUGGUCGUGGUCCUGGCAGUGGUUGUGGGUCUGGCAAUGGUUGAGGAUUUGGAUUUGGUUGUUUUCCUGGUAGUGGUUCUGGAUUUGGGUUAGCCCGUGGGCCGUAUAGAGGGUCUCUAGUGAUCAAGGUGUGCCUCCCUGCAGCAAGAGCAAACGCUGGAAGAAGCAUAAGCAGCAGCGGUGCUACGAGAAGAGAGGACGAGGAGGGGCGCUUCCUCAUCGUCAUGGCUAGGCUUGUGUUGCUACGUACUUGCAAGUGUGUGCGCCUCCAUCUUCAUAUUUAUAGGCGAAUUCAGCCAAUUAAGGCUGGACAAGCAUGUACGCUGUUUACUCCAACUCUGAUUGGGCUUGUUAGCUUUGCCUUUUGGAGAUGCAGGGCUGCAUGCCUCCCCUUAUAGUGCUCCAAUAGGAGGCCAAUCACAACAAAAAGUUAUCUAGGGAAGUUGGAGUGGUGUUGGUCCGGAUAGAUGUGGCAUUUUUUAGUUGAUCGUGGGAGAGCAACAUGCAGAAGCAUACAGUCGCCCGAGUUGUGAACAACAUGAUCACUUUCAAUAAUUCUGUUGAACAUAUAGCAGCGUAGUAGAUGGCUUUGAGCAUGGGAAUUUUAAAUUGUCCUAAAAAUAUUAUUUAUUUUAUGUUAAUUUAUAAAAUUAUGAAAACAUAUACAUGUUAUGUACGCAUUUGAAUAGUUUAAUUAAGCCAUAUGAUGAUUUGUAGGCUACACACAAAAAAUAAAUUUCCAGCCCAAAUGCAGUAGAAAUUAGCCUAUUUUAAAUUUUGUAUUUGUGGUUUUUUCCCUUUGUGUAGACUACAUAUGAAAUUGUUGAAAUUUUUGUUUUGUAUUAACACACCACACCUUUUUCUUGAGGAAAAUUUGAGGUGUAAGAAUAAAGUUCUUGAUAAAAAAAUGAAGAAGCCUGUAGGAUGUUUUAUUGUACACAAUCAUCGGAUUCUAAACUUGAGGUUUGCAUGUAUGGGUUUAUUUUCUAUGGAAUCUAGUGUAAAUGAGUCCUAUGAUAUAUUAUUUUCUUCUAUGAAUUGUUAUUCUACGACUCAAACAACACAUACAGGAAAAUUUUCUAAGGAUUAGUCUCCUCCAAAAUUUCAUUAAAACCCCUUUGAAUCCAAGAAGCCUAGCACCAAAGCUUUUUUGACAAUAUCGGAAAGUGACCAAAGCUAGUAGCUUUCCUAUCGGACAGUGAUGCACUUUAAGUACGCGGUUUCUAAUAAUCACGAUCAGUGCACGCCGUGCACAGGGCACUCAUUUCGGUUGUAGCCGUAACUUUCACAUUUCAUACACCAAUCACGACCAGUUGCUUGUUGGUAUACAUGCAAUGUUCUAGAAGAAAAAAAAGACCAGUCCUAUGUACAUAUGCAUGCUUGCAUCUAGUUGGGCAGUAGGAUGACUUUAUACCUAACCUACGGAUUGAAUCGUAUGUAUAGAUGAAAAUAAAAGACAUCCAUAGAGUACCAAGUUAAAGACGAUAUGACCUCACAACUAGAUUGGGUUGGGUGAGUGGAGUGCCACUUUAAUCCUUGUCUGCAGCACGCGUGAUAAUAUUUCUUCAGAGGCGCUGAAGUGGGGAACAUGACUGAUAGAACAAACAACAAGUGAGAUAUUUUGAGCUUCACUAGGUUGGAGGCCUGGUGUGCUCAGAAUUUAUCAGGGUGUUCUUCAGGUUGCAGCACUGCUACCAAGGCAUUUCUCCAUGUAGAAGGAAUAGAGGGGAAAUUGGUGGAAUUGUUGAUGUAUUGCUUGAGCCUCGUGUGCAUAUAUAUGGGAGCACAUGAUCUUCUUUGAGUACGUGAUAAGCUAGAAUAACAAUGGGUUUGCCCUUUGUGCUGAUGUCGAGGUAGCCAAGAGCGUAGGAUGGUGUAGCUAUGUGAGGGGCGCCGUGGUCGAUGUCGAGUCGGGGUGGCCGGUAUUGAGGAAGUUGCCGUAGACGAUACUUGAGUCCCUUGAGAGACAUCAGAGUAUGACUUUAUAAGAACCGUUUCCGACGACGACGACUUUGAAAAAAAAUUUGAAUUGUUUUCUUUACUUAUAGGUGGCAUGGUGGGUUAUUUACGACAGUUUUGGGGGCGAUUUCAAUGACGGACGACAAGAAGUAGUCUGUGCUUUAUUAUUAGGGAAAAGAUAUAUCAAUAUCCACAAUACAAAAUUUAUAUCAUUUGAUCUAUCAUGAGAAGUAGUUUCAUAUUUUAUGUAUUAGGUAUUGCAAAUGUUGUUAUUUUAUUCCAUAAUUUUGGUCAAACAUUGAAAUGGUUGACUUGCAUGGAUAGCAAUACACCUUAUAUUCUAGAACGGUGGGAGUAAAACAAUGUGUAUAUGCUGUUAAUUAGGACGGUUCGUGGUAAAUACAUGAUUUGCUAGACACAUUCAUAUAUUUACAAAAAAAAAGAUGCAAAAAAAAUUUAGACCAUUAGUUCAACUGAAAAUGGAAAGUGGAAAUUUAGCUGGCACAUGUUGGAGCAGCGAUCCAGGCGGAAUCUUCUCCGGUCACUGGCGACGGGCUCGUGUGUUUCGGCAUCAGCGAUCCAGGCGGAAGAAGAGCGGCGGCAGUGAUGCAGAGCUAAUCCAGCUCUCGAAGUACAAUAUGUCCUCAUCCAGAACGGUGCAAGGGUGCAUGUAGCUAUAUGCAUGUGCAUGGAUGACGCAACGUAGGCAGGCAGGUGCACCGCGCGGGGUGCCUUGGCCACGCGCACAGUGGCACGCUGAUGCAAGCGUGAAGCCGGUGUGCAGGAACCGAUCUGGAUGGAGGAGAGUUGUGGACAGGGGUGGGCAUAAAAACCGACCAACCAAAUGCUGAACCAAUACAGAAACCGAAAAAACCAGUGAAAUUUGGUUUUUACUUAUGAUAACCGAAAUUAAAUUGCUCGGUUCGGUAUGAAACCUGUAACCGAAAGAAAAACCGAAUAGCCGUCGCUCGAGGCUAGGCGCGCGUCUUGCCGCAGAACUACCGUGUACAGGCGGGAGCCCCUAGUCAGCGCCGAUUAGGCAACUUGGUGCCUAGGUGCGUGUUGCCAACCACUAUACCACAGAGGCUCUAGUGAAUUAUUAGGGCCCGAUCUGUUCAAGAAGUACGUAUAACCACGCUAUUUACUAGGGGUGGAAACGGAUCGGAUGCGGAUCGGAUAGUGCUCUUACCACUUUCAUUUUCAUAUUUUUAAAACGAAUAUGAAUCCAAAUACGGAUAUUAUCGGAUACUGAUGCGGCUCGGAUAUUAUUCGAAUACGGAUACAUAUUGGAUAUUUUCUUGAUUCGGAACAGAUACGAAUAAUAUCAACAUAUUGCUUAAGUAAAUUAGUCGAUAGCUAUGUGACCUAAAAUAAUCAACUUGUGACAUACAAUAAGUCAAUGAUAAAUAGGUUUAUGUAUAAAUACUAUUGUAAUGCAUAAUAAUUUAUCAGUUUAAUCAUAUAAAGAGUAAAAUUCGACCACUUAUUUGGCUUUUAUGUUGGAUAAUUGGAAUAUUGGGCCUAGAAUUUUAAAAAUUACCUCCCAUAAUCUUAUUCGGAUACGGAUAUAUCCACUUCCAUAUCCAUAUUUGUGUCAAAAUCUCCUACCAUAUUUUAUUUUUUAUUUGUUUAAUAAAUUCAGAUACGGAUAAUUUCCAUUUCCAUUUUGGUUCGGAUGCGGAUGUUUCGGAUAUGAAUAGGCAUUUUCUCGAAUACGAAUAUCGGAUAUUUCGGAUUAUCCGCUACCACUUUCCACCCCUACUAUUUACUGCGUAUAUAAAUUAGAAAAACACAAUAUUCAAACAAAAAUGUGAAGAAAAUCUGAAAGUUCAUAGAUGUAAAAACAAACCGCGAACUAAAAAAAGGAUCAUGAAUUCAAAGAAUUUUCAUGAAUUAGAAAAAAAUCAUCAAUUUAAAAAACGUUCAAAAACUUUGAAAAAGUCUAGCAAUUUUGAAAAAUGAAUAUUUAGUUUUUCUAAAAGUGCAUCAGUUCUGAAAAAAGUUCAUCUAUUUUGAAUAAAAGUUCAUCGAUUUUGAAUAAAAGUUCACCGUCGAUUAAAAAAUUGAAAAAAAGUUUGUGGAUUUUGGAAAAAGAAUUCAUUGAACUCGAAAAGUUCAAUCAAUUUCAAAAAGUUCAUAGGAAAUGAAAAAAAGUUCAGCGAAUUUGAAAAAAAUUCGUCGAAAUGGGAAAAAAUUAUCAAAAUUAAGAAAAAGUUAUUCCAAUUUGAAAAAAGUUCAGCGAAAUUUUACAAAUUCACCGAUUUUUAAAAAAUCAUCAAAUUUUAAAAAAGUUCAUCGAAUUUGAAAAAAAGUAUAGAAAUUGAUAGAAAAAUUUCAUAAAUUUAGAAAAAAGGUUCACAAAUUUUAAAAAGCCGUGCAUUAAACAAAAAAAAGAAUGAUAAAAAAUAAAAAAUAAAUAUAAUAAACCGAACUGAAUGACAACUAAAAAAAGAAAAACGAACUAUCUUUGCACUAGCGCGGUGGUGACCUGGUAGUUACAUCGUAGUGGUUGCAAUGGAGGGGCUGCGGGUUCGAACUCUAGUGCCAGCAUUUAUUGACGUUUUCGAAAAACGGAGAAAAUAUUAGAAUGGGUCAGCCCAGCGCGGGGCGCUCGUUUGCAAAAUACACAUUAAUGGGUGCCUGCAGCGCCAAAUAGGGUUCGCCCGUACAGACGGCGCAGUGUGAGCUAAGCCAACCUUUUGCGUUAUAGGUAUGGGCCUUUUACCAAUUGCAUGUCCCAAAGCCCCAAACGGAAUAACUAAUAUCACUACUUCUGAGAGCCGGUGGUGUGCAGCGACUUUGUUUAGUCCCACAUCGCGUAGGUACUCUCAAGGGACAACAUGCUCAGUUAUAGAAGAGGGUGGGGCUGCACAGACGAGUUUGAUCACAGCUAAGUUGUAAGCUUGUAAGCAACGAAGUAUAUAUUCCAUUUAAACUGAAAACCAAACCGAAUUUGCGGUUAACCGAAAUCUUGGUUAGCUGUUUUUGGAUGUUAAUUUUGUUUUCUAGGUUGUAAACCGAAUUUGAUGAUUAACCGAACACUAUAAACCAAAAUUUUGGUUUCUACCGAAUGCCCACCCCUAGUUGUGGAGGCCAUGAGCCAAUGUUGGAGUAGUGACGCGCGAUGAGACAGACGACGGACGGGCAACUCAAUUCGAUCUUAGAUCAAAGAACAAAAAAAGAUCACCGACCAAUUGAUCGGCGAGAGAGAAAAAACCUGCUAGAAUCGAUUGUUUAUUGCUUGAGUAUCAUGGGCGUGUAUAUAUAUAGAAGUACAUGAUCAAUUCAGAGUACAAGACAAGUCAGAACAAAUCCUAGUCCAUCUCAUAUUUCCUAACUAAUCACGAUACUCAACACCGCCUCGUCGAAACCAGUUUGGAAAAGAAGCUUUAUCGACAAACAUCCAGGAUAUGUGUGGCAUACUACUAUCAUCAUGCUAUAAAUCCUCUAGGAGUAACAAUCAGAGGUAGAUGCGUUUGUGGAAGGAACAACUCAUCAGCCCACCAGAGAUAUCUACAACUGGGAUGGAUUUUACAUGUGAAAUUUACUGAGUAACAGCCAUGGCAGAAGGUGCAUGGAUUCUUUUUGGCUAAUUUUGGAUAAUAAAUAAAUAAAGGGUGACAUUCACAGGUAUCCGCUAGGGCCACGAUAUCGUCUCCAUCAUGGCAUGUGGUCCCAACAACAAUUUGGCCCAGCACUAAAUAAUUUUAUUUUGUACGCUUGGUGAUUAGUACAUUUCAAAUAUAAUAGAUUAACUGCAAGUCAAGACAAUUGGUUAUUCUUUGGUCAUGUUAUCUCUUGCAUGCAUUUCAUUAUGUCCCUUUUUAGAGGUCUAUAGAUGGCUUGCUGAAACAUAUCCAUUUGACAUCAUCUAUCCCUUUAGCCUUAGUGGGGACCAUCUUCCUGUACGUGGUCAUGAUAUCUUUUGGAUGCAGCUUUAUUUGCCUUUAAGCCUAUAGAUAAGAUACUUCGUUCCUUAUCCAUUUGACAUUAUAUAUUGUUCCUUGGGCCUCGUCAGUUGUGGAAUUCAAGGAUGGACAAACGAUCCGCCACUGCUUGUUUUAUGGUGAUGCUUGUGUUGUUAGGAAGCAGUAUGACUGCAGGUAUGUUCUAGCUUUUGUUCUUCUGAAGUAGGUUUCUUAUGGAAUUACUGGAAGUUUUCUUAAAUACGAUGUUGACGCACAUUGUUUCUAUGCCGUGGAGGAAUAAUACAUGUUACCAAUUAUGCAAUAGUUGGACACGGUAUGUUAUUACAAUUGAUGUCUCACUAUUAUGGUCUAACCCUUAAUAUAUUUGAGAUGCACAGAGAACUGUGAGAUUAAGCGCGACAGGAUGACAUUUUGUAUAAAGUCUGAAUGUCUGUAUCAUUGCCAGCAUCGUUGGUAUUAUAAAGUCACGCAGUCUUGGUGUGAUGGUGUCUUCUUCGGCUUCUGCAACUGCAAGAUUUGCAUCGUCAUAUAGAACUUCAAUGGAUACUUACUAUGUCAAGUGCACUUGAAUCUUUGUUUUAACAAUUGAGCACUAUGUAUCCAGGAGUAAUAGAGUUAUGUUUGGAAGCGAUAAUAAUAUGUCUAGUCUCAUAAAAAUCUGCUUAAAGGCAAAACUCAUAGAGUUAUUAAUAAAUAUAGUAAAUGCUAAGUGCACUUGAAGCUUUCAUUUAUACUGGAAUCAGUGCUUAAAACCUAAAUCCAUGGACCAUACAUAUAGAUCGAUUACAUUAGUCUAUGAGUAACUCUAAUAGAUUACUUAAAACCUCUAAGUUCUUUACAGAACUAUUUUUUAACAUAUUUGAACCGAUGCAGUAAAUUUCCUACUACUUGUGCCUAUUUAUUUGCCUUAGUCUAUGAGUAACUUUAAAUGUAAUAGUAUCUUACGCUCAACUUCAUUGCCGCCGACCUGGUGUGGCAUUGAAGGCGCGACCCUCUAUUUUGCACUAGUAGAAAAGGGGGCUUUCGUUCGGGCCUGGCUAGCCCUGUUGGGGAACGUAGUAAUUUCAAAAAAAUUCCUACGCACACGCAAGAUCAUGGUGAUGCAUAGCAACGAGAGGGGAGAGUGUUGUCUACGUACCCUCGUAGACCGAAGCGGAAGCGUUGACGCAACGUAGAGGAAGUAGUCGUACGUCUUCCUGGUCCAACCGAUCCAAGCACCGUUACUCCGGCACCUCCGAGUUCUUGGCACACGUUCAGCUCGAUGACGCUCCCCGGGCUCCGAUCCAGCAAAGCUUCGGGGAGGAGUUCCGCCAGCACGACGGCGUGGUGACGAUCUUGAUGUUCAACAGUCGCAGGGCUUCGCCUAAGCACCGCUAUAAUAUGACCCAUGUGGAAUAUGGUGGAGGGGGGCACCGCACACGGCUAAGGAACGAUCACGAAGAUUAACUUGUGUGUUCUAGGGUGCCCUCUUGCCCCUGUAUAUUAAGUAGCCAAGGGGAGGGGGCGGCCGGCCAAGGAGGGCGCGCCAAGGGGGAGUCCUACUCCCACCGGGAGUAGGACUCCCUUCUUUCCUAGUUGGAGAAGGAGAAGUNNNNNNNNNNNNNNNNNNNNNNNNNNNNNNNNNNNNNNNNNNNNNNNNNNNNNNNNNNNNNNNNNNNNNNNNNNNNNNNNNNNNNNNNNNNNNNNNNNNNNNNNNNNNNNNNNNNNNNNNNNNNNNNNNNNNNNNNNNNNNNNNNNNNNNNNNNNNNNNNNNNNNNNNNNNNNNNNNNNNNNNNNNNNNNNNNNNNNNNNNNNNNNNNNNNNNNNNNNNNNNNNNNNNNNNNNNNNNNNNNNNNNNNNNNNNNNNNNNNGAUUUCACCCGGAACGAUUCCGAUAUCCAAAUAUAGGCUUCCAAUAUAUCGAUCUUUAUGUCUCGACCAUUUCGAGACUCCUCGUCAUGUCCAUGAUCACAUCCGGGACUCCGAACAACCUUCGGUACAUCAAAAUACAUAAACCCAUAAUGAAACUAUCAUCGUAACGUUAAGCGUGCGGACCCUACGGUUCGAGAACAAUGUAGACAUGACCGAGACACGUCUCCGGUCAAUAACCAAUAGCGGAACCUGGAUGCUCAUAUUGGUUCCUACAUAUCCUACGAAGAUCUUUAUCGGUCAGACCGCAUAACAACAUACGUUGUUCCCUUUGUCAUCGGUAUGUUACUUGCCCGAGAUUCGAUCGUCGGUAUCUCAAUACCUAGUUCAAUCUCAUUACCGGCAAGUCUCUUUACUCGUUCUGUAAUACAUCAUCUCACAACUAACUCAUUAGUUGCAAUGCUUGCAAGGCUUAUGUGAUGUGCAUUACCGAGAGGGCCCAGAGAUACCUCUCCGACAAUCGGAGUGACAAAUCCUAAUCUCGAAAUACGCCAACCCAACAUGUACCUUUGGAGACACCUGUAGAGCACCUUUAUAAUCGCCCAGUUACGUUACGUUUGGUAGCACACAAAGUGUUCCUCCGGCAAACGGGAGUCGCAUAAUCUCAUAGUCAUAGGAACAUGUAUAAGUCAUGAAGAAAGCAAUAGCAACAUACUAAAUGAUCGGGUGCUAAGCUAAUGGAAUGGGUCAUGUCAAUCAGAUCAUUCACCUAAUGAUGUGAUCCCGUUAAUCAAAUAACAACUCUUUGUCCAUGGUUAGGAAACAUAACCAUCUUUGAUUAACGAGCUAGUCAAGUAGAGGCAUACUAGUGACACUCUGUUUGUCUAUGUAUUCACACAUGUAUUAUGUUUCCGGUUAAUACAAUUCUAGCAUGAAUAAUAAACAGUUAUCAUGAUAUAAGGAAAUAAAUAAUAACUUUAUUAUUGCCUCUAGGGCAUAUUUCCUUCAGUCUUCCACUUGCACUAGAGUCAAUAAUCUAGAUUACACAGUAAUGAUUCUAACACCCAUGGAGCCUUGGUGCUGAUCAUGUUUUGCUCGUGGAAGAGGCUUAGUCAACGGGUCUGCUACAUUCAGAUCCGUAUGUAUCUUGCAAAUCUCUAUGUCUCCCACCUGGACUAGAUCCCGGAUGGAAUUGAAGCGUCUCUUGAUGUGCUUGGUUCUCUUGUGAAAUCUGGAUUCCUUUGCCAAGGCAAUUGCACCAGUAUUGUCACAAAAGAUUUUCAUUGGACCCGAUGCACUAGGUAUGACACCUAGAUCGGAUAUGAAAUCCUUCAUCCAGACUCCUUCAUUUGCUGCUUCCGAAGCAGCUAUGUAUUCCGCUUCACACGUAGAUCCCGCCACGACGCUUUGUUUAGAACUGCACCAACUGACAGCUCCACCGUUUAAUGUAAACACGUAUCCGGUUUGCGAUUUAGAAUCAUCCAGAUCGGUGUCAAAGCUUGCAUCAACGUAACCAUUUACGAUGAGCUCUUUGUCACUCCAUAAACGAGAAACAUAUCCUUAGUCCUUUUCAGGUAUUUCAGGAUGUUCUUGACCGCUGUCCAGUGAUCCACUCCUGGAUUACUUUGGUACCUCCCUGCUAGACUUAUAGCAAGGCACACAUCAGGUCUGGUACACAGUAUUGCAUACAUGAUAGAGCCUAUGGCUGAAGCAUAGGGAACAUCUUUCAUUUUCUCUCUAUCUUCUGCAGUGGUCGGGCAUUGAGUCUUACUCAACUUCACACCUUGUAACACAGGCAAGAACCCUUUCUUUGCUUGAUCCAUUUUGAACUUCUUCAAAACUUUGUCAAGGUAUGUGCUUUGUGAAAGUCCAAUUAAGCGUCUUGAUCUAUCUCUAUAGAUCUUAAUGCCUAAUAUGUAAGCAGCUUCACCGAGGUCUUUCAUUGAAAAACUCUUAUUCAAGUAUCCCUUUAUGCUAUCCAGAAAUUCUAUAUCAUUUCCAAUUAGUAAUAUGUCAUCCACAUAUAAUAUCAGAAAUGCUACAGAGCUCCCACUCACUUUCUUGUAAAUACAGGCUUCUCCAAAAGUCUGUAUAAAACCAAAUGCUUUGAUCACACUAUCAAAGCGUUUAUUCCAACUCCGAGAGGCUUGCACCAGUCCAUAAAUGGAUCGCUGGAGCUUGCACACUUUGUUAGCUCCCUUUGGAUCGACAAAACCUUCUGGUUGCAUCAUAUACAACUCUUCUUCCAGAAAUCCAUUCAGUAAUGCAGUUUUGACAUCCAUUUGCCAAAUUUCAUAAUCAUAAAAUGCGGCAAUUGCUAACAUGAUUCGGACAGACUUAAGCAUCGCUACGGGUGAGAAGGUCUCAUCGUAGUCAAUCCCUUGAACUUGUCGAAAACCUUUUGCAACAAGUCGAGCUUUGUAGACAGUAACAUUACCGUCAGCGUCAGUCUUCUUCUUGAAGAUCCAUUUAUUCUCAAUUGCUUGCCGAUCAUCGGGCAAGUCAACCAAAGUCCACACUUUGUUCUCAUACAUGGAGCCCAUCUCAGAUUUCAUGGCUUCAAGCCAUUUCGCGGAAUCUGGGCUCACCAUCGCUUCUUCAUAGUUCGUAGGUUCAUCAUGAUCUAGUAGCAUGACUUCCAGAACAGGAUUACCGUACCACUCUGGUGCAGAUCUUACUCUGUUUGAUCUACGAGGUUCAGUAGCAACUUGAUCUGAAGUUCUAUGAUCAUCAUCAUUAACUUCCUCACUAAUUGGUUUAGGUGUCACAGAAACCGGUUUCUGUGAUGUACUACUUUCCAAUAAGGGAGCAGGUACAAUUACCUCAUCAAGUUCCACUUUCCUCCCACUCACUUCUUUCGAGAGAAAUUCCUUCUCUAGAAAGGAUCCAUUUUUAGCAACGAAUGUCUUGCCUUCGCAUCUGUGAUAGAAGGUGUACCCAACAGUCUCCUUUGGGUAUCCUAUGAAGACACAUUUCUCCGAUUUGGGUUCGAGCUUAUCAGGUUGAAUCUUUUUCACAUAAGCAUCACAACCCCAAACUUUAAGAAAAGACAACUUUCGUUUCUUGCCAAACCAUAGUUCAUAAGGCGUCGUCUCAACGGAUUUUGAUGGUGCCCUAUUUAACGUGAAUGCGGCCGUCUCUAAAGCAUAACCCCAAAACGAUAGCGGUAAAUCUGUAAGAGACAUCAUAGAUCGCACCAUAUCAAGUAAAGUACGAUUACGACGUUCGGACACACCAUUACGUUGUGGUGUUCCGGGUGGCGUGAGCUGCGAAACUAUUCCGCAUUGUUUCAAAUGUAGACCAAACUCGUAACUCAAAUAUUCUCCUCCACGAUCAGAUCGUAGAAACUUUAUUUUCUUGUUACGAUGAUUUUCAACUUCACUCUGAAAUUCUUUGAACUUUUCAAAUGUUUCAGACUUAUGCUUCAUUAAGUAGAUAUACCCAUAUCUGCUUAAAUCAUCCGUGAAGGUGAGAAAAUAACGAUAUCCUCCACGAGCCUCAACAUUCAUCGGACCACAUACAUCUGUAUGUAUGAUUUCCAACAAAUCUAUUGCUCUCUCCAUAGUACCGGAGAACGGAGUUUUAGUCAUCUUGCCCAUGAGGCACGGUUCGCAAGUACCAAGUGAUUCAUAAUCAAGUGGUUCCAAAAGUCCAUCAGUAUGGAGUUUCUUCAUGCGCUUUACACCGAUAUGACCUAAACGGCAGUGCCACAAAUAAGUUGCACUAUAAUUAUGAACUCUGCAUCUUUUGGCUUCAACAUUAUGAAUAUGUGUAUCACUACUAUCGAGAUUCAUCAAAAAUAGACCACUCUUCAAGGGUGCAUGACCAUAAAAGAUAUUACUUAUAUAAAUAGAACAAUCAUUAUUCUCUGAUUUAAAUGAAUAACCGUCUCGCAUCAAACAAGAUCCAGAUAUAAUGUUCAUGCUCAACGCUGGCACCAAAUAACAAUUAUUUAGGUCUAAUACUAAUCCCGAAGGUAGAUGUAGAGGUAGCGUGCCGACCGCGAUCACAUCGACUUUGGAACCAUUUCCCACGCGCAUCGUCACCUCGUCCUUUACCAGUGUUCGCUUAAUCCUAGUCCCUGUUUCGAGUUGCAAAUACUAGCAACAGAACCAGUAUCAAAUACCCAGGUGCUACUGCGAGCUCUAGUAAGGUACACAUCAAUAACAUGUAUAUCACAUAUACCUUUGUUCACCUUGCCAUCCUUCUUAUCCGCCAAAUACUUGGGGCAGUUCCGCUUCCAGUGACCAGUCUGCUUGCAGUAGAAGCACUCAGUUUCAGGCUUAGGUCCAGACUUGGGUUUCUUCUCCUGAGCAGCAACUUGCUUGCUGUUCUUCUUGAAGUUCCCCUUCUUCUUCCCUUUGCCCUUUUUCUUGAAACUAGUGGUCUUGUUGACCAUCAACACUUGAUGCUCCUUCUUGAUUUCUACCUCCGCAGCCUUUAGCAUUGCGAAGAGCUCGGGAAUUGUCUUACCCAUCCCUUGCAUAUUAUAGUUCAUCACGAAGCUCUUGUAGGUUGGUGGAAGUGAUUGGAGAAUUCUGUCAAUGACGGUAUCAUCCGGAAGAUUAACUCCCAGUUGAAUCAAGUGAUUACAAUACCCAGACAUCUUGAGUAUAUGCUCACUGACAGAACUAUUCUCCUCCAUCGCAGCUAUAGAAUUUAUUGGAGACUUCAUAUCUCUCAAUCUGGGCAUUUUGCUGGAAUAUUAACUUCAACUCCUGGAACAUCUCAUAUGCCCCAUGACGUUCAAAACGUCGUUGAAGUCCCGGUUCUAAGCCGUAAAGCAUGGCACAUUGAACUAUCGAGUAGUCAUCAGCUUUGCUCUACCAGAUGUUCUUAACGUCGUCAGUUGCAUCAGCAGCAGGCCUGGCACCCAGUGGUGCUUCCAGGACAUAACUCUUCUGUGCAGCAAUGAGGAUAAUCCUCAAGUUACGGACCCAGUCUGUGUAAUUGCUACCAUCAUCUUUCAAUUUUGCUUUCUCAAGGAACGCAUUAAAAUUCAAUGGAACAACACCACGGGCCAUCUAUCUACAAUCAACAUAAACAAGCAAGAUACUAUCAGGGACUAAGUUCAUGAUAAAUUUAAGUUCAAUUAAUCAUAUUACUUAAGAACUCCCACUUAGAUAGACAUCCCUCUAAUCAUCUAAGUGAUCACGUGAUCCAAAUCAACUAAACCAUAACCGAUCAUCACGUGAAAUGGAGUAGUUUUCAAUGGUGAACAUCGCUCUGUUGAUCAUAUCUAUUAUAUGAUUCACGCUCGACCUUUCGGUCUCAGUGUUCCGAGGCCAUAUCUGCAUAUGCUAGGCUCGUCAAGUUUAACCUGAGUAUUCUGCGUGUGCAAAACUGGCUUGCACCCGUUGUAGAUGGACGUAGAGCUUAUCACACCCGAUCAUCACGUGGUGUCUGGGCACGGCGAACUUUGGCAAUGGUGCAUACUCAGGGAGAACACCUUUUAUCUUGAAAUUUAGUGAGAGAUCAUCUUAUAAUGCUACCAUCAAUCAAAGCAAGAUAAGAUGCAUAAAAGAUAAACAUCACAUGCAAUCAAUAUAAGUGAUAUGAUAUGGCCAUCAUCAUCUUGUGCUUGUGAUCUCCAUCUCCGAAUCACCGUCAUGAUCACCAUCGUCACCGGCGCGACACCUUGAUCUCCAUCGUAGCAUCGUUGUCGUCUCGCCAAUCUUAUGCUUCUAUGACUAUCGCUACCGCUUAGUGAUAAAGUAAAGCAUUACAGGGCGAUUGCAUUGCAUACAAUAAAGCGACAACCAUAUGGCUCCUGCCAGUUGCCGAUAACUUGGUUACAAAAACAUGAUCAUCUCAUACAAUAAAAUUUAGCAUCAUGCCUUGACCAUAUCACAUCACAACAUGCCCUGCAAAAACAAGUUAGACGUCCUCUACUUUGUUUGUUGCAAGUUUUACGUGGCUGCUAUGGGCUUAAGCAAGAACCAAUCUUACCUACGCAUCAAAACCACAACGAUAGUUUGUCAAGUUGGUGCUGUUUUAACCUUCGCAAGGACCGGGCGUAGCCACACUCGGUUCAACUAAAGUUGGAGAAACUGACACCCGCCAGCCACCUGUGUGCAAAGCACGGCGGUAGAACCAGUCUCGCGUAAGCGUACGCGUAAUGUCGGUCCGGGCCGCUUCAUCCAGCAAUACCGUCGAACCAAAGUAUGACAUGCUGGUAAGCAGUAUGACUUAUAUCGCCCACAACUCACUUGUGUUCUACUCGUGCAUAUAACAUCAAACCGUAAAACCUAGGCUUUGAUACCACUGUUGGGGAACAUAGUAAUUUCAAAAAAUUUCCUACGCACACGCAAGAUCAUGGUGAUGCAUAGCAACGAGAGGGGAGAGUGUUGUCUACGUACCCUCCUAGACCGAAGCAGAAGCGUUGACGCAACGUAGAGGAAGUAGUCGUACGUCUUCCCGGUCCAACCGAUCCAAGCACCGUUACUCCGGCACCUCCGAGUUCUUGGCACACGUUCAGCUCGACGACGCUCCCCGGGCUCCAAUCCAGCAAAGCUUCGGGGAGGAGUUCCGUUAGCACGACGGCAUGGUGACGAUCUUGAUGUUCAACAGUCGCAGGACUUCGCCUAAGCACCGCUACAAUAUGACCGAGGUGGAAUAUGGUGGAGGGGGGCACCGCACACGGCUAAGGAACGAUCACGAAGAUCAACUUGUGUGUUCUCGGGUGCCCCCUUGCCCCUGUAUAUAAAGGAGCCAAGGGGAGGGGGCAGCCGGCCAAGGAGGGCGCGCCAAGGGGGAGUAGGACUCCCUUCUUUCCUAGUUGGAGAAGGAGAAGUGGGAAAGAGGAGGAAGAGGGAAAGGAAAGGGGGGGCGCCGCCCCCCUCUCCUUGUCCAAUUCGGACUAGGGAGGGGAGGGGCGCGCGGCCACCUCUUGCCUCCUUUCCUCUUCUCCCUUAGGGCCCAUGUAGGCCCAAUAACCCCCGGGGGGGUUCCGGUAACCCCCCGGUACUCCGGUAAAAUCCCGAUUUCACCCGAAACGAUUCCGAUAUCCAAAUAUAGGCUUCCAAUAUAUCGAUCUUUAUGUCUCGACCAUUUAGAGACUCCUCGUCAUGUCCAUGAUCACAUCCAGGACUCCGAACAACCUUCGGUACAUCAAAAUACAUAAACUCAUAAUGAAACUAUCAUCGUAACGUUAAGCGUGCGGACCCUACGGUUCAAGAACAAUGUAGACAUGACCGAGACACGUCUCCGGUAAAUAACCAAUAGCGGAACCUGGAUGCUCAUAUUGGUUCCUACAUAUUCUACGAAGAUCUUUAUCGGUCAGAUCGCAUAACAACAUAGGUUGUUCCCUUUGUCAUCGGUAUGUUACUUGCCCGAGAUUCGAUCGUCGGUAUCUCAAUACCUAGUUCAAUCUCGUUACCGGCAAGUCUCUUUACUCGUUCCGUAAUACAUCAUCUCACAACUAACUCAUUAGUUGCAAGGCUUGCAAGGCUUAUGUGAUGUGCAUUACCGAGAGGGCCCAGAGAUACCUCUCCGACAAUCGGAGUGACAAAUCCUAAUCUCGAAAUACGCCAACCCAACAUGUACCUUUGGAGACACCUGUAGAGCACCUUUAUAAUCACCCAGUUACGUUGUGACGUUUGGUAGCACACAAAGUGUUCCUCCGGCAAACGGGAGUUGCAUAAUCUCAUAGUCAUAGGAACAUGUAUAAGUCAUGAAGAAAGCAAUAGCAACAUACUAAACGAUCGGGUGCUAAGCUAAUGGAAUGGGUCAUGUCAAUCAGAUCAUUCACCUAAUGAUGUGAUCCCGUUAAUCAAAUAACAACUCUUUGUCCAUGGUUAGGAAACAUAACCAUCUUUGAUUAACGAGCUAGUCAAGUAGAGGCAUACUAGUGACACUCUGUUUGUCUAUGUAUUCACACAUGUAUUAUGUUUCCGGUUAAUACAAUUCUAGCAUGAAUAAUAAACAGUUAUCAUGAUAUAAGGAAAUAAAUAAUAACUUUAUUAUUGCCUCUAGGGCAUAUUUCCUUCCAGCCCAUUAGUCACGGUUCUUCCAUGAACCAGGACCAAUGGAUGCAUUCGUCCCGGUUCAUGAGCCCAGGGGCCGGCUGGGGCCUCGUGGGCAUUGGUCCCGGUUCGUAUGGACCCAUUUGUCUCGGUUCCAGGCACGAACCGGGACCAAUGGGCCUCGCUCCUGGCCCACAAACAUUGGUCCCGAUUCUUGGCUCGAACCACGACAAAAGGCUGGGCUUUAGUCCUGGUUCCAGCCAUGAACCGGGACAAAUGAGUUGCCUAUAUAUACUCCGUCGCUGCAGCAGAGCACUCCAUAGUUCUUUGUUUUUUCUGUCCGGCCUCACCUCCUAUGCACACGAGGUGUUCGAUGAAAUGCCCAAGCCACGCUAGUUAAACUUUCUCCUCUCGAAGCUCGACCUCCAAGCUCCAUUUUCCUCGAGAUUUUUCUAGGUUUAGUGGUCCGUCACGUCCCGUCCCCGUCUUCCCCGCCGUCGAUCGCCCGCGCCGAUCUCGUCGCCUGCACCACUGUGGUGAGCCUCUUAUCUUCUUCUGAAAAAAAAAAUUCUUACGUUAGAUAGAUACUUGUCUAAUUUUCUUACUUUUAUUAUUGCUUGUGCUUAUAUAGUGCGAUGGUUUUGGUAUCCGCCCCCGUCGGCCCUCGUCCGGGCUAUGAUUCGGAUGUGGUAUAUAUUAUCUUUUAUAACUAUUCGGUUCAUUUAUUGUUUAUCACAAUUAUGCCCAUCAAGUUGACAUAGAUUUUAUUUAUGUAGGAAGUAGUUGAACCGGAAAUUCCAACCGACCCUAUUGUCGAGAGGUUAAAUUUAGUUGAAGAAGAAAACAAUUACUUGAAGGAAAAAAUAAAAAAAUGAGGAGGAGAAGAUGAUAUUGGAGUUGCAUGUUGCGGAUGUCGUCGAUGAUCACAAUAUCAAGAUGGAUGCAAUGCGGUUGAAGAUGGGAAAGAUUAGAAAAUAUGCCAUUCAUACCGUGGCUUGGUAUCAUUAUGCCGUUGGAUCAAUUUUUACCAUGGUUGUGAUUAUGAUCACAUUUAUUGUUGCAUUGAAAGGUUUCACAUAGUUUCAAUGUAUGGUUUAACUAGAUGCUCUGGAGAGCUAUAUGUUGUUCAAUGAGAACUAUGUAUGUACUUUGUUUUUAAUGUGAUGAUGAACUUCUAUUAAUUUGGUCACUUAUCUAUCCAUGAGAGCUAUAUGUACUAAACUGAUGAUGUAGCUUUGAAUGGUGCAUUUUAUACACGAAGUGCAGUUUUUGCCGUAAGCCUCUCUACUUUAUUGCACAUGCUAUGUGGGUGAAAUGAUGAUACCAUGCCAACUUUCAACCUUUUCAGAGUUCAUUUGUAGCGCUUUUCAAUUUCAGGGUCUUAUAGCUCAAAAUAAUCAGUAAAUGCAUGAAAAAUAACAAAUGAAGUCAGAAAGGGUUGAAAAUUGAUGAUGUGGCUUUGGAUGGUGCAUUUUGAACACAGAAAAAGUAUGGAGUUCAAAUAAGUUCAAAAAAAUGAAAUCCCUUUGUACCAGACGAGUUUCCGUAUGAAACACUGAUAUUUCAAACUUAAAAAAAACCCUGAUACUUCGAAAGAGAUUGUCUGUUUUGUACACGAAGUGCAUUCAUUUUUUGCCGUAAGCCUCUCUACUUUCUUGCACAUGCUAUGUGGGUGAAAUGAUGAUACCAUGCCAACUUUCAACCUUUUAAGAGUUCAUUUGUAGUGCUUUUCAAUUUCAGGCUCUAAUAGCUCAAAAUAAUCAGUAAAUGCAUUAAAAAUAACAAAUGAAGUCAGAAAGGGUUGAAAAUUGAUGAUGUGGCUUUGAAUGGUGCAUUUUGAACACAAAAAAAGUAUGGCGUUCAAAUAAGUUUUAAAAAAUAAAAUCCCUUUGUAACGGACGAGUUUCCGUAUAAAACCCUGAUGCUUUGAAAGAGAUUGUGCAUUUUGUACACGAAGUGCAUCCAGUUUUUGCCGUAAGCCUCUCUACUUUCUUGCACAUGCUAUGUGGGUGAAAUGAUGAUACCAUGCCAACUUUCAACCUUUUCAGAGUUCAUUUGUAGCGCUUUUCAAUUUCAGGGUCUUAUAGCUCAAAAUAAUCAGUAAAUGCAUGAAAAAUAACAAAUGAAGUCAGAAAGGGUUGAAAAUUGAUGUGGUGGCUUUGAAUAGUGCAUUUUGAACACAGAAAAAGUAUGAAGUUCAAAUAAGUUCAAAAAUAUGAAAUCCCUUUGUAACAGACGAGUUUCCGUAUAAAACCCUGAUACUUUGAAAGAGAUUAUGCAUUUUGUACACGAAGUGCGUCUAGUUUUUGUCGUAAGCCUCUCUACUUUCUUGCACAUGCUAUGUGAAUGAAAUGAUGAUACCAUGCCAACUUUCAACCUUUUCAGAGUUCAUUUGUAGUGCUUUUCAAUUUCAGGGUCUUAUAGCUCAAAAUAAUCAGUAAAUGCAUGAAAAAUAACAAAUGAAGUCAGAAAGGGUUGAAAAUUGAUGACGUGGCUUUGAAUGGUGCAUUUUGAACACAGAAAAACUCUGAAGUUCAAAUAAGUUCAAAAAAAUGAAAUCCCUUUGUAACAGACGAGUUUCCGUAUGAAACCCUUAUACUUCGAAAGAGAUUGUCUGUUUUGUACACGAAGUGCAUCCAGUUUUUGCCGUAACCCUCUCUAAUUUCUUGCACAUGCUAUGUGGAUGAAAUGAUGAUACCAUGCAAAAAGAAAAUUAACUAAAAAACUUUUAUAAAACUCUAAUAGCAAAAGGAAUGAACUAAAAAGCUUUUAUAAACCUCUAGUAUUUUUUAAACUAAAAUUAUAUAAAAUUCAUGCCACUGAAAUUAUCAAAGUAUUUUCUGUUCAAAACAUGAAAAGCAGAACGAAACAAAAUAAACUUUGAUAAAAAGUAGAAACAAAAUUAAANNNNNNNNNNNNNNNNNNNNNNNNNNNNNNNNNNNNNNNNNNNNNNNNNNNNNNNNNNNNNNNNNNNNNNNNNNNNNNNNNNNNNNNNNNNNNNNNNNNNNNNNNNNNNNNNNNNNNNNNNNNNNNNNNNNNNNNNNNNNNNNNNNNNNNNNNNNNNNNNNNNNNNNNNNNNNNNNNNNNNNNNNNNNNNNNNNNNNNNNNNNNNNNNNNNNNNNNNNNNNNNNNNNNNNNNNNNNNNNNNNNNNNNNNNNNNNNNNNNNNNNNNNNNNNNNNNNNNNNNNNNAUAAAAAUAGCAAUGGUAAGGUUUUUUGUUGUAAGUAGAAAUAAAAUAAAAUAAAUAAAGCAACAAAAAAAUAAAAAAGAAAGUGCCAACUACUGGGCCACCACGGCCUGAAUACGACUAGAAACUCUACCAUGGGCCAGGAUUCAGGCCCGCAGAAGGCCCAUCGGGCAUAGUAGUGACAAUUAGGCUCGUAAGCUUGCAAUCAAGAGGAGCUCGAGAGGGGUGCGGCAGUGGGGCUUAUAAACCACUCCGCGCCCCUCUCAACUAGCGAGGUGGGAUUAAAGUUUUGGCCACGGGGAGCACGAGGCCUUUGGUUCACGGAGACCAAAGGCCUCCGCUUCCCGCCCUUUGGGCUGCUGAAAAGAGACCUUUGGUCCCAGUUGGUAGCACCAACCGGGACUAAAGGGACCAUUGGUACCAGUUUGUGCCACGAACCAUUACCAAUGCCCUGGGUAUAUAAGAAAACACUUAUCAGUUUUGAUGAAAUCCAUCACUUCUUCUCCCCCGACGCUCUUGCUCCUCCUCGUCGCCGUCGCCGCCCGACGCCCCUGCUCCACCUUGUCGUCAUCGCCGCCACCGACGCCGUCAGGCUGCUCAACGUCGCUGUCGGUGCCGCCGCCACUAACGCCCUCUGCCCCGAUGCGCCGUCGACCCUCGCGCCCCUGCCGGCCCCGACGCGCCGCCCCCUGUGAGCACCAGCCUGCUCCCGCGCCCCUCCCCUGUCCCGCGCCCCUGCGCCCCUACCCUGCCCCGCCGGCGCCGGCCCCUCCACCGUGCCCCUGGAUCCGCCCCUGCGCGGUGCUAUUAUAUUUGUAGAUGUUUUUAUAUGUUUUUUUAGAAGUUUUUAGAUGCUAUUCUUAGAUGUUUUUACAUGUUUUUAGGUUAUUUUAGUUUAUGUUUAGUUUAGUUUUAAGAUUAGGAAAAUUUUGGAUGUGUAGUUAUAUUUAUUUAGAUGUCUAGUUAAUUUAGAUGUUGUAAUUUGUUCAUAAAAAUUGUGCACUUUUGUAUAGCAACUUUAUUUUUUUUCAUAUGUACGAAAAUGUAGAGUGAAAAGUUUUAUAUAUGCAAAAGUUACAUUUUUAGAAAAGUUUUAUAUAUCUAGCUAGGAAAGGAAAGAAGAAGAAAAAGAAUGAGAGGAAAAAGGAAAAUAAGAAGAGGAAGAAAGGAGGAGAAGAGGAGAAAUAAAUAAGAACAGGAAAAAAUAAGAAAAAGAAGAGGAGAAGAAGAAAGGAAUAGAGCAGAAGAAGAAAAAAUAGAAAAUAGAAGAAAGGAAUAUUUUCUAUUUUCUCUUAUUCUCCUUUUUUUCUUCUUUUUUUCUUCGUUGUCGAUAUACCCCGGCUCGAUAACUUUGUUUAAUUUUAGGAUUAUUUUAGUUUAUAUUUAGUUUAGGAAGAAGGAAAAGAAAAAGGAGAAGAAGAGGAGAGGAAGAAGUGGAGAAAUAAAUAAGAAGAGGACAAAAUGGGGAAAAAGAGGAGAAGAAGAAAGGAAUAGAGGAGAAGAAGAGAAAAUAGAAAAUACUAAUAGAAAAUAGUAUUUUCUAUUUUCUCUUCUUCUCCUCUAUUCCUUUCUUCUUCUCCUCUUUUUUCUUCUUCUUUUUUUCUUCUUUUUUUUCUUCGAUCUUCUCCUUUAUUCCUUUGUUCUUCUCCUCUUUUUAUUUCUUCUUCGUCUUCUUAUUUUUUAUCGGGUAUGUCGUUGUCGAUAUACCCCGUCCCCGAUAACUUCGACAUGAGGGGGGAGGGGGAGGGGUCGCCGAGGGUUUGAGGGGCGAGGGGAGGGAACUAGCUAGGGUAGAGGGUCGAGGGUCACCGAGGGGUCGAGGGUCGCCGAGGGUUCGAGGGUCGAGGGGUCGUUGUAUGUUGUCGUUGUCGAUAUACCCCCUCUCGACCGUGAUAACUUAUACCAUGGGAGCACCCCCCGGCCCUCUCUCUUGACCAAAACUCUCGAGGACACCCAAACCCUAGAAAAAAACGAUGUCAGUCUCCUACCCCCUCCCGCCGCGCCCCUAACCGAUCGACAAACUCUCUUGAGGCCACCCAAAUUUACCAAGUUAAAAGAGCGUUGUCGUCGAGGCCACCCCAAACCCUAGAGAAGCGUCGAGGCCAGGCCACUAAUAUGAUUCCUUAUUGUGCUUAGCUAGCUAGUUCAACGUUUGCCACUAAUAUAUCCAUCUAUCAUGUUUGAAUAAUAAUCGCCAUGUUGUAAAUAUUUGUAGAAACUAUGGAUCCGCACCCCCGAGACGAAGCACAAGAAGCGGUGUUGGGGGAGAUAAUCGCACAUGGAAGUGAUGUCGUCUUGUCGUUUCUCAACGACACAUGCACCGAUGGUCUGGAAAGACAGGAUGAAGAAGCAGGCUACGACGACGAUGAUCAAACAAUGGAGGAGGAAGGACACCGUGAUGACGGCUCCGGUGACUGAAUGGAGGGGGAAGGACACCGUGAUGACGGCUCCGGUGACCGAAUGGAGGGGGAAGGACACCGUGAUGACGGCUCCGGUGACCGAACGGAGUCCGGCCAGGUAUAUAUAUUAACUAAUUAAGCAUGUGCUGACUAUACCUAAUUGAUGCAUUAAUUGUUUUUGGUAUGUACACAUAUUAACUCUCAUCUUUUUCUUCUUUUCUAGCCCUCCGGAUCGAGCACCACUUCGAUAACGAGACGAGGCCCGAAGAGAAAGUUGCGCUCGGAUGAAAGGUACAUGAUCAUCGAAAUUGAUCGCGCUGGCCAACCGAUUGAACCCCACCGGACCAAGCAAAAAUUUAAUGCUCAGUGCGGGGUUCUAGUUAGGGACAUGAUCCCGAUCAGCAUCGAGCAAUGGUUGAAGCCUAAGGACAAAGACUCUCAGGUGUCUUAUGUCAGCGAUAGGCAGAAAGCUGAUCUUUGGACCGCGCUGCAGGAAAAUUUCACCUUCCUGCCAGAGGAGGAUUCGGAGAAUCCAGUUAAAAAGCCAAUGAUCAAGGCUUAUGCUCUUAAGAAGAUGGCUGAGCUAUUCAGGAGGUGGAAGAAUGAGCCAAAAUCAUCGUUUGUUGAACAAGACAAGACUCCAGAAUUCAUCGGCUGAUUUGAGAAGAUCAAAGAUCAGUGGCCCGCAUUUGUCACCAAAAAGAAAUCUGAGAGAGCAGCGAAGAUGUCAGCGACAAACAAGAAAAAUGCUGCAAAGAAGAAGCAUCACCAUCACACGGGGUCAGGUGGCUACCUGAAAGCCCGGCCAUUGUGGGACAAGGCUGAGAAUGACCUCAUUGCUAAAGGGAUCGAACCAGAGACGCGACGCUGGCCAGACCGUUGCAGGACUUGGUUCUUCGGGGUUGGGGGGAAAUUGGACCCUGUAACAGGGAAGUGCGUUUGGACCAACGAGCAGCUGAACACACCCAUCGAGAAGCUUCAGGAGUAUAUUGAAAAGGCGCAGCAAGGGACGUUCGUUCCGGACAGAGAGAACGACGAGCUCACAGAGGCCCUCGGGAAUCCUGAGCACCCCGGACGGACACAAGGCACACCAGGCUCCCUUUCGUGGAAGGCUGGAUUUCCCGACGCAGGCGGUUACAAACGCCGGGAGAGGAAGAAGAAAAAGGAGUUGACCCAACUACAGGAGCUGCACGCAAGGGUACAAGCGCUAGAGGAACGAGAUGAGGCCCGCAGCACGCGACCUGCCAAAGCUGCUACACCCUAAGCUACACCGCCAUCUCAGCGGAGAAGCAGCGUGGCUUCCACGAAGCUGCUUCAGGAGCCUGUCUUCACGACUCCUGCUAGCUACCCCGUGGACUUAAUCACGGAGUCUCACAAUUGCCACCUUAUGACGCAAUGGAUGAAUACGAAAAUCAAGGCGGCUGUUGGCUCUGUUGCACGUCCUGAACCUGGUGUAACUUUUCACUGCCGGCCGAUUCCAGAAGGAUAUGCUAGGGUGAUGGUGGACGAAAUAACGGAAGGAUUUGAGGAGCUCGAGCUUGGACACCCUACCGGUGAAGGGGAGACUCGGCUGGGUUCUGCUCUGAAGACUCCAUGCCUAUGGCGGAAGGAGCUCAUCAACCUUCCGAACUAGACGCCUCCGCCUCCGCCUCCUCCUCCUCCUCCGGCGAGUCAGGGCACUCCGCCUCCUCCUCCGGCGAGUGAUCAGGGCACUCAGCCUCCUUCUCCGGCAUGUGGUGGCACUCCGCCUCCUUCCCCGCCUGCGCCGGAGCGCCCGAGCAGCCACCAGCCUCCUUCUCCGGCGCGUGGCGGCACUCCGCCUCCUUCUCCGCCUGCGCCGGCGUGCACGAGCAGCCACCAGCCUCCUCCUUCUUCGCCUCGCCAGCAAGGGCGGAAGAGACCCGCCGCCGCCCCGGCUGCUCCAGCGCGUCGUAGUCCUUCUCCUCCGCCUCAUAAGCAAGCAUGAAAGAAGAUAGCCGCAACCACUCCGUUUGCUCCGGCGUCUAGCAGUACAACCAGAGGCAGGCAAUACAGAUUCGGUCCACCUCGCAAGCCUCUAGAGAAGUUACCAUACGAGAGGACCGUGGAAGAAAACGCGAAGAUCGUGGAAAAAGAAGUGAAUGACUUCUUUGAAGGGGUGAAAGCAAAGAGACAUCCAUCUCCGGAGGAGAAGGUAGACCGGAUGAAAGCAAAGUGCACACUCGAUGCCCUGAGGAAACCACCAAAGUCUCUGCCGAAAACCAACUAUGAGCACAUUACUGCAAAGGUAUAUAUCGAAGCGGAGCGGUCGGGAAAUACUAUCAGUGAUCGAAGGUUAGCAGAACGACGAGUUGGGAAAAAAUUGCCCAGCUCGGCGAACAAGCGGACCAAUUGUGCCCCCCGCUCAAGGUGUCUAGCGAUAUCGUCGCUAAUGAUCCGGGGAUGGUGCCCGGUUAUAGCAAUCUUGGAAAUUACCUGCCCGACGAUGUACAUUAUGAUUUCUUGGAGGUGGACGAACACAGAUACGAGUACGCGAAGCCUCUCGUCAAAGAUGAAAAAUCUCUAACAACGAUGAUGCGAAGGUUCCAUGAUUGGUACAUGAAAACCUGCAGAGAGUCUGGGGGGACGAAUACUUUGUAUCUGAGAGUUCAAGAUGAGCACGACCUUGUUGGAAUUCAUUUGUUGACUGUUCCAUUUGAGGAGUUCUUCCAGUGGUUCAAUCAAAAGGCCAUCAAUAAAUUAACGGUCAGUUGCUACUGUCUGUAAGUGCUACUUCUGUCAUUAAGUCUCUAUAUAUAGCUCAGCUCUUUCAUUGCAUGUAUAUAUGAUUAUCCUCACUAUAUUAUGCAGAUCGAAGAUCGUCGAGUGCAGAAAAGCAGAAAUGUAUGAUAUUGGGUUCAUUAACACAAAUCUCAUGGAUAAAUUUGAGGUUGAAAAGAACGCUGAUGAUGCUGAGGCCAACUUGCUCAAAUCAUUGAUAGUAAAUCAAAAUAAAGAUAAAAUACUCUUUCCUUACAACUUCGAGUGAGUGUUACUGUCUUGUGCAUAUUCGGUUUCCCUUAUUACUCGAGCGAGGUUAUAGUAAUGUAAUUGAUGAGUUAUGCAUGCGUGCGCAGCUUCCACUAUAUUCUCCUGGAGAUUAAGCUUGAGUAGGGACUAGUAAUCGUCUUAGACUCGAGACGAAAAUCUCCCGAGACCUAUGCGGACAUGACUAAAAUGCUCGAGAAGUAAGUCGAUCGAUCAUUAUCGCACCAUAUCGGCAACUUUUUUUUCAUUUCCUGAUAUCAAGUAAUUGUUUUCUUUGUCUCGCAGGGUUUGGAAAGUAUUCACCGCACAAGCUUCGGGACUGCCGGGGAGCUGCGAUGGACAUACCCGAAAGUAAGUAGUACUAGCUAGCUAGUUCCGCGCAUCUCGAUCCCGUUGAUUCUAGCUACUUUCAUCAAUGCCAUUUAUAAUGCUUCAUUAUCAGUUUGAUUGACCUCUAUUUCUCGUAAAGUGCUUGUGGCAGGAACAAGGGAAUGAUUUCUGUGGAUACUAUGUGUGCGAGUUCAUCUACAACGCGACUUGCAAAGAUAAGCGGGGCUACUCUAAAAGACAAUUUGAUGUGCGUAAGCAAUAAUAUUCAUAAUUUCAUUUUAUUACACCAUCAUUUCUGUUGAGUUUCAUUCAUAUAUAUGUAUUAACCCCCUUCUUCAAAUUAGACGUGGGAGAUGCGGAAUGAACUCCUACCAGAAGAUCGCAUGAAAGAAAUUCAAGAGGGAGAAUACCAUGUGAAACUUGAUUUCAGAUGCUAGGGGAUUGUAACAGAUCUUACAUAUUGUAUAUGUAUGUAGCCAGUAGCGUCGGAUAGAUAAUACGAAAACUUGUUGUUCGACCAAUCUCUCGGAGAAGGAGAGGUCGAUCACUUCUCUCGGUAUGCAUGACGAACUUCUGUACUUAAUGGUUUCCUUUAUUUUCUUACUAGCUACCGUGUCGAGGGCCUCUCUAUACGUAUAGUACGUAGCGUCGACCAAGCACGGAGAUAAAAGAGGACACUUCUCUCUAUUAAUUAAUUAGCUACCUAACACAAUACAUGAAGCACCUUAAUUAACCAUACAAAAACCCCAAAUUCAUCCCCCUUUCAGAAAAAAAACAAAAACCCUAACCCCUGAACAACUGACGCGUGGAUGCCUAUUGGUCCCGGUUGGUACCACCAACCGGGACUAAAGGCUCUCCUGCCUGGACUCGUCACAACGGCCACGUGGCGGCCCAUCUGUCCCGGUUCAUAUAAUAACUGGGACUAAAGGGCAAGGGCAUUAGUAACGACCCUUUAGUCCCGGUUCCGCAACCAGGACAGAUGGGCCUUAUGAACCGGGACAAAUGGCCCUUUUUUUACUAGUGUUGGGAGCCUGUACUUCCAAGCAGACAACUUUGGCCCACAGUGCCUCUAGGAUCUGGUUCCCUGCUAGUUGUGUUUCGGCCCAUAUGACGGCGAGGCUGCUUCCUAGCAUGUCAGCAUGAUAGUCUCUCAUGUCCAUUCCGGAUGCCGAAUCUGACGGGCACAAGAGUCCAUACAACUGUGCCUCCGCUUACCAAAGAAGAAGGAUAAUUUCCAACAGUUUGCUAUAUGUAACAUUAAACAACUACCAAUUUGGCGUUUCAUGUCUCGCGUCUCGUAUUCCCGCUCAAAGCUGGACAGAGAGGUGGUGGAUUAGUGGUAGGAGGUCAUGAUAAUUAUUUCCUCCAAAAAAUAACCUUGGCAAGAAAGACAGAGAGAAAGAGGAAGUCUUGUUUUUCAAAGUUUGCAUAAUAUGUGGUGACAUUUGCAUUGGCGUUUCUCGGAAUCGUCAGAAUUCAAGUGGCAUUUAUCCAAAUAACCCUAUUAAAAAUAGACCGGCUGGCAUCUGCCACCAUGUGUCCGCAUCCUACGGCUAACACCGCAUCCCACUAGUGCAGAACCGGGAUUUAGCACCGGUUCGUAAGGGCCUUUAGGGCCGGUUCUGUAACCGGCACUAAAGGGUGGGGACUAAAGGCCACGUGACACAUGCCAGGGCCGGAUGCGGGGAGACCUUUAAUACCGAUUGAUACCACCAACCGAUACUAAAUGUUUGGGGUGGUUUUGGAUUUAUUUUUUGUUUUUCCUUUAAUUUCGUGUUUUCAGUUUAAUUUAGAGAUUGUUUUUAUAUUAUAAUGAGUUGUUAAAUCACUAGGUGAUCAAGUAAUAUAGAUAUGGCAUAUAUAUACUUGAUCACUUAGCUAGCUAGCUCUGCAUCCAGUUGAAACUAAUCUGCGGUUUCUUUCAUAAAUGAAAUAAUAACUCAUCAUCAUCAUAUUAAUAUAAAAACUCUUACAUCAUAUCAUCACCAACAACAGUAUACUAGCUAGCUGAAAAAUCAUCAAUUAUAGUCAUCAUUACCACUAUUUAAUCAUCAUAGUCGUUACCGCUAUCUAAUCAUCACUAACACUAGCUUAAAGAAGAAACAUUCACUUAUACCAGAAGCAAAGAUAUCAUCUAGUUCAGCAUGGUCGUGAGAUUAAAUUCAGGAUCGACGAAGAACACCGACAUGAGAGGACAAGUACUAAUAGCAUGCUAAUCACUCCUGCUGCUCUCUCUCAGUUAAAAUAGCAUAUAACAUGUAUAGCUCUCCUGAUUCAUCAUAUUGGAGCAUGCAAAUGAACCUGUCUCUAAUCGUCGGCUGCGCUUCUGUUUGCUGCCCCCUAGUACUUCUUUGUGAUCCUUCACAAUUUUGUUUCAGUCUUUCACUAUUAAGCAUUCCUCAGUUGUGGAAAUCCUGAAUGCACUCAUGUGCAAUGUAGGAUAUCUUGGCCAUAAGCUAACCAUUGACAUGCGACCUUUAGUCUUGAUCCACUGAGGCACAACUCUCAUCGGGAGUCCCUGUUGAAGAACAUCGCGUAUAGUAACAUUACUUAGCAAUGAAGUUUAGCUUGAAAAAUAUUGUAUGCAAAAGAUGCACUGAGGAUAAAUAGUAAAAAUCUUACCAUGCGUCUUUCCGAAAUAGAUGUGACCGUAGUUCAAUACGAUCACUAUUGGUCACACGUUUUGAGUACUAAGAUUUUCAAAUUCAGGAAAAUAAUUUCUCUUGACAUCAUAAAGAUCCUCAAGCCAUGAAACAUAAUGACUUGUCUCCUCGCAGUUUAGUUCAGCCCCGGGACAGGGGAUGGUACUGUCUACCAAGCGCUGGACAUGUUUGCUUGAAUGGAAAUAAGUUGUCAAUAGAAAUUAGUUGUCAACUAUUUUUGCAUAAACAAUAUUGGAGACAUAAAUAUGGUUGAGAAACUCACAUAAUGGUAGUACUAGAGGAGUCUGCACAUCGACCCAAAUGUCUCUAUUACCUUCAAUAUCAUCUUCGGGACGAAUAUCAAGCUGGAUAAGCCUUGCAUAGUGCUUGCCAAGUUUUGCAUUCAAAAUAGGUGUAGGUGUCUGCAUUGUAUAAUUUGACGUUGAAGGUAUAACCAUGCUCGGUCUUCAAGUAAACUCUCUUUACCUCCAUAGUUUUUUUAGGACUGAAACCUAUCUUAUCCAAGACAAAAAUUCUUGCAUGGUAGGGGAUACGCUAGUAGAAUAGUGAAAAUUUAAAAUUAUAAGUUGAAGCAAAUGAAGCAUAAGUCAUGCUUAAUUACGAAAAAAGACUUGUCGUUGUGACUUACUGUAUCCACUUCGAAGGUCUCAUCCAGCUUGAUACUAAAGCGCCUAUCAUCAACUAGGAAAUUUUUGUCGCACAGGCCGCGCUCUUCUUAGCAGUAUUCACACAUAACAAAAUUGUUUUCGUCGUCAGACGACAUUUCCUAUGUUCAUAAUUGAAACAUUAACUGAUAAACACUUACUAGCUAGCUAGUUCUAUAUUAAUUCAACUAAUUAAUUUAACUAGCUAGUUCUAUUAAUUCAACUAGUUCAAUUCAACUAAGCACUUACUAAAAAUAAACUAGUUCAAUUAAUUUUCUUACUAAAAAUAAAGUAGCUAGUUCUAUAUAUAGUAAAUUUAAUAUAUCUAACAUAGUUGCCAAGAAGAUAGCAUGUGGCGUACUCAUUGGGUCUAGAGCACAGAAGACCUGCAAGCAGCCAAUGUGAUAUAAUUUAGUUGCUCACUUGCACUUUUAUCACCCCUAAAUCCUUGAUUCCGAUGUUGCUCCAUGGAGGCCAGCGGACGAGAGGACAAAACGGAGAGGCGGCGGCGGCCGGGGCAGGGGCGAUCGGGGCAGAGGCGGAAGACAUCGAUCAUAGAACUAGUCUGAUACCAUGUAAAGAUUAGGGUUGUGAGAAAAUGCACGACACCCUAAUACGGUUGUGGCUCUCUUUAUAUAUAGGGGUACACCACAUGAGUAGGGCAUUUUUGAGACCGAGCUCUAUGGAACCCUUUAUUUUGAAAAAUUCAAAAUUCAUAAAUUUCAGUUUCAAAAAUUCUGAAAAAAAUACACGUGUAUGGAAGAAUGUAAAGUGUAUGUGUGAAAAUUUCAAGAUGAAAUACCUUGAACUGCGAGCUGCAAAAAAAAUCAUGGACUUUAAAGAUGAAAAUUUUAGGAUGAAAUACCUUAUACUAAAAAGCCACAAACUUGUCUUUUUUGUGUAGCUCACAUUUUAAUGUAUUUCGACCUGAAAAUUUACAUACAUGUACAUUAUGUAUAUAGGUGUAUGUGUAUUUAUUUUCUUAAUUUUUUGAAACUGAAAAGUUCAAAUUUUGAAGUUUUCAAAUAAAGUCCUCCAUGGAGCUCGGCCUCCAUUUGGCAUUUCGUACAUCAUUUAUACGAAUACAAUAUACAGUUACGUACAGAAGCUCUAUGUAAAUAUAGAGUCUAACACACCACGGCCAGGCAGAGCUAUUUGGCAUAUCGGCAAGGCUCGGCGUGGUGGUUGGCCACGCCGCCGAGGAACGACGCCGGCCGCUCGUGCUCUGGCCGCGCGCGCCGACAGGUUAUAGGGUCUCUACUAUCUCCGGAACAAAAAAACAUCCUAGAGCUGUGGUUCACUUUUAUCGCAAGGCUGUGAUGUCGUGCGAUUCACUCUGCUCUUUUCAGCCCAGAGGAACAAUUUCAUCCUUCUAUUCCAACACCAAGCGAAUUAAGGAGCUUGAUUCUGUUAUUCGCCAUCCGCAAAGCAAAAAAGGGAUCGAGAUGCCGAUCCGUGGCUUUAUUCUUUGCCUCCAAACCCAAGCAAAGAAGCAUGAUAUGCUGUGCGCUCGCUUUGGCCAAAGGCAAAGGCAAAGGCAAAAGCAAUGUAUGUUGAUCAGCAAAACCAUAUGUGAAGCUAACACUCACAGUUGAUGCCCAACUCCCAUUCUUCUUCCUCCAUCCUGUGUCACCAUCUUUCUUCCCGGAGGAAACAGCACCAACAUUUCUGCUCUCUAAUGGACUCGCACAGGAUAUGUAGCUGCUAAUUAAGGUACCACUAUCCUUGUUCCGCUACCUCAUAUUAAUUGCUUCAACUUAUAGUUCUAAAAACUCGCAACUUUGUGAGCAAGCACUAGUUACGCGCAAACAUACAACUGACUAAGAGAUGCUCUUCUAGGUGCUUGCAAGUGGAGGAGGCGUGGAUGGGUUAGAUUAUUUGAGCCUGGAGCUUAUUCCGUUUGUUGGGCACCUGGGCCUUGAUUCAGAAACUCAUCAUGGACAGGCGUGGAUGGGUAUUUUUCUUUUCUUACAUAUGCAUGCUCGUUUCACUCGAGUUGUGCUCUUGACUCUUGUUAUUGAGUUUUUCUGUCUGGCUGUCAUGGUAUUAUGUGCAUAAAUCUCUUCCUCUAAAUCUUAGCAUACACUACAUAUAUAGACACACCACACACACACACACACAUCCAGUAUGUGCCAUUACGCAACUAUGAAGAUCUAAUCUGCCAUGCCUGCUCCUAUUAACCGGCACCGAACAAUAAAAUGCAUAACAUUGAUGAGACAGAGCUUGUUCUAUCAGAUCUUGAAAAAAAAGAUGACACAUUUAGGAUUUAAGACUGUCAUAUGGUACAUAUAGUUAAUUGCACAUCCGAAAUUAAUCUUGAUUUGAUGUUUCUUAUGGAAAUGCAAUUCUUCUAACCUUUCAACUUUGGUUCAACCCUUUUCUUGAGUAAUAGGCGCAGUCGAUACAGAGGGAUUAUGUCCUCCAUAUAUCAAACUGAUACAACCAAAUAAUUUAUAGAAAUCUUUUAGUUACCCACUUACCCUGAUCUCCACCCCAGCUGUCCUCUUUAGUCAUAGAACCGCUUGCUCAGUAAAGGUUCAAGUGUCAUGUGUCGAUGACCUAUGUUGAAGUGAAUCUGAUUUAGGUCUGUCACAACUCGUUGCCCCGGGGAUCGCCUGACGUGAGCAGAGGACGAUAAGGUACUUGUGGAGUGGUCACCGGAGAGGUAGGGGAUCCAGACGAGAGGAAGAUCGAGCACGGUUCAGUUUAUUUCUGUUCCCUCCCAUCUCUGCAUCGCUGCUUUUGUAGCUGCAUGUCUGAUCGACUGGCCCAUGCACAUGUAAACCACAACCCAGUAGCAUUUAGCCUAAUCCGUUGGUAGGUGUGGGUGUUACCAUAUCAUGAGCAUUCAUGCCCAAUUUAGUGGUCCUAACCAAAACUAAGAAACAGUUAUCGGCGGGAAUGGUCUCUCUGAUCACUUCUAGCUUUGCCUAUACCUUUUAAAUAAGUAUAAGUAAUACUAGGCCAAAAUUGAUAUAUACGUGAGUUAACCUCAGCUGAUUGUCAUAACCAGGUGCUGGGGUAUGAAUCACCCCAUGUCGAGGCGGCGGUAGAGAAUUUGAUCGAUUUCAUUGAGAAAACUAAAUAUAGUGUCAUAUAUUAUAAUGGAUGGCAUGGGUUGGCUGCUUCUGUGGUGCUUAGAGCUAUUGUCGAAGACCCUCCGCCGUCUCUGAUGAAGAAUUUCGACAAGAUCAUCCACGUCGAUUGCUCGAGGUGGAAAAGUCGAAGAGCACUACAAAGGAAAAUAGCCGAGGAACUGAAGCUUGCUGAAACUGUAAUGGCUAUUUUUGAUAAGCAAUAUGAAAAAGAUGAUUGGAAGGGUUAGAUGAGGGAUCUCGAGCUGAGAUACAACAUGUUGUGCCAGUAAUCCAUCGAUCCCUACAGGAGCAUAGAUGUUUAGUGGUAUUUCAGAAUGGGAGCCACAACAGAGUUGACUUGAAUGAUUUAGGCAUUCCUCGAGCAGUGUUCGGCACUAGAAUAUUGUGGACUUUUAGAAGAAAGAUUCUGCCCAACUCAAGAAUUGAGAAAAAGAUGGACAAUUCAACUUUCUGUGUUUACGAAAGAGGUAGUCUCAGUCACAAGUUUUUUCUACAGGCAGAGGCUAGAGAAAUUGCUCGAUCUAUGGGAAAUCUUGCCAUCACCCCUGAAAUAGUGGCCGAGUGCUGCAUGUAUCUGUUGUCAUUAAUCUCUCGGGGUAGCGACAUUAUUGACUAUAAGUGGGCUACCCAUGCUACCAAAUAUUGGGUCUGCGAUGGCAUUGUACAAGGAGGUCAUGAUGAUGAAGCAUGGGAUGUUGGUACUGCUUUGCAUCAAUGGAUCAGAUUAGAGGACUGCUCAUUUGAUAUAUUGGAAGAUUUUACUGAUAGUUUGGACGCCCAGAAACGUUGGAUGGUAAUGGUUGUCACCUCCACUAGUAUGGAAGAAAUAAAAAGGAUCGAGGCGGUGACUAUUCCUCCAGAGUCAACGUCGUUUUUCCUUGCAGUCCAAAGGGGAUCCAAUCCUCCAUUACCAUCAUUACCUGAUGGCAUGUUUCAUCAAUCGGAAAAUCUUCGUGUGCUCAGAUUAUGCAACUGCUCCUUCAAUUUUUCUUCACCUCCUUUCCGCUGUUGUCGAAGCUUAAGCUUCCUUGGAUUGGACAGCUGCAAGAAUCAACAAAAAGAAGAACCCGUGAAGCAAAGGAAACCAACUAUGGAAUUUUUUCACAGCCUAUGGGUGCUAGAUAUAUAUGACACAACCUGGGAACUGGCUCUGCCACAAGAGACAAUAGAGCAAAUGGCUGCAAACAUGAGGGAGGUACAUGUGAAGAAGGGAAGGAUUUGGUGCCGUAAUUUUUCAUGGCGACAACUACAGAACCUCCGCAAGCUUCGAAUAAUUGAACCUACAUGCUCUUGGGAAACAGAUGAACUGGAUGAAUUCACAAAUAUGGUAAAGUUGGAGCUCCUCGAUCUAUCUGGGAAUAGUACAAUGCAAGUUUUGCCACGAGUAUCAGAGACAGUUGGUCUGAAGACUCUGAUUCUAGAUGGCUGUGUUCAGUUGGAGCAUGUUGGGCCUGAAGGACUCCCUCCUUCAAUUGAAUCAUUUAGCUUAAGUUUUAGUUCAAUCCAAGAAGCAAAAGUCUCCAAGAUCUCUUUGGUUGGUUGUGUGCAUUUGGAGAACUUCACAUUGCAUGGAGAAUUGCCGUGCCUUGAGGAGCUAGACCUAUCAAACACCUUAAUCAGGAAACUUGACUUGAGCAGUGAGGUGGUGCAGGUGCCUGAACUAGAGCGGCUCUUUCUGAUAGGCUGUGAAAACCUCCACGCAAUACUAUGGUGGAGCGUCAAAAGAAGGUUGAAAAUGCUACGCAUCAGCAAUCAAGGAAAGGGCGCCAUCAGGCCACAUGAUUCUUCACUUAUCUGCUGUGUUAACAGAAAAUAUGACGGUGAAGUUUAUGUUAGAGAUGCAAGGUUCAUCCUGUCGUUGGUGCUCGGUUUGUGGGAAGACAAUUCCAGGUUUUUGAUUACUGAUAGCCUAUACUUGAAUCUGUAUGGGUCUUUGGAGAUCAAAGCUGAAGGGAGAAGCAUUAAUAACGUGGGGAUUGAGACCCACAAUGGGCAGGUAGUUCGGCCAGUCCGAAGCCCCAUCAGAUGCUGCUACCAUGAUAUUGUAGUCGAUUCUUAUGAGGUCCCACAGCCACUGCUUGUACCCCUGCACCGUCAUGUCGAGAUUGGUGAUGGAAUUAACCUCACUGAUGUGGAUUCCGAUUGGGGAGUCAUAGCUAUUUUUCAAUUGAUAUGCCGGGCUCACUCAUUGCGCGUCCAUGACAAUUUUUCCAUGCUUGCUAUUGCCCCCAAACAAGAUUUUGUUGUCCUUAUAGGUGAACCUGCUCGUUUUGAUUUGAGAUGGUGCCAUGUCGACAAGUGUCCUAAGUUACAGGCAAUUUUUGUCCCUUAUAUCAAGGAGGUCAAUUGUUCCUUUCCUCACUUGGAGACCAUCUGGGUGACCGAUCUCCGAACGGCUGGCUGCAUUUGGAGCCAAGGAAUAAUGUGGGCAGUUCAGCAAGAAUUUGUCUUUGGACAACUGCGGAGCAUACACUUGCACAACUGCCCGAGGCUCAAGUAUGUCCUCCCAAUCUCAUCAUUCAUCUUACCCAGCCUGGAGACCAUCAAAAUAGUCGGCUGUGGUAAUCUCAGGCAGAUCUUCCCAUGGGACGUGAAUUAUGACGCUGGAAGAGAAGACACGGUGAAGAACUUUCCACAGCUAAAGCACAUCUACCUGCAUCAACCCCACAAUCUGGAGGUAAUAUGUGAAGACAAGAUGUUUGCUCCAAAGCUUGAGACCAUCAGGAUAAGGGACUCUUGGGGCCUUAGGCGCCUCCCGGCGGUGGGCCUUCGCCGUGGAGUCAGUCUUCCUGUUGUGGACUGUGAGAAGGACUUGUGGGAUAACCUAGAGUGGGACGGGCUGGAGGCCGGUCACCACCCGUCACUCUUUAAGACACACCACUCACAGUACUACAAGAAGGCCCUUCCUCGAGUCUCGGUCCUCCGUUGAAUUGCUUUGAGCGUUCAGGUAUGCAUGUGCAUGCCCCCACCCUUUUCUUGUUUCCUGUACCGUAUCAUAUGCCAUAACAUCUACUCCCUCCGUUCCAAAAUAUUUGUCUUUUUAGUGAUUUCAGAUGGCUAUCACAUACAGAUGUAUAUAGACAUAUUUUAGAGUGUAGAUUCACUCAUUUUGCUCCGUAUCUGGUCAUUUGUUGAAAUCUAUAGAAAGACAAAUAUUUAGGAACGGAGGGACUAGUAUAAAUCAUGUGUGUAUAUAUCUGCGGCACUCACUAUAUAUGCUGUGCUAUAUUCUGAACUGCAAAAAUGAUGCAUAUAGCAAGGAGCUAAUGGCCCCUAUGCACUACUGUAUCUUUCUUCAUUUGUGCUUAUUUGACGCAUUAAGCUAUAUUAUCGUCUUGCAUUAACUAGUUUUAUCAUUUUACAUUUGUAGAUCUGGAGGCGGGAUGAUUUCUGCUGCUGCUGCUGCAACAACGGUUGAAUCAAGUGUUGGCUUGCCCAGUUGAAGUUGUGUUCAGUUUCCCAAGAAUAAAUUGGUGCUUGAUGUUGUGUGCGUGCACCUGAUUGAUGAUUUCUGUGUGUGUCUCUCCAGUGAGGAAAAGACGGUGCAUCAGCCACGUGGUUCGGUUUGGUUUGAUUUUUUUCUUAUGUUUGUAUCUAAAAUAAGAGCGUCUGAUGUGCAUGUGGUGUGCCUAGCACAGCUACAAAACCCAUAGUGUGAGUGUUGCUUCCGUUGAUGACGACGAUUCAGCAACAUGUUAGUGCUGCCUGAAAAGACUUACUCCCUCCUUCCAUCUAUAUAGGGUCUAAUGCAUUUUUCGAGGCUAACUUUGACCAAACGUUAGAGCAAUAAUAUAUGACAUACUACACAAAGCAUAUCAUCAAAUUCGUAUGUGAAAGAAGUUUUUAAUGAUAUAAUUUUCAUAUUAUACAUCUCAUAUACUAUUAAUCUUGUCAAUAGUCAAAGGCGAUCUUAAAAAACGUAUUAGGCCCUAUAUAGAUGAAAGGAAGGAGUAUGUAUUUUGAUUGAUUUGCAUGAGGUUUGAACUAUCAUGUUCUUCAGGCUUUGUUUGCUAUCGCUGCUGCAACAGGAGAGCACUCUUAUUUUUUGAUUGAUUUUAGCGAGGAAGACAAAACAGGCAGCCGCUUAUAUUAGUCCCCGCCAAAGAACAUUAGACCAAACCAUCCUCUGCUUACUAGGGCAUACGGCGCGCAAAGCACCUGUCCGAGAUGGGCAAUCGUACAAGCAGUUUUAAUUUAAUAACAAAUCCUAAGAAAUGUACUAACGCUAUCAUUCAUGGCUGAGCAGUCUGUCAGGCUCAUUAUCACCCCCUGAUGCCUGAAGCUCGCAUUGCUUUGAACCUGCUGUGGCAGAUGCAGCGGAACUGCUGCUGUUACAAUAAAUUCGAGGCAAUAUCAUUGAUCAUUCGAGGACUAAGCAAUCACACAAGUAUGACACCGAGAUUUGUUAACGAGGUUUACCGAUAUGACUACAUCCCGGGGCUUGACUACGGUUCACCGAUAUGGCUACAUCACCGAGAUGUGACACCGCUACAAUACCGCACCCGGUCGCCCUGGACACCGGCACAUGCCGUCGGCUCCCCUUGCGUUCUGGUGCUAUUAUGUUGGCAUAGGUUAUAUCGUGUGUCUAGCCCCGCUAUAUAUGAGAGGCCUAGGAUACAAGUAUCCUACUAGGACACGGCUCCAUAUCUUAUCUAAACACAAUACAACUACAAGUCCAACUGUAACCUACCUCGUACACUAUAUUUGACACAACUCUAACAAACUCCACCUUGGCGAAUAUCCUCCACCACCUUGAAUUCGUUAAUGCGUCAAACUUCUAUGUACAUUGGACUUGAGCUUAUCUCAUGAGUACCGCUGCUACUCCAAAGACUCCAUAUGACUCCACCUGCAACUUGUAGUCCCUCCUUUUCUUGACCACAGUCAACACUCGAGCAAAAUUAAGUUCCUUGUUACUCUAGUUUGUACUCCCAACUUCCAGAGUAUCAGUCCAACAUCAUCACACACUGAUCACUGACCUGCGUGAAAGUGAACAACUCACAUAUUGGGUGUCACACAUAAGAGUUACCUGAACUCAACAUCACCGCUCCUUUCUUGACCGUCUGUCUGAAACUUGAAGUAAUUUCACCAUUGCUUGUAAUCAUCCCGAGUCAAAUUCGCAGUUGUCUCACCACAUGUAUGACCACUAGAGCCCUGACCCGUCUCCAUGUCCCGUGCGUACCGCACACCUCGCCACUAUUACCGCGUCGAGCCUCCGCUGUCCCGGUCGAGUCUCAAGGGUCGCGAACCCACACCACUCAACCCCACUGCAGAGUACCACCGAUCAUCACCGACCGAUGCAGAGUUGUUAUAUCGCUACGAUGAUGAUGAUGAGUGGUUAUAUCAUUGCUACGGUAUAACAAUUCUAUAAGGGUGUAUAAAUGCGGUAUAAAUAUGCUGAAAUGAAAUACGGAUGCAUAAUAGUGGUGCGGGGCAGUAGCCAACACUGCUGCUAUUUAGUAGUAGUGUGGGUCCUACCUCACGCUACUGCUAAUAAAUGUAGUAGUAAGAUGAGGCGAGGCCCACACUACUGCUAAAUGUUAAGUUCAGCGUUCCGGCAGUAGCGCGGGCCCCAAUACUGCUGCUAGGACCCAACUUCUAUCAUGAACAGAACUUGAUAAUACAUAAUUCACCAUCACUUAUUUGAUCAUAGUGAUUGUUUUAAUAUAUUUGUUGAGUUCAUGUCAGUAGGCCUUAUAAGACCCUAAUCCACCAUAGAAGAUACGCAUACCUACAUAUUUACUAUAUUCAAAUCUUUCCACGGUAUAUUUGGAUUUAUCGCUUGAUUCAGGACGCACUUGAUACUUAUCUGGAGUGUCAAAAUAUCCCUUCUUAUUAUUCGCAAUCUGGGUAUUUUUUACGAAAGCCGCUCCUCCGUAUCCCUCGGAAGCAAAAUGUCCACUGCCCAUUCGCGGAGAGUUCGACGAGGCAGUCGGCCCCUCAACAAUCCCACCCCAGAAUGCUGCGUCACUUUUGUUCCUAAGGAAUUCGAAUAAUGCACUUGGCCAAUAUCCAAUUGCUACAUGCUCAUAAGUCAACCACCAGUUCUUUGACACAGGGUCCUAAAAUAAAUCCAUAUUUAUUGCAGGUUAGAUGCCGUCCUUAAAUCAAUAUUGUGUGAGAUAAAUAGGCUAUUAAAUAACUAAGAUUAUUUACAAUCAUGAUCUUAUUCUUUCUAGUAUUUUUUAGCGGUGAAUUAUUUUAUAAUCCUUUUGAUGAGAUAUAGUAGGCAUGCAUGUCCUCACCUAAUCCUUUUUGCAUAGCAAGGGAUAUGAAUCAGAAUGAUAUAUGUGUAUUUCCUUCAUGUUCAAAGUAUUGUCAUGAUUAAUUGAACUUGCCUUUUGAAUCUAUAUUAUUAGAAUAGUGUCAUAUAUGUGCAAAAAGAUAGUAUGUGGGUGUAAGAUGGUAAACAAGCAUAUCAAGUUGUGGUCACGUUCAGUAAGGUAUAUAUAGUGGUUAUGCACACGAAAUAAAAUCACUCAAUGUUGGAAAGACCCAUAUGAACUUAUAUUAUUAAUUUAUUAUCAUAAAAAUAUAUAACAUAAUAGCAUGUACCUGAAUAAAAUUAAGCAUUACCCAAGAAAUAUGAAAUCUAACAAAAGUAUCGCCACUCAAUGUUGGAAAGACCCGAACACCAGCACCAAUCCUGUCAGUGUGUUGUUCUCCUCCACUUUUCAUUUCUACACACAUUGCACUUGAAUCCUUACUAUAUUUAUUCACCUUUGGCUCCCAAACAUUUAAUACACCACGCACCCCAUAUACAUCACCCUGAUAUAUGAGUCCCGCUGACUGCAAGAAUUAAAAGUGACACCUUUAAGUGAGAAGAAUGAAUAGUAUGUGUAGAUAAGCCUGAUAGGAUAUCACAUGUAAUUCAUCUUCUCCAAAAUGUAAGGCACCAACCCCAUUAUAAUUUUUAAUUUGACCAAUAAUUAAGCUAUUAAGUUAUGGGUUAUGUGACACAUAAAAUUAUAUGAUUCGUAUUCGAAAGCAUUUCAAAUGUAUCACUUUUGGUUCAUAUUACUUACAUUAUUUUUCCAUGUUGUCAGUACAACUUAAAUCUUAAGAUGUGUGUUCAUUCACAUUUCGGGAUUUAGUUCUGACAACUAAGAAUUUGUGAUUAGUAUAUAGUAUGAAACUGUCCAAGAGAGUGUUGCUAAAACUUGGUAAUGAAAUUGGAAUACCUUCAUGCAGACAUAAUGUUCAUACAUAACUUUUUUAGUACAAAUAAAGAUUUGAGGGUACAAAAAUCAUUACCAACUACUCAAAUAUUGUAGAGUAUAUAUGAGGCCCUUCAUUCACUAUAAAAUUGCAUUCUUUUCUAUAAAUCAUUUUCCAUCAUACUUGACGAACCUAGACCGUUCAUUAUUACGACACUUGAUGGAAAAUUAACCAUUACCAUCGGAAGGUGAUUUUUUUCUUAAAAUACCUUAUUGUAAUUUAAUUAGAUUAUUAUGGUGUCUAUGCUGCUUCUUUAACUCAACAUUGUAAAUUUGACAUGCGUAUCAAAUGCCACAAUUACACGCUAAUAUCCAUAAUCAACCCUACAAAAAUCAUGUAAAAUUGUGAUAACAAAUUCAUUUUGUAACUUAUACAAAAACUCACCUCCAAUUGCCCAUCGUAACUAUGUGCUGCUAUGGUGCCACUUCCAUUAGUACGCAGUAUUGGAAUUGUUCCCGUUGGGCACUCAAUGAUAGAUGGUUCAUCUGAAGGCAAUGUUUGGAUAUCCAUCCAAACAGGGAAAUGAUUUGGUUGCAUCUGUUUGAAAAUAGAAUGAACCACCUUAUAAACAAAAUAUUACAAAUGUAUAAGACAAUACACAAAAAACAUGUUGUAAUUUUAUUCAUAGUUUAUAAAGCUUAUAUUAUGUAAAAAGGUUCUUAGUUCAGUACACUUCCAAUAGCCCUAAUUUUCUAGCAUUAAAAACAUAUCCAAAAAGAUUAAUGAAACAUGAAGGGAGUAGAACAUGCUGAAUCAACAUUUAUGCAAUUAAUCAUGAACUAAUAAUAUACUAGACAAUUCAUGGAGGUACAUCAUAUUGUUAUGAAAUUAAUUUACCUGGACUUUGUGGUCUUUCAAUAAUGGGUGCCUGAAAGUCGGUUGCUCAUUCACAUCAAUGCAGUCAUAGACAUCUCCAUCUUUCAUCUAUUUUGAUGUUUCCUCUACCUGUUAACCCCCAAAACAUAUGCUAAAUAUACAUAAGAAGGUUAAUUAUUCAUACCACAAUGGUUUUAUUGACUCGGUGAUAAGUGAGAAUCUGGGUAUUGUCUUCCUGUUGCCUUCUGUAUUGCACAUCUUUUCCUCUGGUCACCAGAACUAGAAAUGACAUGAAAAGAGUUGCACUAAUGGCUUGCAUCCCUUUCAUUGUGAAAAUAGGGAAUUGUUAGUUUUGGAGUUCUUAGACCAUCAUAUUUAUAUGCAUCAGAGUGCACCUCACAUUUAAUGUUGCUUAUAAUUAUAAUGUAUAACCUAAGGAUUAUUGUAUGCAUACAAAAGAUAGCAUAUAUUAAUUGUACUAAGAUAUAUGACCACUAGAAAAUAUAGCAUUAAUUGCACUAUAUAUGAUAAGAUGUGUUUGAGAAUAUGGCAUCAAAUGCCCUAAGAUAUGAUCAUCCUUAUCUUUUGUACAAAAUCUAUUGUGUUAGUGCGAUAUAAAGGAUGUGAUGUGUUUAAUGCAUAGAAAAAUCUUCACAAGUGCCAAGUUUGAUAGGGAAAGUAUUAAUAUAAUUGAUUUGUUGCCUUAAAUUGUAAUCUCCAAUCUAUUCUAAGGCAAUCUUUCUGGGUCUGCUCCUCUUUACCACCUUGCCUUUCUACNNNNNNNNNNNNNNNNNNNNNNNNNNNNNNNNNNNNNNNNNNNNNNNNNNNNNNNNNNNNNNNNNNNNNNNNNNNNNNNNNNNNNNNNNNNNNNNNNNNNNNNNNNNNNNNNNNNNNNNNNNNNNNNNNNNNNNNNNNNNNNNNNNNNNNNNNNNNNNNNNNNNNNNNNNNNNNNNNNNNNNNNNNNNNNNNNNNNNNNNNNNNNNNNNNNNNNNNNNNNNNNNNNNNNNNNNNNNNNNNNNNNNNNNNNNNNNNNNNNNNNNNNNNNNNNNNNNNNNNNNNNNNNNNNNNNNNNNNNNNNNNNNNNNNNNNNNNNNNNNNNNNNNNNNNNNNNNNNNNNNNNNNNNNNNNNNNNNNNNNNNNNNNNNNNNNNNNNNNNNNNNNNGUGUGUCUAUCAUAGCUUGCCAGAGAACAUGUUAACACUCACUAAGCUUCUUACGGUGUAAAUGUUUUAAUAUUUUUUUGAAAUAAAUCGUGGAGCACCACUACAAUGUAACAAAGAUGAUCCAACUGUGUGAUUAUGAAAAUAUGCAUUUAUGUGUCCUCGGCAAAAAAACUAUUAUUUCGGCUCACUGCAACAUAAUUAAACAGUACUCCCUCCGUCCGGGAAAACAUGUCACCAGCUUAGUUCAACUGUAAUUUUACAAAAAAAACUUAUCAUUUUAAAUCUCGUGCUAAUCAACCCUUCUUCCUCCCCUGACGCCUGCGGGCACCGCAUGCCCCAGCCUCCGUCUCCCCCCGUCGUCGGCAAGAACCGCGUGCCCUGGUCGCCGUAGGGAUCAGCCGGCAACAAAGUCUCACUUGCGCCACCUCCCACCUGCCCCGCGGCUUCCAUCUUGUGCCACCCCUGCUUACCUGCCCUACGGAGGCGAGCUUCGCCGCUACCCACCUGCUCCUCUGUGGCGACACCUCGACAGGUGGCGACUGCACGGCUCAUGGAUGACUCCUCCUCGCCGUCCUAUUCACAUCCCCGGCCGCAACCCCGACCUACCAAGGCCAACCACUCCGCUACGGGAGUUGGGAAAUACCCCGGCCACCGCUGCUCCUCCACAGUCGUCCACCGAGGUGGCCAAUGCAUCCACCGUCGGGCCUAGCACCGCCGCCCUCCUACUACAGAGGCAAUCACCGCCACCCACAUGUGCCUCCUCGCCGAUUUCUUCUUCUUCUUCGUCCAAGCAACCCAGCUCCUCCUCGCCGCCUCUGCUGCUACUGAAGUGAAAGGUAGCCAGCGCCCUGAAAUCAGUGUUAAAUUGAUGCUAAUUUGUUCUAUAGAUCAAAUUGAGGUGAAUUAGAGCACCACCAGAUCAUCCAAUCUGUAAUUUGAUGACCGUGUACACAUACACACACAAUAUUCAGUCUGUAAGAGUAAACUAUAGAUGCACAAAAUUGUACAGUAAACUGAAUUAGUGAACAAACAAGGUUACUCAUAGGCUUAGACUGAAGGACUUGCAGAAUUGUGAAGGAGCAGGAGCGAGGUACUUUACCUGAGUUUGCAAUGGUUGGAUCAACACCAGGGGUAGCAGAAAUAGACAUUGCUACUUUGAAUUUGUCCAAAAUUCAGGGAGCAGUACAAAUUCAUAGAGCAGUUUGCAAUGGUCAUUCCAAGUCAAAACAGUGGUCAUAUUUCAUUUCAUGACAAAGAGAAAGCAUGGAACAAUUUUUCAUUGUGUUGCAGAUUAAUAAUUCAGUUAAUCAUGGUCUGCUGCUUGCCCCUGAUGUGCCACAGAAAGAAUCAUGGUGUGCUGCUUGCCCCUGAUGUGCCACAUAAAAAAUCAUCAACUGAUGUCUAGUUUAAAGAAUUCAGCAAUUAACUUAUUUUUUCUACUAUGGAGAGUAGAGUAAUUUGACAACAGCAGCAAUUUUCUGUAAGUACUCAAAUUCACUAUACUGUAAAUUCAGUCAAGUGUAAAUAUUUUUUUUGUUUUUCUAGCACUGGAUUGCUUCCUUUAGUGUAAAUUAAGUUAGCACAUUCUUCUUCUACAUUUGGUUAUCAGUAGUGUAAAUUCGGUUAACUCCUACCCUGAUGUUGCAUACUCCUACCCUGACAAUUUUGUUUUUCUAUCACUGAAUUGCACACAAUUUUGUUUGUUGUUGUGAGUUGAACCAAAUGAAGACAAAUUAUCUGUGUGCUAGCACUAGAUUGCUCACUGAACACUUUCAUAAUUUCAUAAAAGUUCACGAAACAUGAAACUUCACUGAAAAUAUGGCUGCUCUGAUGUCUAGAACACUUUACUAAGCAAUCAACUACUAUACUUAAAAAAGGGAAAGCAUAUAUUAAAAAAAUAAAUGGCAAUAGGAAUUAAGUUGGAAUUAUUUGAAUUAAGUUAGAUUCUUAUUGCUUUACUUGAAUAGGAGGGCCAUCGUGUUCCUCUAGUUACCAAAAUGAACAAGGAGUAGUACUUUUAAUAUUUACUUUUCCCUUUAUUGAUUUCUUUGCUUUUUGUCUAGGAUUCUUCAUGGUUUUUCUUUUUGUGAUUAUAUGCUAACCAUUCAUCUUUUGUAUACUCUUGUUGUGAUUAUAUGCUAACCAUUCAUCUUUUGUAUACUCUUGUUAUGAGAUCAGACAGGAGCACACAACUUUGGAUAUGAACUUUGAAAGGACAUGUGGUGCUCCCAUGUGUGGUUUUGGGAAUUGAUGACAUUCUCUAUGGUUAAUGGUUGCAUUGAGUUAUAUUUGAAGGAUUUGUCCAUAGGCUUUUCUUGAAGUCCAUGUGUAGGUUUCAAGGAGUUUCUGAGUUGACCAAGGUGCUAUUAAGGAAUUAUCCAAAGAUUGGUCAUGUGAGUGUUGAGCUUAUUGCAAGCAUGUCUUGAAGAAGAAGAUUGUGUGUCAUUCAUGUUUAUCUUCAAGACAUCAUCCAACUGAAGAGAGUUGGAAAGAUUCAAGGUUGAUCAAGACUAAGUCAAGAGUGAAUCAAGUUGAUCAACUCACAAAGCGUAAAAGAUGUACCGAGAGGGAUGAAGUGGCCCAUGGUAUGGUAAGAUUUGUCCAUUACGCUUAUUGUACUAACCCAUGGUCUAUGUGAGAGUUCCAUGUGGGGUUAGGUAUGUGUCCGUGGGCUUGUGUCAAGAGGAAGAUAUCAUACAACCCAUGGAAAGGAUGACAUCAAGUGGUGAUCGUCAUCAAGAUUGCCGUUGAAAGUGCAACUAAUCCCCGGGUGGUUUUGGUAAUUCAUAACAACAUAUAGCUCAUUGAACUAAUAUCCUUUCAAGUUGAUCAUUUCAGAAAGUUCAAUGAUUGGCAAUGGCAUGGACUAGAGAUGUGGACCCCUCAAAAUUCUAAGGACAAAUAUUGGCAAAAGCUCAAGACUCUUCAUUUCAAUUUUGGUGAUCCAAGAUCACAUUGAGUCCAUAAGAAAAGCCAAUACUAUUAAAAGGGGAUGAGGUGUUGCUUAAUGGUCUACUUGCUCAAGUGCUUAGUGAUAUGCUCCAAAUCCCUCAACCACACUCUCAUAUCCAAACAUGUCCUAAACCUAAAGUCAAACUCGGCCCCACCGAAUUGAUUCAUCCGGUGCCACCGAGUUCUUUUGACAUAGCCAUAGCCAGAAACCCUAAUCAGUUGGGUCUCACCGAUAGGGAUUUUGGUCUCACUGAGAUGGGAUUGCAAACUCUCUGUUUCACUUCGUAACGUUCCGGUCUCACCGAGAUGAGUGAUUGGUCCCACCGAGUUCGUAGUGCAAACUCUCUGUUUCCCUUUCGUAACGUUUUGGUUUCACCGAAAGGAGUGAUCGGUACCGCCGUGUUUGCUGUUUUGGGAUAUUAAUUUAUUCCCUAAAUACUUUUAGGGUUCAAUUUAAUUCCCAAUUUUUUAUUGGAGUCUCAAUAAAUUUUGUAUUUAUUGAAAUUAUUCUCCAAUCCAACAUCAAAUGGAAGUCACACCCAAAUUUGUAGCUCUAUGUUGUCAUUAUAAAUAAUCCCUUAUAAAAAAUUAGGGUUCUAAAUAGUUUCAAAAUUAUUUUUGAGCCACAAAUAACACUAAAAUGUAGGGGUGGAAAUUGGUAGCGGAUAAUCCAAAAUAUCCGAUAUUCGUAUUCGAGAGAAUGCCUAUUCGUAUCCGAAACAUCCGCAUCCGAACCAAAAUGGAAAUGGAAAUUAUCUGUAUCUGAAUUUAUUAAACAAAUAAAAAAUAAAAUAUGGUACGAGAUUUUGAGACAAAUAUGGAUAUGGAAGUGGAUAUAUCCGUAUCCGAAUAAGAUUAUGGGAGGUAAUUUUCAAAAUUCUAGACCCAAUAUUCCAAUUAUCCAACAUAAAAGCCAAAUAAGUGGUCAAAUUUUACUCUUUAUAUGAUUAAACUUAUAAAUUAUUAUGCAUUACAAUAGUAUUUAUUCAUAAACCUAUUUAUCAUUGACUUAUUGUAUGUCACAAGUUGAUUAUUUCAGGUCACAUAGCUAUCGACUAAUUUACUUAAGCAAUAUGUUGAUAUUAUUCGUAUCCGUUCCGAAUCAAGAAAAUAUCCGAUACGAAUCCGUAUUCGAAUAAUAUCCGAGCCGCAUCCGUAUCCGAUAACAUCCGUAUUCGGAUUCGUAUUCGUUUUGAAAAUAUGAAAAUGGAAGUGGCAAGAGCACUAUCCGAUCCGCGUCCGAUCCGUUUCCACCCCUACUAAAAUGGAUCAAAUCCUACUCAAAACAAGCUAAGAUCAAGCAAUCAUAAAAGAUGACGUAAUUAAAACUAUUUAAAUUAUUUAUGUUCCAAAAUUGGCAAAAAAAAAUUGGAUGUGACAUCAUUGGAAUUGAGCAUAAGAAAGGAUUAAAUUGAUGUGUAAAAAAGUAGAAUUAAUGACUUUUUUACUUUUUGAUGAUUAUAUUGUCAAGGUAUGAGUGAAUCAAACUUAUAGGAUAAAUGUUCUAACAGUUCAAUUUUGCACUAGNNNNNNNNNNNNNNNNNNNNNNNNNNNNNNNNNNNNNNNNNNNNNNNNNNNNNNNNNNNNNNNNNNNNNNNNNNNNNNNNNNNNNNNNNNNNNNNNNNNNNNNNNNNNNNNNNNNNNNNNNNNNNNNNNNNNNNNNNNNNNNNNNNNNNNNNNNNNNNNNNNNNNNNNNNNNNNNNNNNNNNNNNNNNNNNNNNNNNNNNNNNNNNNNNNNNNNNNNNNNNNNNNNNNNNNNNNNNNNNNNNNNNNNNNNNNNNNNNNNNNNNNNNNNNNNNNNNNNNNNNNNNNNNNNNNNNNNNNNNNNNNNNNNNNNNAAUCAUUAUAUGAACCCACACAUAUAUAUGUAAUUUAAAAAAUUGUAAAGUUUUUUAAAAUUAAACUUUUUCCAUUUUUUAAUUUGUAAAACCAAUUUUUUAACGAUAUACAUUACAAUUGUAUAAUAAUGAAUAUUAUAAUUAAUAUUAGGUUGAAUUAGUAUAUGGUUAACUGUUGAAACUAAAUAAAAAUACUCAUUAAGUUUGUACCGUGACAAGAAAAAGUUUAAAUAAGUAUAUAAAAUUGUUAAUUUAAGUAUCUUUAUAUUCAAAGUUUAAUUUGAUCGAUGAUGCUCAACAAAUUUAUUUAAGUAGAACAAUAUAAUAAUCUUUAUUGCAAUAGUUUAUCUUUAGUAUAAACGGGUUAAAAUGAUCGCGUACAUUAAUUGGUCUUAACAUUUUUUUGCCGGUGAGGUGGGACUAAGAAUCAAUUAUCUCUUAAGAUUUGAAUAUGAUUUUGGAAAAUUAAACCUUAUUAGUGAAAAAUAAAGCAAUAUGCUUAAAAUUAAAUGACAGAAACUAAAAAAUGAAAAAAAUAUGAAUAUAUGAAGUUACGCAUUAACCUCUUGAAUGUCCUUAUAUCAAGUUUAUACAAAGGAAAAAACUCAAAUAGUUACAACAAGAAAAAAAUAGCUUUAUUUUAUAUUUUGCAUUGACCUAUUUUUCAUUUUGUUUUAGAAUUAUGUGUCAACUAAAUAAGAUAAGCAUUACACCGGUAUUUUUAAGGAAGAUAAAUCAACUAUGAUUUAAAUAAUUAAGUUAAUUGUUUUUUAUAAUAAUAUUAUAAGAAAAGUUUGUACAAAAGAAAAACUCAAAUACUUACAACUAGAAAAAAAUACCUUUAUUAUAUAUUUUUGCAUUGAUCUAUUUGUCAUUUUGUUUUAGAACUAUGUGUCUAAUUUACAUCUUGUUUAGAAAAAAAUAGGGAAUAAACAUUUUAGUGUACAUUGGAUUCUCUUAGUGAUCAGUUUUCAUUAGAGGACGCCAUAUGAUUCUAAGAGGGUUAUCGAUGAUGGUCCAUGGACUUGCCCAUCUAGUGAUGUAGCGGUAAUGGCACUCUCUCUCUCUCUCUAUUAUAUUGGUGAUGAUGGACAGUCACCGGAGUCACCGCUGCAAGGAAAGCAAAGGUGCAGAAGCAUGAUUGAAUCAAAACCCUAGUUCAGCCAUUAUCCCCUGACUUCCAUGGGCCUUACAACACUAGGGCAACUUCUCCUUUCGGAAUGUUUGAAAAUUUGAGGCAUAGUCGAUCAACCAAAGACAAGCUAUAUAUGACAAAAAGACAUCGAGACUUGUUAACGAGGUUCACGGAACAUAGGAUACAACCUAGAGCAUGACAACGGGUGCACCUCCACAUGUAAGAAAUUAACUUAGUAGAACAAAGAUAAACCCAUUGAGAGUAUCAAAAAGCAUCUCGGACCACACACCACGGUGGUUCGGCCACCACUUUCACGGGUGUUAGGAUUGUCCCUCUGGUGAUCUCUAUCUAGCCUAGCAACCUAUAUCUAGUCUAUUUGUCUAGCUCGCGUCACCAUAUAUAAUAGGUUAAGGUUACACAUAUUCGACUCAAACACCUAAGAGCAUCUAGAGCCGGAUGCCUCAAAUGGCACUCAAACGACCGGGCGGAUGGACCGGUCACUGAACGGUAAAACAAUGACCCAGACGAGCACCUCAAACCGGCCUCAAAUGCUCGGGUUGACUGACACCCCUAAUAUCCAGCACAAAUCUAGGAUGAAUAUGGGGAUGCCUGGUGCGACCAGGCGCAUCCUCCACAUCGAACCCAACAACCGAACGCCACCACAAAUUGCACCAAAUCACCUUCUGACCUACCCGAUUUCACUUGCGCCAGACUACACCUUGCCCUCUAUGUGUUCGACCCAUUGUCCGGCUAGGUUUUCUGGUGACUUUAUUGUAGGAGCAUGACGAAAUGAUUCAAAAAGAGCUCUCAUACUUAAACACUAUUGAUCACUGAGAGUAGGGGCCAUGGAUGCUCACCUUGCGGAGGGUAUUACUUCACAAAGCGGGCAUUGAUAGCCCAAAUUAAGAGAGAGAAGCUUAAAGCUUUUGCACGAUGUGGCUAUUUAAGCUAGUCGCAUCGCUCCUCUGACGGCGAGGUGGGACUAAAACCGCAACCACAUGGGCCCAACAUGGAUGUCACACGGAUGUUUGGCCUACUAGAUUGAUUUAUCUUGCAAUGGGAGAGGUGCUUUGUGAUGGGUUCAAUCUUGAAGUGCUACAUCCUAGUGACAAAAAGGGAAAUGACACAUAUUUGUAUUGUGCCAUUAAUGAUAAAAAUAUGGGGUUUAUUCAUAUUGCUUGGGUUUUCUUUGUCUACAUCAUGUCAUCUUUCUUAAGGCGUUACUCUAUUUUUAUUAACUUAAUACCCUAGAUGCAUGCUGGAUAGUGGUCGAUGGAUGAAGUAAUAGUCGAGUAGAUUCUGAAGGAAAUAUGCCCUAGAGGCAAUAAUAAAGUUGUUAUUUAUAUUUCCUUAUAUCAUGAUAAAUGUUUAUUAUUCAUGCUAGAAUUGUAUUAACCGGAAACUUAGUACAUGUGUGAAUACAUAGACAAAUAGAGUGUCACUAGUAUGCCUCUACCUGACUAGCUCGUUGAUCAAAGAUGGUUAAGUUUCCUAGCCAUGGACAAAGAGAUGUCAUUUGAUAAAUAGGAUCACAUCAUUAGAGAAUGAUGUGAUUGACUUGACCCAUAUGUUAGCUUAGCACUUUGAUCGUUUAGUUUAUUGCUAUUGCUUUCUCCAUAAGUUAUACAUGUUCCUAUGACUAUGAUAUUAUGCAACUCCUGAAUACCGGAGGAACACUUAGUGUGCUAUCAAACAUCACAACGUAACUGGGUGACUAUAAAGAUGCUCUACAAGUGUCUCCGAUGGUGUUUGUUGAGUUGGCAUAGAUCGAGAUUAGGAUUUGUCACUCCGUGUAUUAGAGAGGUAUCUCUGGGCCCUCUCGGUAAUGCACAUCACUAUAAGCCUUGCAAGCAAUGUGAUUAAUGAGUUAGUUACGGGAUGUUGCAUUACGGAACGAGUAAAGAGACUUGCCGGUAACGAGAUUGAACUAGGUAUUGAGAUACUGAUGAUCGAAUCUCGGGCAAGUAACAUACUAACGGACAAAGGGAAUUACGUAUGUUGUCAUAAGGUUCGAUCGAUAAAGAUCUUCGUAGAAUAUGUAGGAGCCAAUAUAGGCAUCCAGGUUCCGCUAUUGGUUAUUGACCGGAGAGGUGUCUCGGUCAUGUCUACAUAGUUCUCGAACCCGUAGGGUCCGCACGCUUAACGUUCAUUAACAAUAUAGUGUUAUAUGAGUUAUAUGAUUUGGUGAGAGAAUGUUGUUUGGAGUCCCGGAUGAGAUCACGGACAUGACGAGGAGCUCCGGAAUGGUCCGGAGGUAAAGAUUGAUAUAUAGGACAAUGAUGGGAGCGGGGCGUCACACAAGACCACGAUAAUCUCUUAGUUGUGUGCGGCGCCCCUCUCCAUAGUUUCGUCCCUUGGUCAUAUUUUUUGAGUGCUUAGGCGAAGCCUGCGGAGAUAGCAUCACCAUCACCGUCGUGCUACCGGAACUCAUCCACUACUUCGUCCGUCUUGCUGGAUGAUGUCUACUACACAACCUUCUUCUCGUAGACGUUGUUGGGCCUCCAAGUGCAGAGGUUUGUAGGACAGUAGCAAAUUUCCCUCAAGUGGAUGACCUAAGGUUUAUCAAUCCGUGGGAGGCGUAGGAUGAAGAUGGUCUCUCUCAGGCAACCCUGCAACCAAAUAACAAAGAGUCUCUUGUGUCCCCAACACACCCAAUACAAUAGUAAAUUGUAUAGGUGCACUAGUUCAGCGAAGAGAUGGUGAUACAAGUGCAAUAUGGAUAGUAGAUAAUGGUUUUUGUAAUCUGAAAAUAUAAAAACAGCAAGGUAACUAAUGAUAAAAGUGAGCACAAAUGGUAUUGCAAUGCGUUGAAACAAGGCCUAGGGUUCAUACUUUCACUAGUGCAAGUUCUCUCAACAAUAAUAACAUAAUUGGAUCAUAUAACUAUCCCUCAACAUGCAACAAAGAGUCACUCCAAAGUUACUAAUAGCGGAGAACAAACGAAGAGAUCAUGGUAGGGUACGAAACCACCUCAAAGUUAUUCUUUCCGAUCAAUCCGCUGGGCUAUUCCUAUAAGUGUCACAAACAGCCCUAGAGUUCAUAGUAAAAUAACACCUUAAGACACAAAUCAACCAAAACCCUAAUGUCACCUAGAUACUCCAAUGUCACCUCGAGUAUCCGUGGGUAUGAUUAUACGAUAUGCAUCACACAAUCUCAGAUUCAUCUAUUCGACCAACACAAAGAACUUCAAAGAGUGCCCCAAAGUUUCUACCGGAGAGUCAGGACGAAAACGUGUGCCAACCCCUAUGCAUAAGUUCACGAGGUCACGGAACUCGCAAGUUGAUCACCAAAACAUACAUCAAGUGGAUCACGUGAUAUCCCAUUGUCACCACAGAUAAGCACAUGCAAGACAUACAUCAAGUGUUCUCAAAUCCUUAAACACUCAAUCCGAUAAGAUAACUUCAAAGGGAAAACUCAAUCCAUCACAAGAGAGUAGAGGGGGAGAAACAUCAUAAGAUCCAACUAUAAUAGCAAAGCUCGCCAUACAUCAAGAUCAUACCACCUCAAGAACACGAGAGACAGAGAUCAAACACAUAGCUACUGGUACAUACCCUCAGUCCCGAGGGUGAACUACUCCCUCCUCGUCAUGGAGAGCGCCGGGAUGAUGAAGAUGGCCACCGGAGAGGGAUUCCCCCUCCGGCAGGGUGCCGGAACGGGUCUAGAUUGGUUUUCGGUGGCUACGGAGGCUUCUGGCGGCGGAACUCCCGAUCUAUUCUGCUCCCUGAUGUUUUUAGGGUAUAUGGACAUAUAUAGGCGAAAGAAGUCGGUCAAGGGAGCCACGAGGGGCCCACGAGGGUGGGGGCGCGCCCAGGGGGGCAGGCACGCCUCCCUGCCUCGUGGCCACCUCGAAGCUUACCUGACGUUUACUCCAAGUCUCCUGGAUUGCUUCCGUUCCAAAAAUAACUCUCCCAAAGGUUUCAUUCCGUUUGGACUCCGUUUGAUAUUCCUUUUCUUUGAAACACUGAAAUAGGCAAUAAAACAACAUUUUGGGCUGGGCCUCCGGUUAAUAGGUUAGUUCCAAAAAUAAUAUAAAAGUGUAUAAUAAAGCCCAUAAACAUCCAAAACAGAUAAUAUAAUAGCGUGGAACAAUCAAAAAUUAUAGAUACGUUGGAGACGUAUCACUGGAUCAAGAAGGUGAGGACGUCACCGAGCUGAACGUGUGUUGAACGCGGAGGUGUCGUACGUUCGGUACUCGAUCGGUUGGAUCGCAAAGAAGUUCGACUACAUAAACCGUGUUACUAAACGCUUCCGCUUACGUUCUACGAGGGUACGUAGGCAUACUCUCUCCCUCGUUGCUAUGCAUCUCCAUGGAUAGAUCUUGUGUGUGCGUAUAAUUUUUUUUGUUUUCCAUGCAAGGUUUACCAACAUGUUCUUGUUCAACACUUGCACACUAGCAUACUACCAAUUCAUCCAUGACCACUAGCUAUCAAUGCUUGCCUACAUGAAAACAACCCGUAGCAUGCUUCAAAUCCAUCACAACUAGCUACUACUAUAUCACGGUCAAACAGAUCGGAAGAUCUAACCCUACCACGUCGACAGAUCUAGCUAGAACUAGUAGAAAGGAGGAGUGAUUGAACUUACAAACGCCAUCGGAAGACCCGCGGAGGAGGUGCCUGGCAUGUCGGAGAAGAGGAGCAGUAAGUAGUCAACAGGUCGCCGGAGUAGUUGCGCCGCUUACCUCGUCGUGGAAGUGGAUCCGCGCCGGAGGGAAAGCUCGAGAAGGGGGGGGGGAAUGGUGGCGGGAGUUUUGCCACGGCGGUCAUCUGGCUAUAUAGGAGCGACCGAAUUGGCGGUGCGGCGACUCGAGUUCGUCUCGCCGCUUUUCCGAAGACCUGCCAUCUCCCUGCCCGCAGCGCAGCGUUCCCCUCCCAUGCAUUGCUCGAGGCUGACUCGCUGGAAACUAUCGAUCCGGGCGUUUCUAACGGGCCUGGCUGAGCACUGCUUUAAGGUUUGUGCGGGCCAAGAUUUAGAUGCGGGCCAGGCAACCAAACAGGCCGCAAAACUGCCCGCGCGGGCCUGACUGGGCCUAAUACAAGCAACCAAAUGCAUCCUUCUUUUUUUAGACAAAAUUGUCUCUUUUCUUAGGGAAGCAAAAAUAACAAAUUCUAGGGUGAAACGUGAGGUGCAGCCCAGCAUCUCGUGUCGGCAUCCCACCCCACACUGUUUCUGCUAAGGAGAUAGACUAAAAAAACAAAAAUGGAGUUGGACGAUAGCAGCACGUGCGGGUGGUUGGAAGCCAACUUUUGGCGCGCGUGAUGGAAAGAUGGAGCUAACCCAUCCCAGCCAUGGAUUCUUCUCAUCUUGUAUAAGUAUUCCGUCCAUGAACUCCAUCGAUCAGCAAGUGAAGUGACCAUCGGAGGAGGGAGAAGAAUACAAGAAGAAGAAGAUGGCGCGCGUGGAGGCCCUGAGCAUGAGCGGCGCGACGGCGAUCCCGGCCGAGUACGUGCGGCCGCAGGAGGAGCGCCAGGGCCUGGGCGACGCCUACGACGAGGCGGCGGCCAGCUGGUCCGCGGCCGGCUCCCCGCGCAUCCCCGUCGUCGACGUGGCCGCCUUCGACGCCGCGGACCCGGGCUCGCCAUCCAGCCUCGCCGUCGUCGACGCCGUGCGUGCCGCCGCGGAGGGCUGGGGCGUCAUGCACGUGGCCGGCCACGGCAUCCCGGAGGACCUCAUCGACGCGCUGCGCGGCGCCGGCACGGGCUUCUUCCGCAUGCCGAUCGAGGACAAGGAGGCCUACGCCAACGACCCGGCGGCCGGGCGGCUCGAAGGGUACGGCAGCCGGCUCGCCGGAUCGGCCGGAGAGGAUGGGAAGAGGGAGUGGGAGGACUAUUUGUUCCACAUGCUCCACCCCGACGCCCGCGCCGACCACGCGCUCUGGCCGGCGCACCCGCCAGAGUACGUGCCCGUCACCAAGACCUUCGGGGAGCACGUCAGCGCGCUCUCCUCCCGGCUCCUCGCCAUCCUCUCCCUCGGGCUCGGCGUCCCGGCCGACACCCUCGAGCGCCGCCUGCGCCUCACCUCCGGCGGCGAGACCCAGGAGGUGGAGGACGACCUGCUCCUGAAGCUCAAGAUCAACUACUACCCGCGGUGCCCGCAGCCGGAGCUGGCGGUGGGCGUGGAGGCGCACACCGACGUCUCCGCGCUCUCCUUCAUCCUCACCAACGGCGUCCCCGGCCUGCAGGUGCUCCUCCCCGGCGACGGCCAGACCUGGGUCACCGCGCGCGACGAGCCGGGCACGCUCGUCGUCCACGUCGGCGACGCGCUCGAGAUCCUCAGCAACGGGCGCUACACCAGCGUGCUCCACCGCGGGCUCGUCAACCGGCAGGCAGUGCGCGUCUCCUGGGUCGUCUUCGCCGAGCCGCCGCCCAACUCCGUGCUGCUGCGCCCGCUGCCGGAGCUCCUUGUGGACGAGACGCCGCGCUUUGAGCCGCGCACCUUCAGGCAGCACCUCGAGCGCAAGGUCCUCAAGAAGACGAAUGAUCAACAGGAGGAGGAGGUUGUUAAGAUGCCGCCCGUUGUCGCUCAAGAGGAGGAGAAGGAGGUUAUUAAGAAGCCGCCGGUCGCCGGCGAGGAGGAGGAGAAGGAGGAGGCCACGGAGCCGCUGGUCGCCGGCGAGGAGGAGCACAAGGUGGUGAAGAAGGAGCAGAGUGAACAGGAGGAUGCCAAGAUGGCGCCGGUGGCAGCCAACCUAGUGGAAGUUAAUUAAUUAACUCAUCCUACAAUAAUUACCAUAAUGAUUAGUAUUACUCACAUGGGGUAAUUGUACGAAUAAGUGUGCUUGCUAUUGAGAGGUGAUCAGAAAAAAUAUAUAUUAAUUUUGCGCUUUAUUGUGGCAUUUGUAAUGUUUUUUUAGUAAUGUUAUAUAUGUUAUGAUGUUCUAAGUAAUUAAGUAAAAGAUGCAUGGUGUGAUUCAAAUGCCAUAUUUUUUGUAUCUGUGUCUAAUCUUGAUCGGUGGAUGGUUGGGUAGUUCCAUUCUGCACAAAAUAUGUGAAAUUUAAGGCACAAAUGUGCUUCUAUGCUUGUUGAUUGACAUGCCGUCCAUCAGACAAAUAAGAACUCACAAAUAGUGAAUUGUUUUGGGACCCUCUUAAGACAUGGCCGUUUCUUCGCCAGGAGGCAAUUUUUAUGUUAAAAGUAUGGCGACUGAUAGGCGCCGGUGCACCGGCCUAACUUUCGACCCGUCAGCGCCCGAGCAUCCGAUCUGGAUGUCUACAGCCGUUGAUUCCUUCUUCCUCCCCUCCCCAAAACGAUUCUGAUUCGCACGCGCACAACACGCCCACUCGCCCAACGCACAGCGUGGCUGCCGGCCCCCGGCGUCCUCCAUGGCCGCCGUCGUCGCCGUCAAAUGUAGCUCGCUGCCCCUCGCCGUCCCCGUCAUCGCACGUCCUCCCAAUCUCGUAGUCGUUUCCAGCGACACCCACUGCCAGAUGCAACUCCACUGAAGCCUAAUGCAGCUUGCGGCCAAGCCAGUUCCAGCAACCAAUCAAAGCACGGCGGCGCCCGCCGCCUGGCUCGCCGCCGCCGUCGAGUUUGCAGCAUAGUUUUCCAGCAAAAAAUAAAAAUUCGAGCAACUAGAGAAACCAAGAAAGCCCGUUGAAGCAAAAAAAAUAGCCGGUUCCAGCAAACAAAAUUGCCGGUUCCAGCAUAUACCAUAGAUUGUCGUCGUCGAUUCGUAGCGAAAACAAAAGCCGGUUCUAGCUUCCGACAAUUACGGUUGCAACACCUGUCGUGCACAAUUACUGCUGGUUCCAACAUCUCCUACUGGUUCCAGCACCGUUGCAUCCCCCUCAUCGUUGUUGUAGCUUGCGAGCACCGUGAUUGCAGCUUUUUUGCUUGCUGGCUGUAGCUCUGCCGGUGGGCAGUUCCAGCUUUUUCUCUGGCUGGUUGCAGCUAUGGCGCCCCAGUUGUAGCUUUCUGAUGGCUGAUUCCAGCAUUGCCGGCGGCGGGUUGCAACACCUCGCGGUGCCGGUUCUAGCUUUGGGUCAGG